rnacentral:lncRNA from 1 species
AGGAGAAAACUAGGAAAGCUAGGGUUUCCCGGAGGGGCAGAAAUGGCAACUCCAAGAAGCAAAGAGUUGAAGAUAGAUGAUAAGAAUGUGGCGGCCCGGAUUGUCUGACUUCUUGAAGCUACGGCCUCCUCUGACUUACCCGUCUCCGAAGCCAUCCGUUUCUCAUCCCAUGGCUCUGCUGGAUCCCUCGGCUUUCUCAGGCACAACAGCCAGCCCAUAUAUGCACCGCAUGGCCCAAAGGAAGCCCAACCGUGCUCUUCCUGAUAUUGCUUCUCUACAGGUGUAAAAGACUCUUUCUCACAAUUUUUCUAAUAUGUGCAUACAAUCGGAAUAAUUAAUAACAUGUAUUUGUCCAUGAUUUUUGUAGUACUUUGACUUCCAGAUAAGACUGGUACAUGCAAGAUAAUAUUAUUUUUCAUUGCUACAUGCUAUAAUAUAAUAGAGAUAAUAAGAAUUUUAUGUCGGCUGCAAGGAGAAGAAUUAGGGUUUGAGGAAGAGUGGACGGCGCCAUCACCAGGAAUCGCUCAUUCCCCUCGUCUCCUUCCGCCAUCUUGGCGCUCGAGGUGAGGAGAACCUCGGGUCCUCCUAGAAGCAUCUAAGAGCACUACACGAUGGACCAAACAUGGGGGCAAUUAACUGCCGGGAAAAAUCCACUUGAAGUGGCAAUGAAACUGCGGGGAAAAGUCAACUGCCGGCAAAUCUCUUUGGAGGCACCUCAACUGCCGGGAAGAGUAGAGAAAGCAAGGGAGACGAACUGCCGGCAAAGCUCGAAAUCUUUAUUGGCAGAGAAACUGCCGGCACAAACUAUAAGAGGCAGUUUAUCUGCAGGCACAACUAAGAUGACAGGUGGGAGCAACUCAAUUUGCGUAUCUUCUGAUACUAUAUACACGCCCACACCACACCAAAGCCCUAUCUCUCUCUCUCACGCGAUUCCCCUUCAGCCACCGUAGGGUUUCAGCCAGCAGAUGCCCUAGCGCCGCCGCUGCCGCCGCCCGAAGCUUCGCCACCUAGCCGCCCUAGCUCUGUCCAAAUCGUCGCCGGCCGUAGCCCAAGGCCAGCCUGAAGCUCCGCCCUCGCCGCCGCUGACCCGAAGCUCCGCCUUCGUCGCCGACACCGCCACGACUCCGUAGCUCCAUGGCCGACAUGAACGCCCCCGAUCCGCCGCCAACGCCCCCGAUCCGCCGUCACCACAACUAUAGGAACUGGGAACGCUUUCAGGCACUCGCCUUUUCCACCUGCCCAAUGAUCCUAAGCAGUCCAAAUGUCCGAUAAGUGUUUCCCUUUUCCACUCGCCCAAUAAAUCCGUGAACUCUGGUAUGAUGGUGGUUUGCUUGCUGAUCGACCAACUUCGACUUGAAGGUGAGUACGUGUGAAUUACGUUUACCGAUUCAGAUUCGAUUUCAGACUUAGGGGAAAUUGCAGUAGGAGUAGGACGGUGAUGGUGGGUGGAUUGAUGUUCCUUCCGGAUACGGAUUGCAGAGUCUAUAAGAGGAGGCAAGAGAGGGCGGAAGGAAUCACCGGUGUUUACAAGAGAAGGGAGGAAUCAGAUAAUAUAAUAACCUAAAGGCGUGCAGGGGCUUUUGCAGUUGACGGUUUAGAAAAAAAAAGAUAUGCCAAAGCAUUCACCGGAUGGUGCUGCCGCCCGUCGUGCUACCAAGCGUUCGCGUGGUAGGCGGUUCCUCUACCUUGUGACGGAUGACUGGGAACUUGGAUACAGCAUCCGCAAGGUAGAUCUGGAGGAGGAAUACGAUGAUGACGCGUACACCGAUGAAGCAGGCACCUUCUCAUGUAACAGCUCCGAGCGGCGCCUGCCACCGGUGGUCUUCCGCCUGGAGGCUCCGCACAUAGGGGCCAAUCACUUUGCAGCGGCCUUUGGCACCAAGAUCAUGGCCUUGCACCACACGCCCAGGCGCUACAUCCCUGUAUUCAACGUCCGCACUCGAUGCUUGAGCUUUGGCCCUCGGAUGCGAAGGAAUCCGAGUGCCCCCAUCUAUGUGCCCAUUAGCGACAAACUUUUCAGUCUGGAUUCCGGCACCUUUCAGAUGCUCCACCCUCCUCCACCGCCAAUUAACCCUAACUGCAGCAUUAGUGUUCCAAAGUGGCCGUCAUGGCGCCGCCUCCCAACGCCACCCUUUAAGCAUGAGCGUGUCACCUCCCACGCCGUGCAUCCUGACGGACGAACAAUCUUCAUUAGCAUAAGCCACAAAACCGGUGCCACCUUUGCCUUCGACACCGCAGCGAGCUCCCCCAAGUGGGCGCGCACCGGCAAUUGGCAGCUGCCAUUCAAAGGCCGUGCACACUAUGACUGUGAGCUGGAUGCGUGGGUUGGACUAACCAAAGAUCCAGACACCCUUGGCCACCUCUGCUCUUGUGACAUCCCGUCUACCGAUGACAGUGUCGGUAGGCAGGCCCUAGCAUGGAAGCUCAGCAAGGAUAAACUUUUCUGCAAGAACCCAGAAGAGCACCAUGUGGGCACUACAACAAAACAUGCCCGUAGAGACGUCCAAUUAGCAGACUAAAGACGUGAUAUUUCAUCUCUAUUGAGUUAUAGAGUCGCUUUCACAAAGCGUCCUUGAAGCAUCUCCUCAGGGACCGUGUCAAGUUAUGUAGAGACGCUAGCUAAGCGUGUCUAUAAGAUAUAAGACGCUUUGUAGAGAUGUUGAAACUCGCGUCUAUACAUGUAGGGACGUUUUAUUUGACACGUUUCACUCACGUUCGUACUAAUAGUUUGACACACUCAAUUUACGUUGCAACAAAUGUAGAGACGCUUUUACAAAUUUGGACUAGCCCAUCUCGUGAGCUAGUAUUGGGUUGGGUUUUUUUUUGAAAGGGUACUGGGUUGGGUUUUAGGCCCACCAUUCUGCCGGCUACAAAUUUGGCCUAGCCCAUCUCAUGAGCUAGUAUUGGGUUGGGUUUUUUUUGAAAAGGUACUGGGUUGGGUUUUAAAUCCACCAUUUUGGCAGCCCAACUUAAUUUAGAAUUCAUUGCACGGGCCAAGCCCAUUUUCCUGAAAAAUAUUUUUGUGUAGAAUAUUUUAAAUUACAAAUCUUCUAGGAAAACGUUAUUUUCUGUUUAAAUUUGGAAUUGUUAUUUUCUUAAUUUUGAUGACGCACAUUCGCAGAAUAAGUUGUACCAAGACAGGAGUAUAUGAUCUGCAUCUUCGUUUCAUGACCUUGUUCACACUCAGUUGUGCAAAGACAAAGUACAUAAUCUAAAUGUUCAUUUCAUAUAUGACCAUAUUCUCAUAACAAGACUAACGAAUACUAGAGCUUUGAAUUGACUGCAGCAACAAAUAUGUUACAAUAAAUGGAGUUCACAAAUCACAGCUGAAUUAAACAUCAGUGUAGAUAAGUUGCAAUACAUAGAGAAAAGAUCUUAUUUGCACAUAUGUUUUGGUUCUAAAUAAUUGUAUAUCUAUAAGCUUUGCUCUAACAUAAACUUAAUCUUUUUUGCUUAUCCCUCAUCCAAUAUGUCUCUUGGCCUCAACCAUCCUGCAAAGUAGGCAGAUAAAAUGAAUACUCCUUGAAAAUAUAAGCUCUCCUGAGAGUGUAGAAUGACAUGUUUAAUUUUCUGACGGAAUUAGAAUACCCUGUUGUUUGUCGGCUGGUUUGCAGUCGUUCUCUUAGCUCUUUUGACCUGUAAAUCACAACAUGUGUUCAUAAAUAACAGUGUUCCCAAUCAGACAUUUGUGAAUACUUUGUGAAUACCGAGUUGUUCCAGAAUGAAAAUACUUACAUGUGACCGAGGCCAAGCAAUAACAUAACCAAUAGCAUCUUGUAGCAUUUGACAAUUUUCAUAUGGCCUUGGCAAUCUUUCGUUUCCAGUUUUUGUGACAGCAAAAACCGAAACUGCAUAAUAUUCAUCUCCAAGCAUGUUUCGUCCAACGACGUAUGUUUUAUCUUUACUCACUAAAGAUCCUUUGGCAACCAUUUUAUUUUUGUUUCUUGGGUUUGCCGAAAACAAGAAGACUUCACUUUUACCCUAUCAUUCCAAGAAAUAAAACAUAGUCAUUCAUAAAGCAUAUUUAAUUUAAAAAAGUUACAGUAACACAUACUGACAUGGAUGAACUAUUAUGAUACUCAUCCAAUUGACUAAACAUUUAGAAGAGGACAUUUGAAUGCAUAAUAUUUUAUAUAUAGUAUCACUUGUACGAAAUAAUACAUACACAUCCCUUUUGAUCCAUAGUUUGCAUAUACCUGGUUAGCGACUUGCGUGUCUGGUGUAAUCAAUUUCGUAAAACUCUGAUUUGCCUUGUCACAUUUUUCAAUAUGCGCUUCCUACAAUUGAUUCAGUUUAGUUGUAAGAAAGCUUAUACAAAAAUUGAAUGGCUUGGUAGAUAAGUACAAAUUACUCCACACACCUUUUCCACCAUGUAUUCAUCUGAUAAAGUAAAAUUGGUGUGACCCACUUUGGUUUUUGUACAGUUGCUAGGAUGCAGUCCCUGCAACUUACGAUGAACAAUUGAUUUUAACAUUGGCAACAACUAAUAAAAAAGAAUGCAUCUAGUGUUGAGAGAUAAAAAAACAACACGGCAUCAAAAUACUACAAACAUCACCUGCACAGUGUUUGGUGGAGCAUGAGUAUCACGAUUUGAUUCUUCAACUUCAUGUUCUGAUUCAUGUGGGAUGUCACUGGCAGCAUCUCUUUCAUAGAGAGCAUCCUGAAAUGAGAACAUGGUCAAAGUACACUGAUACAGAACAAUUUAUAUUUGUAGAAAUAGAGAUGGGGUUCAAAUACUAACUUCAUCAUUUUCUGUAAUUACAGCUGCAUUUCUCCAAUCUUCACCAGGAUUUUUUUUUGAAAUAAAUGUACGCAUGAGAAUCAUCUCAUCUCUCAUGUCUUCCACAUUAUCUUCAACUGCCCGUAGUGCAAAUCGAACCUCUUUGUCUUGCUCAGGUUGCUGAACAAAAGUCAAUCCCCGAGAAACCUUUACCCCACUCCAAUACUUAUCAUUAUAGUAACCUCGAAAUUGUGACUCUUUUCCAUACACCCUUUUAAACACUUCUCUAUAAUCUUCCAAUGAAAGACUCCCAUUGUUAUCUGUUUUCCUUUUUGCUAAUUCCUCCUAUUGAAGUAAACAUAAACAUCUCAUUAAACAAUGUAGAUACUAUGAUUAAAAUUGAAGUGUUUAUUUCUGCCAUAUGUAGUAGUAUACCAUUAGUAUCUUUGUAUUCUCGUUAUUGUAAUUUCCAUUCUUCUUCUUGUGAGCUUCAUCCCAAAGGUCAAUCUUGGGAACCUUUGCUUUCCUAAUGAUUUCCUAUGAAAAAAAGCAGAGUGCAAUAUUUAUAAAGUUUCGUGUUAAAAGUAAAAAUAUUCAGUUUGCCAAGUAACACAACACAUGGAGAGGAUAAAAUAUCACCAUCUCUUUUAGGAGCCUAGCAUGACUUUUUCUCCCUGUCGUGUGUGAAUUCUUUUGAUUCCUUGCACAUUGGGAGUUCUUUUCACAUAAUUUCUAGAAAAAAUGGAUUCAGUCAAUAAUAAUGCAAGCAAACUAGCUAUGGAUUUUAGUUCAAGUAUGAGACAAUGGAUACAUCACCGUGUGUGAAUCCUGGCACCACAGUCCAAUAAGAGUGUCCCAUUGAUGUUUAUUAACACCUUUUGGAACAUCUGCCAUAAUUGCAUCUAAUGUCCUCUCGUGCCGGUUGUAAUAUUUUUUCUUCAAACGAGAUUUGUAGGCUCUCCAUCUUUUGCUAAUAGUCAUUAGGAUCCAAUCCCUUGUAAGCUGCUUUGUGUCAUAAACAAGUAACUUGGUUGUUAGCAUAUGAAAUGAACAUACUGAUUCAAGGAAUAGUGCUAUGAAAAUUGUACCUCCACAUCAUUGAUCAUGUUUUGAUGUUUUGACAGAAACAAUUCAUUAUCCCAUCUCGGAAUGUGCAGCGGUGCAAAUGUUGAGUUCUCUGCUAGACUGCCAAGGUGUUGACUAAGAAUGGUAGCUGACCGUUGAUUUGGAAUACCAUUUUCAUCAGUUUCCAUGAUUAUUUUUCCUCCCUUUAAGGCCGGAAAUUUUUUAACUCGAAAUUCCCCUAAAAUUUGACGCACCUCUCCAUUUGGCCCUGCAUAUAAGAAUAUCACACUGGUGCACAACUGGUGGAAAAUUACACUAAGAAUGUAUAUGAAACAUUAUUUUUUAGCAUACAAAUUAUCUUAAUUUGACCAGUAGACUCAGGAGGCCUCUGUCGUAACAUAUCGUCAAUCUCUGGAGGACCUUGUAAAUUUCUUUCACCAGAUUCCACAUUUUCUGCAUCCUCUAAUGGAAUAUUCAAGUUUCGUAGCCGUCUAGGUAGCCUCGCCAUAAUAUCUUCACUAAAGCAAUGCAAAGAACAGAUCUCAGUACGGCAACAAUCUAAUGAUAGAUAAUUAUGUGCAUAAGCAAAGAUCCUAUGAUCUGCAUUUGCUUAGAACUAUUUACAGUACUGCAAUCUCAAGUUCAGGAAUAAUAGUCAGCCCAUUACUUGUAACACAAGAUCCUACAGUAUAGUGCAUUAUCUAAUAUACAAUUAAACCAUGUGAGAUCAACAGGUUAGCACAGCUAUGACUACGGCAAUCAGAACAACAGAUUAAACAUGUGCAGCGAUCACACAAAUUUUAUCUAAAAAAUGCAUUGCGGUGCCAGAUCUCCAGAUGCAAUUGAUGGAUUAGUUAUUAUCUGUCCAGAUUGAAUUGGAAAGGGAAGGGAGGGAGAGAUGCUGUGCAUAAAAAGCAGAGAAUCACAGGGGAAUCGAAGGGAAGCGGAAAGGGAAGGGAUAGAGAUAUGUGCGCCUGGCGGCAAUCAGAAUCGCCUCCACGUCGCGUGACCUCUCCGCAGCGGCGCCGCUCCAGCUCGCCUCCAGUGUCCCGGCCGGCAGCGACGGGCAAGUCAAUAACUACAGGGGACAAGGGCCACAUAUAGAGGAGAUACCUGCAUCUGCGCCUGAAGGGAGGGAGGACCUGGGCCUGCGUCUGCGCCUGAAGGGAGGGAGGACCUGGGUCUGAGGCGGCACCGGCGCUGGAGCAGAUCGGGGAGGACGAAGAAGUUCCUUAUUUUUAGAUGGGACGAAGAAGUUGGAGGCGAAGGAUGGAGGCUCGGGACGGCGGCCAGGAAUUUAUAGGAGGGGUUUUCGUUCGUAAAAAAAUGCGGCAAUGCUUUUUAGGCGGCAAAUUUAGAAAAUUAAGAGCGGCAAGCUAAAAUAUUUUUUACCACCAUAAUAAAAGGUAUUUUAACUAUAUAUUUCGUAUUUCCUGGAUGAAUAUUGUACUUCCUCCGUUUCACAAAGAAUGGCGCACACGAUUUUCAAGGUCAAACUUUGACCAACGAUCAGACCAAUUAUAUGUAAAUUAUAUGUUACAAAAUUUAUAUCAUUGGAAAGAUUUUUGAAAUACGAAUCAACUGAUAUAAUUUUUGUAACACAUAAGCAUCAAAUCAUUAGUCUAACUAUUGGUCAAAAAAAAAUCUUGAAAUGAGUGCGUGCCAUUCUUUGUGAAAUGCAAGGAGUAUAUGAUAAGUAUCAUGCUAAAAACGAAUAAAAAAUUGAAUAGUAUUUGUUGGAGGGAGAAACUCCUCAUUGCUCUGAGCUGACAAAGUCGAUGAGUCAUGAUGCAGCAGGGUCUGGAGCCAAGGUGGCAUGGAGAGAUGCGGUGCGGCAUGGCACCACACAGAGGGCUCGCAUCCCGGGUGGCAAAGGAGUGGCAUGAUGGUGCGUCUCUUGGCGGUUUCACCCACAAGUCCUCCAAUGGCGGCACCCGCGACAAUUUGUGCCUAAGUGGUGCUCUCAAAGGUGUGACAUACUGACAUCCCCACAUAUUUGGCGUGUGUAAGACUUCCUCUUUAGGGGCAUGUUUUGGCGUUUCGGCACCAUUCCCACCCCUCAGUUCUCUCUUCGACUUCCACUGGUCCAUUUUCUUGGCGUUUCGGCACAAUUCCCACCCUUGGUUCUCUCUUCGACUUCCGCCGGUCGUUUUUUUUUAGUAAAAUACAUUGUAGGUCAUAAUUCUUUCGCAAAAAUGCCAAGUUAGUCCUAGAACUUUCAAAAUGCACAUUUGAGUCAUAAUAGUUUCAUAAGUUGUUCAUCUAAGGUCCUAAUAUUGUUUGCCCGUGGUGUGUCUCUCCUCUCUAAAUAUCUAGAUAUAUCAAUAUUUCUAAAUAUCUCUCCUCUCUAAAGGCGGGAGAAUCCUCUCUAAAUAUUUCAGUCAAUGAAGUAAGGCAUUACCCAAAGAUAUUGCAGCAAUUUUUAUUUAUGAAUUUAAAUCCUAGAAUUGUAAUUUGACAAUGAAAUAGGCUGGCUGGCAAGCGAACAAGAUAAAUCAUAGAGCAAAUAGGAUUCUGAACUGUAACUGUACAGACACAGGUAUCAAAGGGCACAAAAGGAUUUCAGGGGUUUGUUGUCCUGGACAGCUUAUUGCUACAGAAGGAUAAAAAGAAAGCAAAUUGUGUGGUUAAGCACUAUUGUCAGAACAUUGCUUGUCCAACUCUGCCUCCAGACAUGGUCUAAACUCUAAAGUCUAAAUAUACCCCACUCAUCCAAACAAGCAAUCAUAAAGAAGCAUUCCCAAGUCAAUUGCUGAACAGGCAUAGAAGUGCAGAUGUAUCAGCUAACAGAAACUAAAUUAAAAUCAAUACUCUAAACAUAUUUGCUUCCUUGAGCUGGUUUCUAACAUAAAUGGACUUAGCAUACAUGUCCGGCCUUACAAACCUGAAAGGACCUACGAAAAGAAACAUAAAUAAGAGCUGCCUAAAAUAUACUCAAAGCAUAAUGGUCUACUCUGCUUCAUCGGACGGCUGUUCUGCACCCAUGUCAAAAUAAUCACGAGGCCUGAAUUUCAUCACCGCAUUCCAAACAUCACUUUUUGGAUCUUCGACAUAAAAAACCUGUUCCACUUGGGACGAAAAUACAAAAGGAUCACGCUCUAACGUCUCUCCAGUAUGUAUUUUCCGCGAGAAGUUCACAAGAGUGAAACCAAAAUCAUCUUUUGUAAGGCCAGCUCGGUGAUGAACAUCAUACCAAUCACAUUUGAAGAGCACAACCCUGUAAUCUUUGUAUGACAAUUCCCAAAUGUCAGACAAUCUGCCAUAGUAGCAGACACCAUCUUCUGCAGUGUUCACUACACCACUAUUUUGCAUGACACGUCCUAUCUCGCGACUCAUAGUGUGAAACCUGAAACCAUUAAUGAUAUAUCCACUGUAGCACAUGCCACAUUUGCUUGGUUUUGCAGCCAAUGCUCUUAUCUUUUCCAUGAUUUCUGGUCCAUCAUCUUGUAAAACCUGUAUGUACAAAGAGUUACAAUUUAAUUUCCUAUGUAUGCAGUUCAUAGAAUUGGAACAUGCUAAACAGUACCUUUUGUUCCAGCCAGUCAGCGAAGUGUCUAUUAAUCAACUUCUCAAUGUCAUCAGGCAUCAAAUUAGAUAAGUGGCAUGGUUUCAUUUUCUCUUGUUCCACAAAUUCUCUGUAACAACGAAACAAAUUAUAUGAUUAUUUUUUGCCAACUUGUUAAGAAAAAUUAUAAUGUAUAUAGCAGCGAUAUAUACCCACCUACGAAACUGUUCAAGCUCAUCACAGUGUCGCAAGACAUAUCGAUGUGCUUGAAUUAAAAGCUGGUUAUCAAACUAGCCUACAGUGAUAGCUCUUCCGAUUGGUUCACCGGCACUAUCAAACAUAUACAUGUCCUUAAUCUUCUCUGAAGGCUCAGGAUUUCUAGAUGUUAUUGUGAAACGUGUGGUUCCUUCUAGAAAUCGUGAGCAAAAGGUCAAGCAUUCUUCAGCAAUAUAUCCUUCAGCAAUCGAACCUUCAGGAUACGCUCUAUUGCGCAUAAAUCCUUUCAGCCGAACAAAAUAUCUAAAAUAUAAUUAAGAAAUAGUGUUACUUAUACGCAUUGUGGAAGAUAACAAAUCAAAGCAAAGUUUACAUACCUCUCUAAAGGGUACAUCCACCGGUAAUUCACUGGACCACCAAGUUUUACUUCUUCAACCAAGUGCACCAUUAAAUGAACCAUGACAGUAAAGAAUGAUGGAAGAAAAUUUCUCUCCAUGUUACAAAGUGUCAUCACAAUACUCUCUUGCAGCUUGUCAAGCUCAGAAACAUCUAACACUUUAGAGCAUAGCUUCUUGAAGAAAUUAGCUAGGUCAAUAACUAUUGUCAUGACAUAUUUGCUGGGGUAACAAAAUCGAAAUGCAAUAGGAAGAAUGUCUUCUAGAAUUACAUGGCAGUCAUGGCUUUUGAGGCCAGUCAAAGUACAUUCUUUCAUGUUGACACACCUUGAAAUGUUUGAGGCAUAACCAUCAGGGGUCCUCAUAUUCUUAAUCACUGAACAAAGAAUCUCCUUCUUUUCUCUAGACAUAGUAAAAGGUGCAGGGGGCAAUACCGGUUUCCUAUUGUUUACUACAGGAUCAGGUUGAAGCUUAGGUCGAAUUCCAAGUUCUACCAAGUCAAGUCGUGCAUUAAGGUCAUCCUUUGUUUUAGAAUCAAUAUCCAAUAAGGUUCCAAUUAAAUUGUCACACACAUUUUUCUCUAUAUGCAUCACAUCCAGAUUGUGCCUUAACUUGUUGUGCUCCCAAUACGGCAGAUCAAAGAAUAUUGACUUCUUUUUGAACCAAUCCUCAGGCUUCUUUUCAGAUUUACCCGCGUGAUUACUCGAUUUGUUCUUCCCCGACUCUCUUUUACGCUUCUUCUCUCCACCAUUUUCUCUUUCUUUUUCACCAUUUCCUCCCCCUUUUUUCCCUUUCCCUUUCCCUUUCUUUGAUAUGGUGACCGGUUUCCCCAACACAAACACUUUGCCCUGCAAGAUGCUCAAGGCUGAGCUACCACUCAUAGUUGUAGGCACAAGUUCAGUCUCUUUGGUGCCAUCAAACUCCUGCUUCUUCCGACUCCGAAAUGGAUGUCCCUGUGGUAGCCAUCGGCGAUGACCCAUAUAACAAAACUUUUUACUCUUCUUUAGGCGAAAUGAUCUUGUAGAAACAGCACAAGACGGACAUGCAUAUUUACCACUGGUGCUCCAACCAUACAGGUAAGCUAGUGCAGGAAAAUCAUUCAAAGUCCACAAUAGUGCAGCUUUGAGAGAAAAUGUCUUUUGUGUACAAGAGUCAAAUGUUUCCACACCCUCCCACAGGAGUAAGAGCUCGUCGAUCAGCGGCUGUAGAUAUACAUCAAUGUCAUUUCUUGGUGAAUGUGGUCCAGGAAUGAUCAUCGACAAAAUUAAAGAUGUUUGUUUCAUGCAAAUCCAAGGUGGUAGGUUGUAUGGAAUAAGCAUCACUGGCCAAGUACUAUGCUGUGAGCUCAUGUUCCCGAAAGGGUUGAAUCCAUCCCUCGCAAGGCCAAGUCGGACAUUACGGGCAUCUGCAGCAAAUUCAUUAGGAUAUCUAGAAUCAAGAUCCUUCCAAGCCUCGCCAUCAGCAGGAUGUCGCAUGAAUCCAUCUUUUGUACGGCCCUCGUCAUGCCAACGCAUGUCUAUGGAUGUUUCUUUAGUUGCAAAGAGCCUUUGCAGCCUUGGUAUCAAAGGGAAAUAACGCAACACCUUGGCUGGUUUCUUCUUCUUUUUACAUUUACUUGGACACCCUUUCUUGUCAUCCAUAACCCAACGAGAGGUACCACAGACAUGACAAGACUCUUGGUUAGCUCUUUCACCUCGGUAAAGCAUGCAGUCAUUUGGGCAUGCAUGAAUUUUCUCAUAGUCCAGCCCUAAACCACGGAUUAUUUUUUUUGCUUCAUAAUAUUUCUUCGGUAGGUCUAUGUGAGGAAAUGCAAUAGAUAAUACUCCAAGUAGGUGUGUGAAUGACUUCUGAGACCACCCAUGUAAACAUUUCAUGUGAUAUAAAGUGACGAUGAAUGACAACCUCGAAAAUGCUUCACAUCCUGAAUAUAAAUCUGUGUUUGCUUCCUUCAAGAAGUCUGCAUAUGUAUCAGUUUUCCUUCCCAUAUCACCUUCUGCACUUGCAGUAUUUACAUCUUCAGGCAUGCUAGCUUCCACAUUGUCAAACUCAAACUGAACAUCACUUUGUUCACCAUCAGAUGUGCUUGACAUUGUUUCGAAGCUGUUAACUACAGAAAAUGCAGCAUUUAGGAGUCCAUGCAUGUCAUGCAUUCUUCCGCUACCGCCUCCAGCAACAGAAUUUGUUGGAACACCAGGAAUAUGCGAACUGAUGUUAUCUUCUACGCGCGCAAAUGCAAAUGAUGGCUCAUUAUAAUCCUCUCCAUGGCAAACCCAUUUAAUGUAACCCGGAAGAAUACCAUCACACCUCAGGUGGGUUUUAACUUCAUCAUAAUUUUGCGUUCUUCUAUUUCGACACUUCACGCAUGGACAGAAGAUUUUUUCAUCAUGUGGAACAUCACGAAAGGCAAAAGAUAGGAAUUGCUCAACACCAUCUUUAUAAGCAGCACUUGUUCUUGGUUUACUCAUCCAACCUCGAUCCAUCACUCUUUGAUAUGCUGCAGUAAUUAACACAAAAUAGAUCAGUUUGUAAUUAAUUGUCUGAUGUAUAUUUCUACCUACGGUACAUUCAUGCAGCUAUUGAUUAACAAGUUUUAAGUGGGGAGGUAUCUUAAUUCUUUUGAGAUUUAGCAUAAUAUAUCUUCCGUGUUGAGCUGUCCAUGGGUGUGAAUGAUCAGUAAUGAAUUCCAAAUUAUCACGCUACAAAUUUUUUGAACACAAUAUUCGAUGGUACAAUUACUAAGGAUUUUCUAAACAAACAACACAGAACAACAACGCAGCUAAGUUGGCGGCAUUUUCUGCACAAGUCAAAAGAACCUCGGUAAUCUACUCUAUAAUAUGUUCAAUGUGCUCUGUCACACGUGGCUCACAAGUAGGAGGUAACCAUUGCAGCUCAGCCAUGUCAACAAGAAACUCGUUUAUGAAUCAGGUAUUGGACACAAAAUUUAUAUAAAAAAAACACCAAAUUUGGGAGAGAGAGAGAGAGAGAGAGAGAGAGAGGGGCUACCAAUUGGGGAUUUCAGGCCGACAAUGGACUUGAAGAUUGAACAGCACCACAGUCAAAUUGAAGAUUGGACAAAUUUGGGGAGUCGGCCAGUCGGAGGAGACGGCGAGUGGGCGACGGGUGACUGCCGGACGGCGAUUCUGUGCUGCCGCGCUAAGCCGACGGCGAACGUGAAUCCCUGACGUAGCGGGCGGGGCCAACGGGAGCCAGGGAGCCGGACAAUGGAGGAGGUGUGUGGCUGGGUGGAGGCGAGGAGGCGGGCGGCGGGCAGCACUGCGGCAGAACCGUGCGGUGGCCGGCGGCGUUGCGUUGCGCUUCAGCUUUCUCCCCGAUUCAGUUUGCUCCCGCCGCCAUCCAGAUCAGAUCAGGCAAUUUGUCCCCGAUUCAGUUUUUUGAGGGAAUUUUUUUAUUUGAGGGAACGUCCCCGAUUCAGUUGGAGGUUGGGCGCCCGUUCAGCUUUGUCUCGAUCAAUCUAGUGCGCUCUUAUUGAGGGGCUGAGCUGGGCCGGGUGCUACCCGGGCUGUAGCAAAAUAGGAUAAAACAACAGGCAAAAAAAAAAGAAAUGAGGCCAGUCAAGAUUUGUUAGCCCAUUAGCACCACCAGGCCCAUGGAAGCACCACCCAGCCCAGGGAGCAGCAGGGCUGCUCGAAGCAAGCCUGAGCCACGCUAUCUUCUAUGAAAAGGAAUGUUUUGCUCAAACAAAAAUGAAAAAAAUAUAUCAGUUAAAACAUGAACACAAAAACACUUCUGUCAUGUUGGCUAUCAACCUUUCAGAUGUUUUUACCUUCUCGGUUGAGCGUUCAAAUUUGGAACACGCAAGUAUUUAACAGAUUUAAUUACUUUGAUUAGCAAAGAUUAAUAGUCAUUAUAGCGUCUCAAAUUUCAUCUCUAUCUUAAAUGUAAUUUUUUUUAUCAAUUACUUAGAAAAGAUUAAGAAUUAUCUUAUAUACCGUCUCAAAUUCAUCUCUACCUUGAACGUAAAUAUUUUUUUAAUCAAUUCCUAAGAAAAGAUUAAGAAUCAUCUUAUAUAGCGUCUCAAAUAUCGUCUCUAUGUUAAACGUAAAUGCAUUUUUUUAAUCAAUUCCUAAUUUACAAGAGAUUAUUGUGACGCUGUGUAAAGCGUUUCAAAAAGCGUCUUUACUUAGCGUUCAUCAUUUGGUGUUGAGACGAAAUACAUUGGCGUCUUAAAAAAAACGACUCUACAGGCAUGUUUUGUUGUAGUGGGGUGCUGCCCUUGUCUACCUGGGUGAAGGGUUUAGGAGCAAGUUCUGCCUCUUGCAGUGCCUCUCCAUUGACGACUGUGAGGACAGCAUGUACAAGGAGUACCUGCCUGAACGUGAGCGGUAUGUGCUUCGACUGACCACGUUUUCCCUCAAGUAUGACAAGAACGGAGACCUGCGAACCACAGCGCGACGUGGGGUUCGAUCCUUUGAAUUUCCCAAGCCACUGACGGAGUGCAGUGACUUCUUGAUGAAUCCCAUAGCCUUCUGGAUGUAAACCAAGAACUUCUGCAUGCAUAUGUCAGUGUGGUCCUUUAAAUAUUACUCGCUAUAUGUCAAUGUGACCCUUUGUUAAGUAUAGCAUUGAUAAUGCAUAUAUCCCUUGAUCCGAGCCUGACUUUUUCUGGUUGUAUUCGACAUGAAUGUACCUGACCACCUGAUGUAUACAAGAGCACCUGACUGAAGUGCCAGCCUAUUCUCAUAUACUCUCUUUUUUCUGGGAGCUCAAGUCUGUUAAAUUGUUAGGUUUUAUUUCAUGUUUAGUGCAAUCAUGCUGUGGCAUGGCUCAAGUUACGUUGUGUUUGCUGCUCAGUUUGACUGGACAAGUGAAGUUUUGUAAUUCUAUGAGUACUAGUAAGCUACACGUGUGUUGCUAUGGAAUAACAAAAUUAGGCAUUGUAAGAUUGAUUAAUAUAUCAUUUUGAUUACAAAUUAUACUCAAUUUUCCUUCAUUUUUGAAAUUGUUCCUCUCGCUGCUUUGAAGGGCAACGAGGCAGCUGGAUUCUGACUCCGAUCUGGCUAUCUCCCAAGUAAGAUGCCGAUGGAGAAUUGGAGAUAAAAGUCUAUGCUGUGGCUGCUCGGGAUGUCUGUAGCUAUGGACCUGACGAAUGCUCCUCGUGUCGUCAUGACUUCAGUUUGUCUUCCAUGUGAUUUGGUAGGAUAGAGCUACAUGUGAUUAUUUUCCAGAGCCAUGUGUUAAGAAGUGAAGUCCUGUCGGGGGAUGCCUGGUUGCUUUUCGACAACCUCUCUCUGUCCUGAAACAUGCUGCUCAUGCUUCGUCGUAGCUCUGCAGAAAUGUUAAAGGUUUCUUCACUUCAACGGCAUGUUAGCACUGCUGUUUUUUCUAUGAGAAAAGAGCCUAGUUUACCAGUGAUGAAAGUCCCCAAAUGCAUAAUGCAGGUAUUAAUACCUCAGUGAGUUAAAAAUUCUGAUGUGCACUUCCACCUUCUCUUGAUUUCAACCUUGUAGCACUCCAAACCUACAAAAAUAAAAGGAUUUCAGACAUGGUAUACUCGAUAAUAAAAUGACACCAUCGACAUCACCUGAACAAGCUUUGCCAAAAUCUACCUAAAGUACCUCGGAAACCCGUAAGUGCUCCUUUAAGCAUUCAUCGAAUCUUUCCCUUCUUUGCACCAGUAAAUUCAUAAUCAACACAGUCUAGACUACCAAGUUUUAUCACGCCAUUUGGUUAGCUCUCAUGCACUAAAUCCUCCCUUAAGCCUUUUAACCAGUAGUUUUGAUGCUCGGGUCAUUCUAAUUUCUUCUCCACUCGGAGCCAUAGUUUCUUAUUGUUUCUCCUGUUAUUACCUCGUUUCAUUAUCAUUUUUCAGUUCUGGUCAGUUUCACUGUAUCCAAUUCAACUUAUCGGUUCAAAUUGAUGCAGCUACACACCAAAUUCAUAAAAUGCAGCUCCUGUUCAUAGAAUUGCAGAGAUCUACAAAUUCAUGAGCGCAUUAGUUGUGUUGUUCAUAAAGGCCACAGUUAUCGCAGAGCAUAUGUGAAAGGGCAUUUCGAUCCCUAAUUGUUUUGAUGUUAAUGACAACAUGACUCGUGAACUAACCGUGUGCUCGAUUAUUCUUUCCCCCUCAUUGUCUUGGUAACUUAAAUUUUCUUCUCUCUGAUUUGAGAUGGAACUAUUUUGCACCGGCGAUUCUUAAUUGUAGAGUCCUUUGAAUCCUAAAAAGUCGAUUGCUGUUAACACCAAUUAAUUGAUAUACUAUGUUAGAACAUGAUAUGACUUAAAUCCUCAAAUUAGUAUGUCAAAUCAGGUGAUCCACUUAAACAGAAUGCUGGCAAUUGCUUCAAUUGAAAUCCUGAUUUUAUCUUACACCUGGUCUGCUAAAGAACUCCACAAGAUGCUGAUACCUACAUAUUUCCUCAAACAUUUAUUCACGUGCUAGAACUCUACAAUUCUGACCAUGCUCUGUAUCAUUUCUGUAUAAAUCUGUUAAGCUUGCUUCCUGAUUUCUACAAGAUGGCAUCUCAUCUUAGAAUAUACUCCCUUCGAUUCCAUAUGAAUUGGCACGGAUUUAGUACAACUUGCACUAAAUUCAUGCCAAUUAAUAUGGAACGGAGGGAGUACGUUCCUUGUAAACAAGAAAAUUUGAUAGGCAUUGAGACAAAGAACCCUAAAACCAAUUGAUGAUUAACUUAAACUGAAGCUCGUUACCUCACCAAUCGAAAUCCUUUUUUUUUUCUGAACCAAGCAUCAACCAACACAAUGACAAUCAAGCAGUAAAACUUCUUUCAUUAAAAUAUCACCCUUAAGAUAUCUACUUGAGCUGCCCCUAAAUAUUAGGUUCUACCUCGAUUUGGAGAUGUACGAAUCUGAUUGUUGGAGGUGAAUCGUAGAUCCUCCUCCUCUUAAUCUGGUGGUCCUCUAAUUAAUUCCCCCUGGCUCCUUUGCUGUCAGGAUCUGACACUUGUAACACCGAGUCGCGUAUUGUUCUUCUCUUUCCCCCUCAUCCGUUUCUCCCUGCUACGACAUCUGCCCACCUCUUUCCCUGGCUCCCGUCGAGGUGCUUGAUGGAGUGUGUACGGCAGCACGUCAGAGAUCGAGGAGGUGCUUGAUGGAGCGCUGUCAAUCCUCGCAAUCUUUCAGUGUUGGUCUUCGUCUCUCUUCAAUCCUCGCGAUACCACGGUGGCCGGGCGCCGGUCAGGGCGUAGAUGUCCUCCUCGAUCUCCUCCUUCUCCAGCACAAGCACGAAUGUGGGGCGCUUGCCAUUGUCCCGCGCCGGCGGAGGAGGAAGGGAGAGGGCGAGCAGCGGCGGCGGUUGUGAAGAGGAGGCGGCGCGGGGACCGGCCGGGCGAGAUGCGAGCAGCGGCGGCGGCUUGAUUGGAUCGGUCAGAGUUUUUUUUUUCCUUCCUUUUUUCCGGUUGAGGUAGUGGCAACUGGAACCGAAGGAGGAGGCCAGGACGGCGGAGCUCUCCUUAGGCGCCCGUCCUCGGCGGCGGGACUGCAUCCCAUGGCGGCGUCCGUGGGGACCGGCAGUGCUCCAUCCCAUGGCGACGGCGGCGUGGACUGGCACAUGGAGGGACGGGCGUGGGAGGGAUCGUGAGGGAGAGGAAGAGAUCGAGUGGGUUCUGGUGGAGAUGAGAGAUUUAGGGAGAGGAGAGACAGGUGGGCGGUGGCGGCAGCACGCGGGCCGCGGGGUAGGGAGGAGCGGCGGGCCGCAGCCGGCGGGGCGAGACGCGAGAGAACGAAAGAGAAGAAAAAUGAUUUGGGAGUUCGGGCGGUGGCCUAGAGAUGUAAUUUCUCUGAAGUUGGGACGAGGUACGAACCUACCAUGAACGAAACUGCAAAUUAAGGAAUAGUAAAGAGUAGUAUCCUGCCUGUGCAUCCAAGGCUUAUGCUAUAACAAAGUUAUCGCCACAUACUUGGUCCCUGGUCUAAGCUAAUUCAUAAAUUCUCGGCUGACAACGUUAGCUGGGCUACUAGAAUCUAGACUUGUAUUUCUAACCAUGGAGAGAACAACCACAUGAUGUGUAUGGUUGGACCCAACGGAUUAGCACAAAGAAAUCUACUCUAGUUUAUUUCUCUGUGCGGAGUGAGUGAUUGAGACAGCGAAAUAACUCUACGUACGAUGAGGAGCGUACGACGAUGUGUGGGAAUUGAAUCUGCUAAUCUUCAUGCUAUGGCUUACGUACUGUCUGAAUGUAACAAGUGCCGUAAUUGAAUCUGCUUAUCUUCUUGCUAUGGCUUACUGUCUCAAUGUAACAAGUGUCGUGUCAAUAUUAUCAUAGUCCAAGCAUCGCUGUUAAGACAGGCUUUGCGUGCCUUAUGUGAGUCGUCGUCACGCCUAGCUAGCUAGUGAUAGGGGGUGGCUACGAUGAUGCACUCUAGCUAAUUUAAGUAGGAUAUGUUUCAGACAAUAAAACGACAAUCUUGAUAAGCACAUGACUUUUAAAUUGCAGAUCGGUUGUUGGCAUUGCGCAUUGCUUGUUGCGUGCAUCUUUUCGUGGUAGAUUCCUGUGGACAGCGACCCGAACAAUAUAUUUUACCCUCAAUCAUUAAUUUGUAAGUGUUAGACGAUAGCUGUUGUAUAGUAUAGUAUUCUGUAACUGCUUCUUGGUAGUCUCCUCGCUUGGGCGCACGUCGUGCACGUCGCCGGCCCAUGUUGUACACGAUCGGCAUGCCCUCCGUGGCCCCCUGUUGUACCAUAUAUUCAUGAGAUCAAUGCAAGGUAGCGCUAUCGAAGUGCUUACAACCGAACUCCAGUUCUCUACAGUAAGGAACGAAAUAAGAAACAAAGAAGAUUAUGAGCUGGCACUGUAACAGAGUAUAAGAGACUAGGUCGGAACAAUUUUCUGCUUGCUCAGGGUAUGUACUUAUGGAAAAUCUGCAACUGCAAGAUGUAUUUGGUGGCCGACUGGCCGUACACUGUAGAAUAUCUAGCAACUAAUCAGCAGUUCUAAUGGUAGUGGAGGUCCUGGAGGAGUGCUGGACAGUGGAGAAUUGGCGGUGCAUGGUGAGGAGAAUGAAUGAAUGAAUGAGGUGAAAGUGGAACAACCCGAUGAAAUAGGAGGCGGAGAGGUGCUAGAGCCGGGAGCUAGCGGCCCCUCGGGAUCAGUCUGCACGGAGGCGCGUCGCCGCCAACCCAAUACUCCCUUCCUUCCAUCGCCGUCAUCAUCCGGCAAAGUCGACAUGGUCGAAACGAGGCGGGGGAGGAGGGUGUCUUUUUCAUGUGUUAGAAGACAUGAAGUCAGGAGCGGCGGCGGACAAAAAACACUGCUGGUAUAGAUCCAGACACCCAGCUUGGUGUUGGGCGGCAACGUGUUGUCUGACCCACCGUAAUACCACUUCCUCCUGGUCGCCGCCGCGGCUGGGCAUUUCUCCGACGAAGAAAGAUGACUCUCUGUGUCAUGCACGGUAAUGUAUUAAUUCUUCCGUUUAACGAAGGAUGUUUCAAAUUUGAUUAAAUUUGAAUGCAUCUAUAUACAUUAAAUUAUGUCUAGAUACAUUCAAAUUUGGACAAACUUGAGACUUUUUUUUUUGGACGGAGGGAGUAUAUAAUGUCGGCAAUGCUCUGAUCAAAGAGGCUGUCUCACCCAAAACGCGCCGAUGUGUAUGCAUGCCCACGAGUAACUUUGCAGAUAACCUCGGUGGUUGCUCGUGCCAUGUAUCUCCCUUCCCUUGCAGGAGGUGAGGCACAGGACUUCGAUCUGGUCCGAUCCAAGGUUGAUCUUAGUCGGGUCGGGACAUGUUCCAAAGGUUACCAUGAUAAAGUAGCUAGUGUCAGAUUAUACCUUGACAUUUUCAAGUGGAGUUAUAGGUCCCUGGUUGGCAGCGACAUGUGCACGUUGUCAAUUGGUUGAACGUUGUCUUUAUGCCCAUGACCUAGCCUUUAUUUGUUUUCCCUAGCAUCCAAAAUGAAAAUCCAUGACUAGGCUUAAUUCACCGAUUAGGCACGACAAUGUUGAUGUGUGCGCUUGAUCUCCCUUCUUGAAGGCUCCAUUUUGGAACAAUUGUUCGUAGGUCCUGCUUUGUCUUCAAUGGUUGCGACAUGUAUUUGGAUUUGUAAGUUGAUGUUUUGUUCGCGCUGACUGGUAUCUUCCUUAAUAGUAUAAUUUAGUUGUGUGCAUCCGAGGAUGUAGAUGUAGACAAUUGACAUCCCUUUUCGAAAAUAAAGUACCUCGAAUACAGUUAUGUUCUUCUUCACAUAUUCAAAAAAAUCAUAACCCCGAAUCUAAUAUAAUCUCCCCGUUCCAAACAUUUAAACCCCAUGAAUCUAACUAAUUUAUCAGAUUCAAAAGAAUCAUGCCCCUCAAUCAUAUUUAGUGUAUUUUUUUAUGGAUGAAUUAUUGUAUUCUUUACAUGUAUAUAUAACUAGGAGAUACGUAGGCCUUGCCCCGCCGCCCGCUAGGCUCUGUUUGUUUGGGCUGCGGCUAUGACAGAAGCGGCUGUGGACUAGCUGUGCUGCCAUAGCUGCUGUGCUGGGGAAGCGGCUGUGAUCAAGGUUGGCCGUUUGGCAACACAGUUGUGGAGUAGCUGCGAGCUAAGAAAAUACCUGAAAUGCCCCUAUAAUGAUAAAACCACUAUAACAUGUACACACCUACAUGCACACACAAAAAUUCCUUGCUUUCUCUCUUGUAUGGUCCUAACAAUAUCAGAAACAUUUAAUACUUCAUAUAGAUAAGUGUUUUUCAUAUUACUAAAAUAUGUAGCAGUCUAUCUUUGUCGGGAGAUAUACAAAGAGUUGACAAUUCUGUCACGCGUGGUGUUCAUGUUGCUCUCGUCGAGUGAAAUUGAAACAUCCUCGCCAAGCAAGGGUGUAGCUCGAUCACCUCCAGACAUGUAGUUUUCAUCUGCAUCACAUUUGUCAAACUCUUUAUCGCGUAGCUUGCUAUCUCUGAUAAAAUUGUGAAGCGCCAUGCAAGAAUUAAUAAUUAUCGGAAUUAUGUAGUAAAAUUAAGAUAGGAGUAUUAUGACCACCGUCAACAAAUUAACAACAACAUCAUCGCAUCAGUACAACUAUAGCUAGAAAUUAUCAACAAAUAUUAUCAAUCAAAGCACAACCAAGUAUCAAGCACCACACAAAAUUAGAGAAUUUUUUUUACCACAACAAGCCGGCUUGGUUCAGAGGAGACGAGAAUGACAUAAACGAAGGGGGGAUGCGGGGCGCCGGAUAGAGAUGCAGAUGGCGGGAGGGAGGUCGGCGGCAGAAGGCCAUGGCGGGGGCAGACGGGGCGCCGGAGAGAGAUGCAGAGGGCGGGAGGGAGGGCGGCGGCAGGAGGAUGCGAGGCGCGUGGGGGCAGGAGGGGCGUCGGGGAAGGAGUGCGGCGGCUGGAGGGCAAGCAGAGGCCGGGCCAGGAGGAACAGCCAACGGCAGCUGGAGGGCAGGCGGCGGUGUUAGACCCUGCUCCCAAUGGAGAUGGGUCGAUCAAGGGAGAGACAGAGAGAUAUUUCACGGGCGAGAGAUGAGAGAGAAAUAAUGGGCUGAUUUCAUUUUAGUGGUGGCAUAUGUCUGGUAAUUUCUAUCAACUUCCAGUGGACAACGGACGUGGGUUUUCAAGAAGCCCGAGAAGUACCUCGUACACGUGUUUCAGCCAAUAUAACUAAAAGUAGCUUUGAGCUUUGGUGAGAAAGCGGGUCCAAAUUCGUUGUUUGGUUGGGUUUCAGCUUUUUUUUUAUUGAAAGCUGCUCUGAAAGCCCAAACAAGAUUUGUGGGCCUAUUUUUCCUGUGAUUUUUGCCAAUAACAGGUAACCAUAAACAGAAAUUGUAACUUUACUGUCGGAGCACGGUCUCCGGCAUCGGGGAUGCCGAGCACCCCUUUUUUGGUUCGGUGGAGGGCAAGGUGAUCGAUCCAGCGAUCGCCGGCGUGGCGAUAGACAUGAAGUGUAGACACAAGAGUUUUUACCUAGGUUCGGGCCACCCGGAGGUGUAAUACCCUACGUCCUGCUUUGAGUUGUAUUCACAAGUUUGGGUGCGUACAGAUCACCCAGGGGUUUCUCGGGUUGGCUACUUAGGUGAAUGCUAUGCUAAUCUUUUCUCACUCGGGUUGGAACCCUUUGACCAGUGGUAUUGGUCCUCCUUUUAUAUACAAGGGGAUACCACAGGUGCCGGUGACACGUCGCCUAGACGCGUGUCACAGACACACAGAAUACACUUUUGUUCAUGCAUGCUGGAUGCCAUGCAGCGCCCUGUUCACUGUACACGGUAGAAAAAAUAGUUGUUAGGAUGAUCGCCCUAGCCUUGCUCAGCAAGACUAGACCUGCUGAUAAGACUCAUGUCGGUGCAUUAAAUGCACUGCGCCCGCCGUCUUGUCCUGUCUUCACUGUUUUGCGGGUCCCGUCUGCAUGCUCGAGCGCGGGUUGCUAGGGUGCACCCUCCUGGCUAGCGCACCUGCUAGUUGCCGGGAGGCGUUCCCUUGGCUUCCCGGGACCGGUGUUCCCAGGAGUCUCUUGUAUUCGGCCCUUAGCUUUAACUUCGCCAGAGGCUGUCUCCUUAAGGCAGGCUUCCCGGACUUGCCGCUUCCCGGGUGGCCUUCCUGGCGGGGCUUCGUCACUGGCGGCCCACGCGUUAUGUAUCAGUGGGACCCCGUGGGCCACUGGUACGACAUUUACAUUCAUCAUCUUUCUAGAAAUCAGAGAAAGGAAACAUAAUCCAUCUUGUUUAGUAAGUCAAGUAAAAAUGAGUUGAACAAAAUUCUAAAACAAAGGCGAAAGCUCCUUCAAUUCUUAUCCUAGCUCUAGCUCCUAGGAGCCAAUAAGGUGGAGACCGCCGCGAUGCUCGAGAAAGUGGAUGGAGGCAGAGGUCGGCGGCACUGCGGGUUUAGAAGACGAGCUGGGGGUGGGAGAGGGUGGUGGGUGCCAAGUAGAGGAGGGAGGUCCCCGCAACGGUCGGGAAAAGCGGCGCAAGAUCGCAAAUACAACGCCAAAAUAUUGAAGAGUGUCGUCGCUAACAAAAAACAACCUACAUAACAAAACAUAAUCAAUAAAGAUAAAGCACAACAAAACCCCAAACGAUCGGGGAAGACAAAACCACCUACGUGCAACACCGUAACGGACACACAACGAAACAACACUCAGAUUUACAUAUCCGGCCAUAAUAGUAAAAUGGCAAACGGAAUCACCGACUCCGAACCAUCAUAGUCAACAAAUGAAAUCUAGAUAACCAGAGGAGGAAGAAGUGCAAUACCUCAGCGGCUACAGCCACACAACCAAAGAGCACCCAAAUCCCUAAAUUCGGCGACAACAACACAUCAGCGUCGAAACCGUUGCUAACAAGCCACCGCCGCCAACAAGAACCUUUGCAAAAAUUUAUUACUAUCUACUCCCUCUGAUACUAAAUUCUUGGCUCAAAUUUGUCCAAAUAUGAAUGUAUCUAUUCUUAAAAGCGUCUAGAUACGUAUAAUAUUUCGACAACAAUUUAGCAUCGGAAAGAGUAUUAAAUUGCAGUUAGUGGUGAUGGCGGACGGCGGUAGGUCGUUGUUUUUUCAUCAAAAUUACGAACAUGCCACGUCAUCCGCCGUCACUACCAACAACCAUGGUCAACCAAACGCCGACCCAGGCUCAUCCCUAGGAAUGGCGACUCAUGGUGGGGCGCGGUUCUUCGCUCACACGACGGUCAGAUCAUCUUUCUGGAAGCCGAAAGUCGUGCCUGCUCGGGAAGGCAUUGCUGGCCUAUGCACAGAUACUGGUGCUUAUGUGCAUUUGGAAAGCGACUGUCAGGUGCUCAUUGACAGUGUCAAAUCGGCGGAGGCUAAUCGUUUGUCAGCUUGUUUCAGUCUUCGCGAUCUUGAUAGGCAGGUUAGAAUUAGCUGGAUUGCCCGGUCUGGGCAGUUUGCUAGAGAAAAAGCUUCGUCUGGUCUCUUAAUUGGUUCGAUCCUGGGCCUGUCCAGGGUCUCCUAAAAUGUAACUGUAAUUUGGUUAAUCAGCCAGCUAAUUGAGUGCUUUUUUCCCAUAAAAGAAAAGAUGCCUGCUUUGUUCGUCGUAACCGACUGGUUUGAUCCAUGAUUCGAUUCUGCAACAAUCCGAAUUGGCGAAGAAAAGGAUGAAACUACUCAUCGGUGGUGCCACUAGAAACAACAAAAUCACGAAGUUACCUAUCAUAAAGCUCGAUUCAAUUCUUACUCUGCUACUCCUUAGUCCCUCUCAGUUCAGUGAAUUUCUCACAAACCUGGAGUAGAUUCGAAGAUAUGUACUCAAGAAAUCUGGGAUAGAAGAGGAGGGAAAAGAAGAGAGGAGGAAGAGCUUACCUGCUGCCAGCUGCUAGGCCCUCUGUGCCGGUCGCCGGCCAGGUCCUCCGCACCGGCCGCUGAUCGCGGAUGCCUGGUGGAUCGUGAGAUCGUGAGAGGAAGAAGUCGAACGGACUAGCUUCUUCGUUUCGUAUUUUUUUCCCAAGGGCAAAUAUGUCAUUUCGUUUGCAGGUAGGAGUAUUCAUCCGCGGAAGCAAAUUGGAUUUUAUCAGAGGCAGGUGAACUUGGGGAUAUAUAUGACCAAAAAUCCCCACUCCUAGGGUUCCCCUGAACCGCUCGCACACACAUCUCCGCCUCCCCUUUCUUCUUCUAAGUUCUAAUCCCCCCUCGAACCUGCCAGCCGUCGCCAUUGCCGCGGUCUAAGACGAACUCCCCAAACCCGGUCAUAACGUCCUACGGCCUACGGGGCGCCAAACGCGCCCCGAAAUCGGCGAAGAACUUGAACGCGAUUUGAAGCAGGCACCAUAGGACCACACGCGCAAUUCCAUUCUUCCUUGUUCUCCUCUAAUUUUCUGCUGGUUUGACCACACGAUAAGAACAGAUCCACCAGUGUUCAGAUCUAUUGGACCAGUGUGCGUCUGUGGACGCGUGGAACAAACACUGACCUGAGGAUUGGAUCAUUGGGUUGCUUCGGAUUCGAUUCGUGCGAUCUGUUUUUUUGGUGCCCAGGACAUGAUCAAAUCUGUGGUGUAUUUUGGGCACAUCCCCAUUGGGGACGUGGAUGUGUGGCCAAAAGGCGAGACGAACUUGGCAGCGGCGGCGUGGGUGCGGGAGAUCCGGUUGGACCGCCUCUCCCCGCCCAGCGAGCGGUGCCCGCCGCUCGCCGUUCUGCACACUGUAUCCUCCCGCUGCCUUGUGAUGGAGUCGAGGCUGACAGUCACAGCGGACGAGCCCCCGCCGCCGCUUGUUGACAUGCACACCGCUUGCCUCAGAGACAACAAGGUAUAUGAAUUAUUCCCGACAAUCAGAAGACAAUUUGAAUAAAUGAAAAAUGCAAACGUUUUUAACUGACAAGUUCACUCGAGCAAAGGAAUAUUAAUUAGCACAUGAUGUACUUGGUGCAUUUUUUUCUGAAACAUUUACUGCAUUAAUGAUUACAACAAUUCAGACUGAACAAUUUAUUCUGUGGACAGGGAUUUUUGCAAGGAUGUGUAGUUGACUAAUGAUACAUUGAUACUAUUGGAACUUAUAUAUUAGAGUUCACUUUUCUAUGGACUAAGGACUUGGCUUUUACUUGAUUGAAUUAAUAGAAAUAUAAAACCUGGCCUGUCUAACAAUAAGGUUAUAGCCUUAAAGGAACAGUGUUUCAAAAUUGAAACAGGGCAACAUAUAUUUCAAUUCUUGAAUACGAAAGAUUGUCUGUGGAGACCUACUAGAGAUUAUGAAGGGUUUCUUUUCUUCGACACUUGUGGACUUUGGACUUGACAUUACUUGUUCUCAGAUGUUCAUCACCACAAUUCAGUGUGAACUCGGAACUCCACAUACUGAAAGUGAUAUGUGAGGAAUGAGCGAAGUGUUGCUUAAAGCCUUAAACUACUUUUGAGUUUGAACACAUUAAUGUGCAUGGUAUUCAUCUGCUACCAAGUUAAUGUGCUACUUGAUUCCACUGGACGCGAAUUCUUUGAGGAGCACAACUAUAUAAAGUAACCUGUUUUGCCCUUGUAGUUCGCCAUAUGGUGACAUUGCUGUGAAUAUUCUUGGGUUCUAUUUGUUUGUUUUACGAUUCAAUGUAGAUAGUUCUCAGCCAAUCCAUGCAAGAAAAUAUGGAACAAAAUAUGCUGUCCUUUGCCUUCCCUUUCUCCCUUUUUUGGUAGUGCUCUUUGUACAGGUAUGUGCUAAAUGCCUUGGGAAUUACCCUCCCUUAUACUUGGUUGCAUUUUACAUUUUCUAUCCUUAUUGUGCGUCCUUUCCUAAUGAAGCGUCCAUUCUGUUCCUUAUAUCAUUCUAAUUAUUUCUUUGUGCUUGCAGACAGCGGUUUUUCCACUUGGAGCAGAAGAGAUCCAUUUAGUAGCUAUGAAAGACAAGAGAAACUUGCCAAACCAUGUGUGUUUUUGGGCCUAUAAACUACCGUUAGGCUUGUAUAAUUCCUGCUUGAGCAUGUUGAAUCUUCGGUGCCUUGGUAUUGUGUUUGACCUUGAUGAAACACUAAUUGUCGCCAAUACCACUCGGUCUUUUGAAGACAGAAUUGACGCACUCCAGAGAAAGUUGAGUAAUGAGACUGAUCCGCAGCGCAUCAGUGGUAUGUUGGCAGAGAUUAAGAGGUACCAAGAUGACAGGUCUAUGCUAAAGCAGUAUAUAGAAAGUGAUCAAGUUAUUGAUGGUGGGAAAGUUUAUAAAGUACAGUCUGAGGUUGUCCCGCCUUUAGCUGAUAAUCCUCAACCUAUGAUACGUCCUAUCAUAAGGCUACAAGAGAAAAGUAUUAUAUUCACACGCAUAAAUCCAUCGGUACGUAGUUCAUUACUUUGUUCUUAAAGCUUGUGAUAGCCAAAAGCCUGCUGUCUCUCUGCAUUUAUAUCCACAGCCUGUUUGGUUACGGUGCUGUCUGUUGUUCAUGCAUUACACAGUUGCUUGCAGAGCUUGGAUCAUAUUAAAUAAAGUCCUGCCCAUAGUAUUCAUGGCAGGUUGCGUCCAUUAGAUGUUGUGGACAACCAAAAGCUGUUCUUGUUUUCUUGGGCGUGCUGACUUUUGCUUUGUUAAUACUUGGCACUUGCUUCUCUUUGGUCUUGAUUCAAACAUGUUUGCUUGUUGUUAGACUUUAGAGUUGAUUUUCCAUUCCUUUUUCUGUUAGAUAAGAGAUACCAGUGUUCUGGUACGGUUAAGGCCUGCAUGGGAUGAUCUUCGGAGCUACUUAAUUGCAAGAGGCCGCAAGCGUUUUGAGGUAUAUGUGUGCACAAUGGCUGAGAGGGACUACGCUUUGGAAAUGUGGAGGUUGCUCGAUCCUGAUUCUAGACUGAUAAACUCGGUUCAACUUCCUGACAGGCUUGUCUGUGUCAAAUCCGGUAUGUGUUAAAUCUUGCCUCCAAUCAUGACAAUAACGAAAUGAGUGUAGUUUUUUUUACAUACUGUUUGAAUCGUGAUGUCUAUCAUUUACCUCCUUAUUAUGUAUUUCCAUGUGCAUUCAUAUAAUAACUUGAUAUUUUCAUCCUUUUGAGGUUAAUGCUAAAUUUAUUCAUGUAGGUUCUAGAAAGUCUUUGCUCAAUGUAUUCCAUGAUGGAUCUUGCCACCCUGGAAUGGCCCUAGUGAUUGAUGACCGUCUGAAAGUUUGGGAUGAAAAGGACCAGGGUCGAGUUCACGUUGUUCCUGCCUUCUCUCCAUAUUACGCUCCCCAGGCAGAGGUAAUGUCUAUUUGUAGUUAUUCUACCAUCAAGUUAUCUUACCGUAUUGAUUACCGUGGUCACUUCGUCUUUAAUUUGUUACAGGAAAACUUCCCUAUUCCAGUUCUCUGUGUUGCUAGAAAUAUUGCGUGCAAUGUUAGGGGUGGCUUCUUCAAGUAAGAACAACAUCUUUGCUAUAUGCUACCACAUAAACUUGUUUUCCUGCUACUUGCACCAGAAAGCAACGUCGGAUGAUUUGUCCAUGCAGAAAAUUUAUGGUUCAGUUUGCAGGGAAUUUGAUGAGGGUCUCCUACCAUGGAUUAGUGAGGUUCAUUUUGAUGAUGAAUUAAAUCAUGUUCCUUCUGCUCCUGAUGUUGGUAAUUAUUUGGUUUCCGAGGUAAACUUUGUAAAGGCAGAUGCUUCAGAUUUACUACCUUGAAGUACCAACUUACACUGUUCUUUUGCCUUGUUAGGAUGAAAGUGCCUCAAUUUUGAGUGUAAACAAAGAUCCACUGGCUUUUGAUGGGAUGGCAGGUCCAGAGGUGGAGAGGAGACUGAAGGUUUGCACUUGUACUAUCUUGUUCUGAAUUCCUUGUUACAAAAAGAUGAAUUGUGAAACGAAUGAUAUCCAUUUGCUCUUAUGGUUGAGUACUAAGGUUCUAUGACGCUUUUAAAAAUAUUUUGUCCAUUUGCUCUUAUAGUUAAGGAAUACAUUUAUGAAUCAGAAGGAAAUAAUGGUUUAAUAUUUUUCAUGUGUAAAGUUUAUUAAAUUAGUAAGUUGAGUUAGGCCUGAAAAUAAAUAAACUAAAAUUCUUUCUUUAACAUAUCAACACCUUUUUUGCAUAACUUGACCUCUUGGUUCAUUUGUCAUUGAAUACAAUAAGGUAGUGUUUGGUUGAGAUCACGAACUGAAAUGUAAUGGAAUGGUUCCAAAAGUUGAGAUGAUUCCUGUGUUUGGUUCUUAGAACACAGAGAAGUGGAAUGGAACCAUAUGGUUCCUCAAAAGGGAAUAUUCCCUCAAUAUGCCUAACCAUCUCAUUCCUCAAAAAUGUAGGAAUGAGUUGGUUCCAAGUAGAACCAGUGAUCUAAGUGUUUGGUUCUUAGGAUAUAGAAAAGUAGAACCGUUCCAUUACAUUCCAUUCCUAUAAGAAUAGAACCGUUCCGUUCUGUUCCACCUCGCUCUAGAACCAAACACUACCUAAGAGUCUCAUUACCAACAGUAGCAUAAAAUUUAUUUGAAAAUGCGGUUGCAGGAGACAAUAUUGCAACAUCGGGUCAUUGUUUUAUUUGACCCAAUACAAAAAUAUGCUCCCCCUUCCAUAAAUAUAUGGCAUUUAGGACAUGGACGUAGUCUGCAACAUGCAUUUUUCUAUUUGUACGAUCUUAUCCACCUAAUUUACUGUUUAGUAUAUCUCUAUGCUCUAGGUCUGAUAACCCCUAAAUUAGCUGAAUACAAGAAUACAAGAGUUCCUUUUUAUUAAACUGAAUGAGCUUAUAUUAGCAUCGCUUCUUUUUUUUGUUGAAACAACUAACGCACAACGCUAAAACUAUGCAUAUGCCCUAUGGUGGUGAUUCAAUGGGUUGUCUUCAUGUAACACAAAUGUUGAUGUAAACAGCAGGCCAAUAUCCUCACAUUUCUUAGCAAUUACCAUUGUUUGUAAUGCAUAUCUAAACUACUUUUCAGGAAGCAGGCCACAGUGUUCAAACUGUGGGUCCAAUAACUACAAAUGUCGAUGUGAUGUCAGUAGCUUCUAACCAGCAAUUGGUUACACCUUCAUCUAUCCCGUUAGCACCAGUACUGGGGAUGGUGCCUUUGAAUAACGUUCAAGGUCCGCAGUAUCAAUCUGCUAUUGUGGAUCCGUUGCAAGGUUCUCCAGCUAGAGAAGAGGGUGAGGUCCCCGAGUCUGAGUUGGAUCCUGACACAAGGAGAAGGCUUCUCAUAUUACAGCAUGGCCAAGACACCAGAGAUCCUACACCACCCUUUCCUGCAGAACCUUCUGUAGAAGUACAGGUCUCAGUUCCUCCAGUGCAAUCUCAGGGAAAUUCGUUUUUCAUGGAGGAUUGGAUGGACCCAAGAAGCUUAGAUAGGACCUCGAUGGGUUUUCCUUUAGAAUCUGAUUCUGUACAUUAUGAUAAAAAGCAACCGCCGCAGCCAUCAUACUUCCAUGGUGGGGAUGAUCAUUUAUCUUCUGAUAGAUUUAACUAUCAGAACCAGAGAUAUACUUCUCAGGUGACUAAUGAUCUAUUUUGAUCAAAUUUAAUUUAUCUUUGUUCAUUAAUGAGGUGAUUCUAGAUGAUGUGGUGACAAAUGCUUGAUUUGCUCAGCUGCCUCACAGUGAGGAUUGCCGUAUGCUUCCGAACCAGGCACCUACAACCUAUAGGUCCUUUUCUGGUAUGUUUUUGCUUGCCGUUGAUAUUUCUUUUGUGCCUACUGAAUGUAGAAGCUUAAGAUAUUUAGAAUAUGCUAUUAUAUUAUUUAAUUUAUAAUAUCUUUAUUACUCUUAUAAAGAUCUGAGUUGGUUGGUCUGGUCACUCCAUAGACUAGCAGCAAAUUGCAGUAAUUGCCACCUAUUCUAUGUGGUAGAUAUACAUACCACAAUCUUUCAAUUAUAGUUGAUUUGACCUUGAGAUAAUUAUUAUUUAGCGCAAAAUUGGGGAAUAUAAGGGCGCAAGCCUUUAAACCUAGACAUUACAGUUCGGUUCAGUUUUGACAUAAAUGGCUAGACAUUAUGGCUUGGGCAUAAUCUGUACUCUGUUAAUAUGUCCGCAAGUUAGUCAUUACAGUUUGGUUCAGUUUUAGAAAUGAUAAUAUACUAAGUCCUUUGAGUUAUUUUGGCUGGGUUUUGUUAUACUCCCUCGGUCAUCCUUUAGGAGGCGUCUUAGAUUUUACACGGGUACCAAGGCAGUCUAAAGUGGCUAUAUUUUGGACGAAAUUACCCCUAGCUUGCAGCACUGUAUGCGAAUAGAAAAGAAGCAAGUGAUUGGCAGUGUGCAUGAUGGGAAGUGUGAACGCUGGCUGGGAAGCAAAGGGGCUCUCUCGGGAAGCCAAGGGACCGAUUAAUUUAGUCUGCAUGCAUGCGUAUGAUGGCAGAACGGAGAGAGAAAACAGGAGCAUUCUGGGCACCGUACAUCUGAAAAAGGUUAUACGCCUGCAAAAUCUGGACAACACCAUACAAAUAACACGCCCCCCUAAAAGUGGGCGGAGGGAGUACUGUCUUGUUAGUAUGCCUUAAGUUAAUGACUACAAUGGAUGGGCAUAAUCCUUUUUUUUAACCAAACAGACUUAAAUCCUUUUAAUUGCAUUGGAGGGAGUAGUAAAGUUGUACCAAGUCUGAGACACUUAUUAUGGAUCGAAGGGAGUAGUAAAGUUAUGUGGUACCUUUUUCUGAUAUGUUUUCUUAUAUUGAAUGAUUUUCUUAAUUUUACUUUAGCUGCAUAAGUAAAUUAAUUGCAUGCAUAUUUAGUGGUUGAACACCAUGGUACUAUUUCUGAACUCAUUGCAAGCGCAAGCGUCAAUUAGUUUAACAUAUCUAAGUGCAUUUGUCAUGUAUUGUUUUCCUUCUUUUGGUGUAUUCUCCUACUCUCCUGUGGUUAGACGAUGAUGUAAGAUGCUCUUUCCAUGCCAAUUAAUUGAAUAUUUGUGCACCUUUUCAUGCUCCAGUACCCCAGUGUAUGUAAACCCAUCAGUGUGUGACUGUUACCAGCUACGGCGGAGAAUAAUAAGAUUGCCCUCUGCCUCUUAGUAAUCCUGUAUACAUGGUCAUUUGAAUGCUAAUGUUUGGGAAUACCAUAGAGGUGAUAAAAAUAAGAACUGGAUAGAUGAUUGCGCCCUUUAGUGCUGUCCUUUGAAUGUGGUUUGUUACAUGUAAGAAAUUCUUGUUUGCUCUCAGUGGUGCUCCUGGGACUCCCCUACAGUUUUGCUAAUAAAUAAAUAAAUUGCAAUUUCAUGGAUGCCCCUCUUAAACUAUUUUAUUUGUCUUAGUCUAGAGUAUCUGAAACUGUAUUUUCAAUGUGAAGGAGAGGGCACAGCAACCCAGCGCCUUCAUUCAGGGCAGAGAAGCGGCCAAUUGGAAUCAGGACAUCAAUUUGUACAAUAUACAGAGACAUCUGGUGGUGUGCUGCAGGAGAUUGCGGCGAAGUGUGGAUUUAAGGUAGUUUUGUUGCAAGUAGCGACAAAUCAGAUAUACCUUAUCUUCAGUAUGUUUUAGUUUUACCGUAUCUGAUGUGUUUCAUCACUUGUUUCUAGGUGGAGUACCAGUCAACUUUAUGUGAUACUGCAGAGUUGCGAUUCUCCAUUGAGGUAUUACAACUCCUGCCGACUGAAAUGUCAACAAUGUUUUAAUAAACAAUCUUGUUAAUGAAAAAUGGUAUUUUCUUUUAUUGGAAAAUUCGAAAACUUGAUGUUGAUGUGGACGCCAGGAUAUAAUCUUGAUAACAAGAGUCACCAGAUAGCAACUAUUUGACAUACAUUUAAAUUUCAUGAACAAUUUAAGUAUGCUGCUGAAUGGAAAUUGUUCUAGUCCGCUUGCAGUUUUCACAAUUUCUCACAUUUUUCCAUCUUUAACUUCCGUGUGGCUCUUCCAGGUUUGGGUUCUUGGAGAAAAAGUAGGUGAAGGAAUGGGAAGAACUAGGAAAGAAGCACAACGGCAGGCUGCUGAUAUAUCUUUAAGAAAUUUGGCAGGUGGGUUUGUGUUGAGCUCCCUAGUUUCUUGAUUCCAGACGACAACUGGCAAAUAUGUAACCUGGACUUAUGGGUGGUUGAUUCUGGGUAUUAAUAGCAUAUGAAGCAAUCGGCUGUUCAAGAGGAUUUUUUUUAUAUUAGCUUACUUCAAAGAUAUCAUCAAAGUCUCUGAAUCUUUGGACAGCUUGUUGUUCUGAUUUCUGACGCUCUAAGCAUGUUUCAGCUAUUAGUUAUCUGAGGUCGCUGAAAUGUUCCUCCAUUUCUUUGUGUCUGUCCAUAAUUUCCUAAUUUCCACUUUGGUUGAUCUGAUCUACGGGCACAUAUUGUCAAUCCAAAUUAGGCAGAAAAUUAUAAAUACUGUAAUGAAUCAAUCUUCCCAUAAAGUGUAUAUAAUUGUCGCUUUCUUUCCUCGCAGUAUGUGUUAGAUUUUGACGGUGAAGUUUUCUUGCAGAUAAAUUUCUGUCAUUUGAUCCAGAUAAGAUGACAGUUCUUAAGGAUAACGGUUUUAGUAGCAAUCCAAACGUAUUCAGGUAUACAGGAAGUAACAGAGAUAACAUGUUAACACCUGCAAACACUUCAGAUGAUUCUAGAUAUAUGAAUGAAAGACUUGACAAUUCAAGCAAAUCUACUGGCUCUGUUGCUGCUCUCAAGGAGCUUGUAAGUUACCUGCUUUAAUUAUCAGUUAUGAACAAAGUGUAUCCUUAUAACUGAGAUAUAUGUUUCCAUGUGUUGCAGUGUACAGCAGAGGGGUAUAACUUAAUUUUCCACGCUCAGCCAUCUCUGUCAGAUAGUUCGACAGGUAAAGAAGUUCAUGCGCAGGUUAGUACUCCAUUUUGGCGAAUGCUCAUUGAAAUUAUCUCAUACAUGUAACAAUGUGCGCACUAUGAGUGUACUUAGUAAAAGCAAACUUCCGUUGACUUUAAAAGAUGGUACAAGAUGAUAUUCUGAUUGUGAUGUUUUGUAUUACGGUAAUGCCAGUAGAAUAGCAUUUGUUUUAUGUUGUUAUCAACUCGUCAUUGGUUAAGGGAUGCUCCGAUAAGAUUUUGAUCUGAUGGAUUCAAUAGAAAACAUCGUUUGAACUUACUUCCAUUUUUCAAGGAACUCGUGCUCUCGGUGUACUUUCUUUUUCUUUUGGUUUACUUGCAUUUGGCUUUUCAGGUCGAAAUAGGUGGGCAAAUCCUGGGACAAGGAGUUGGAGCAACAUGGGAGGAAGCCAAGCUGCAGGUUGUGUGAGCUGAUAAGAACAAUAUUUUUAUUCAUUUCUUCACUUCAUUCUUCUUGGAGUUUUGAAAUCUCUUUACAACCUUAAUUACCAUCCUUUCUGGAUGCAAUGUGGGGUUGGUUUCCUAAGGUGUCUAAGACAUUACUUUUAUGGUUUACUUUUGAUGCAAUGUACAUUUGUUUUGGAGAGCUUUUCUGGAUUACGUGCAGUUAAUUUUCAGUAUUUAUUCCUGAGCCUGUUCUCUUACAUAAAUGUCCUUUUGUAGGCUGCUGAUGGGGCUCUGGGAACUUUGAAAUACAUGCUCGGUCAACUUGGACAGAAACGGUCUGGAUCUCCAAGGUGAUUGUUAGCCAGUCUCUUGUUUGUUGUAGAUCUGUAAGAUCAUUAGCACUCGAGUAUUGGAAUAGACCCGGACAAAGUUCUUUUGGAAUGUGGUGUUUCAUGCUUUUGGAUGGGGGGCUAGGUUUUAUCUGAACAGGGGAUAUUUUCCCUAUUUUCAUUUUUCAUACAAGUAAAUAUAAUACCAGGUUAAAGCACAUCUAGCACACACUAAGGAGUCUGCCGUAAGAUAGAAGUAAGCAGCUUAUACGUGAGGCUCACUUGUUUGCUGUUUAAAGUUAGAUGAUUAACAAUGGCGUAGUAUGAAAUCUGGAUGCUUAGAUUGACGCCAUUUAGCCAUUAUAAAUGGCGCACUGCUGUAAACCCUUGACAGAAGUGUUGGAAGAAAAGUUUCCAUUGUCUAGAUUCUGGGCUAGCAGGAAUGAUGCUUGUUUGAUUACAGCUAGCCAAGAAGAGAUAAAUUCUAUGCCCUUUGAACAGAGAUAUGCUGUACUGCUAUAGCACCCUAGUCAGUUUUAGAGAAACUGUAAUCAACAACUAGCUGUGCACACAUCCCAUAUUGCAUUUGGUCCUCUUUAGUUUUUUUUAAUUCAUUAAUGUAGCUUAGGUUAUUGUUGUACACGAGCAAAAUUUUAUCACAAACUACGGCUAUUUGUGACCUGUGAAAAAAAAGAAAGAGAUACAUACAUAGCGCAGGAUACUAUUCAUUUGUUUUCUUUUUUGCACAGUUCACAAAUGGUCAUAAUUUUAUGAUGAAUUUUGUAAAUAUAACAUAACCUAUCUCCAUGAUUUAUUUUUUCAAAUUUUCUGAACAAUCAGAAGAGCCACUUGAAAUAUAGAGUGUGCGCGCAUUUAGUUGUCGAAAAUCCACAUUUGUUACCUUGUUCAGUUUUGUAGUUGAUGAUGAAGUUGGCUGAUUUUAGUUUAGUGUUGACCAUAAUAGUGAUUGCUCUUUCCGCAGAUCAUUUCCAUCCAAUUUUGGUAAGCGCUUCAAGCCAGAUUUCCAGCGGACGGUGCAAAGGGUUCCUUCUGGCAGAUAUGCUAGGAAUGAUGGCCGUGUUCCUUGAUUUUAUUGUGUCGGAAUCCUGGAGUUCUAAGGCCCCAUUUGUUUGGGCUUCAGCUUCAGCUUUUGGUGUUUCUAACAAUCUCAAAAGCACUUCUUCCGUUUACACAUGAUGCUGAGAAGCACCUCCGGACGUGCUUCUCAGCUAGAAGUACCAAAAGCACGUCCGGAGGUGCUUCUCAACUUCAUGUGUAAAUGGGAGAAGUGCUUUUGAGAUUGCUAGAAGCACCAAAAGCUGAAGCAGAAGCCGAAACAAACAGAGCCUACGCUGGACAGGAUCCGGAGUGGGUCGUGCAGGGUUGUUCAAAGGGAAUGAUUUUUGUAUCGGUUGUAGAGUGGGUACGGAGUGGGUUGUAAUAGAAUAGUUGUUUUUGUUGCCUGCGGGCCUGUAAGUGCGUCGCGGUAAUUUCUUCAAUAUAUAAUACACCUACUUGGGUGUAUUCUAAAAAAAAAAGCUGGACAGGAUCCAUCAGUAGUUCAUCGCAAUCUGUUGCCCCUCAAGAGCUUCCAUAUUAUGCUGUGUUUGGUUGAGGGAAUGAAAAGUGUAAUAUAAUGUAAUGGUUCUACUUUUGUGGGUGGUUCUUGUGUUUGGUUGAGGUAAUACAUCAAAAUGGAAUGGAACCAAGUGGUUACGUUCCUUCUCAGACCUGGCGGCUUCUCCUCUGAAGCCAUGGCGUCUGUCCCUGCUCCCACCCCCGUGACAGGUCUCAAUGACGACGGAUUCAUUCAUGUAUUUUUCCCCUAUAGACGCUCAAUUGAAACCCGCUGCAUAGCAAUAGAUGAGUAUGCACGUGUUUAGUUUAAAUUACCUGUAUAUUAUUUAUUUAGUUAGGAGGUGGAGUAGUUAGAGUUUUCAAUUUUGCUAUGUGGUCGAGUUUCUCUUGUAACUUGAAUAUUUGCCUCUGCCUCUGGUGCCGGCUUAAAAGAAUGUUCUAUCCAGAUUGAAACUAGAGUGUUCUGUUUUGCAUGGUAUUUAUAACGGAGUAGCGGACGUAGAAGUAACCAUUGGGUCCUGGAUGUUAACUUUUCUUACUCCUGUAUGAAGUGUUUCGGGUUAACGAAUCGUCGACGUAAGGAGUGCAAUGCUGAUGAUGAACCACAGAGGAUCUAGGUUUGCCGAUCUACUCAUCGAUCGUCCCAUCAUGGCAUCAUGCCAUUUGUUUGAGCAAACUACUACUCAUACUCCACCUACGUAGGUUUCACUCCUUACCGUGCGUACUGUCCAAAGCUGAAACUCCGUCGUGUGCUUGUCAUGCUAACCAUCUUCCUUUUUUUUCUUGAGAUCUUUUACGGUGCCUUCAAGUUGUUGUGAGGCGUCUAUUUUAUUUGAUCCGAAAGCCCACAUUAAUUUAUACUGAGGGUAAAAACAGGAGUAUCAAAACGGACUGGUACUUAGAUGAAGGGCAAAAUCGGUACGUAGUCCCAAAAAAUAUCGCGCACGACACGAAAAAAAAAACUCCUGCAGAAAAAUGCCGACCCAGGCCCAUCUGACCGAGCUCUCCCUCAUCGUCUCGGUCGCUCGAAACUCCGGAACGAGUCGUUCCUCAUCCGCUCACGCUGUGCCAAACGAGGAACGGAGUCGGCCGGCCUGUUUUGGAGCAGAGGAACCUGGGGGCGGAGCUGGUGCCGCCGGCCUGUUUUGGAGCAGGCCGGGCGAAGGUCGUAUGGUAGCAUGGAGCGAAGGGCUGGGGUUCCAGGCGGCGUGCACAGCGGCAAGCAUGACGAGAGAGAGCUCUAUGGUUGCAGCCUGACCAGGGAGAGGUCUACUACGGUGACAGUCUGAAGGGGUGGUGACGGCACAGGACGGAGCGGCGCUCCGUUUAUUUCACGAUGAUGCCGACGUCUGGAGAUCGAUCGAUGUAUCCCUGCUUUUUUUUGCUGAUCGGUAGUUUUUGGGUUUCAUGGGCCUCAUCCGGUCAGGCCUAAGGCCUAUGAAAAAAUAUUGGACGCGAAAAGUCUAAACUACCCAAAUCCAACAGCUAAACAAUCGACUGAUCUAUAAAAAAAAUUCAGAUGGCUCAGUUAUAGCAAAAAAAUUCAAACAAUUGUGACUGAGCUAGUAUUAUUUCUUUAUUUCUUGACCGGGAAAAAAAGGACCCACAGAGUGAGGGUGGGGAAACAAUACACACCGACACGGCGUGCUCUGUACCCUGGUUAUUUGGUGUGUAUUUUCCAAUCCCCGGACAGUUGCAUAACCAAAGCGUUGACAUGCACAUGCGUAUUUUCAAUUAUAUGAAACACGCUGGAUUGAUCAAGCAUCGUCCAUUGAUAAGAUAUCCCGGAAUCACGUGGAAGUCGAUCUCAUUAGUAAGUAAUAAUUCCCAAGUGCGGCGCUACUUGACUAUUUCUGGGCCAUAGUUUCAAAGUAAAAAUGAACUAAUGCUCGGCCAGCAUGUGCUCGUCCUCAUUUGAGCCAUCACUAAGCACAAGUUAAUUUCAUGCAAAGGGCACACCUGGGUCAAUCCUUUAUCGUAAACGGUAGUAGAGGACGCGCACACAUAUGCAUGCAUGUAUACGAGACUAACGACAGGCAGCCGAAGUAAAACAAAUCCUUCGUAGAACAGCAAAGCAAGUGUACUUAAUUUUAACCUAUCAGCAGCUGUUCGAUCAUGCGGAUGGCGCUCCCUCCCUUCCCAUGUUACAAAGACAGGGAAGCAAAAUUAACAAGAGUUUACUUGGCAACUACGGGGGCAGCUAGCCAUUGCACACGUAGCGCAAGGAACCAAGACCGCCAUGGCCACCCCUCCUGCUGCAACCCUCUUCUUUUCUCCGGCGAUGACGCCGGCCCCUCGGAAGCCAUUGCUCCUCCUCUCCCUCUCACUCCCCGUCCUGCUCCUGCUCUUCUCCCUCGUCUUCCUCCUGUCGCACACCACCUUCAGCCUCCUCCUCUGCCCCCUCCUCCCGCAGUCGCCUUCGAGGUCAGCAAAUGCCACGACCACCACUUCUCCUCCCAGUGCUGCUGCUACUAGCCUCGAUGCCUCCAUGGACAAGACCCUGCGAGCAUUCCAUUUAUCCUCAUCGCCGCCAUCGCCUCCUCCUCUGGUGGUCGUCAAGACGACGAACAGCAAGAAGGCGUCCACGAAGAAGCGGAACAAGAGCCUAGUGAAGCUCCUGCUGAGGCAGACGCCCCGGACGCGCCGGUUCGCGUCGCGCGCGGCCGAGCUCUUCGCUCCGCAGCCACCGGCGCGCCCGUGCGCGCGCCGGUUCUUCAUGACGUGGCUCUCCCCGCUGGAGCAGUUUGGCAGCCGGGAGCCCCUCGUCCUGGAGACCCUCUUCCGGUGGCACCCGGACGCCUGCGUCCUCAUCGCCUCGGACACCAUGGACUCCCCCGACGGCGCCACCAAGCUCAGCCCGUUCGCCGACCGCGGCUUCCGCGUGGCCGCGCUCUCCCCUGACCUGGCGCACCUCCUGGCCGGCACCCCCGCCGAGCCCUGGCUCGCCUCGGUGCGCCGCGGGGAAGUCAGCCCCGGCAGCGUGCCCCUGGGCCAGAACCUCUCCAACCUCCUCCGCCUGGCUCUUCUCUACAAGUACGGCGGCGUGUACCUCGACGCCGACGUCGUCGUGCUCAGGCCUUUCAUGGAGCUCGGCGCCCGGAACGCCAUCGGCGCGCAGGCCGUGGACGCGGCCACGGGGGAGUGGACGCGGCUCAACAACGCCGUCAUGGUGUUCGACCGCCCGGGCCACCCGCUGCUCCGCGAGUUCAUCGCCGAGUUCGCCGCCACGUUCGACGGCAGCAAAUGGGGCCACAACGGGCCGUACCUGGUGUCGAGGGUGGUGGCGAGGCUCCGGGGACGGAUGAUGCCGUGGCUCGGCGUCACGGUGCUGCCGCCCCGGGCGUUCUACCCCGUGGACUGGAACAGGAUCGGCGGGCUCUUCGUUUCGCCCAAGGACAGGAAGGGCGAGAAGUGGGUGAAAGCCAAGGUGGAUAGCAUCAAAGGCAAGAGCUUUGGCAUCCAUCUGUGGAACAGGGAGAGCAGGGGGAUGGAGGUGGAGGAGGGGAGCGUGAUCGGAAGAUUGAUUGCGGACAGCUGCUUGUUCUGCAAUUCCUCCAUGCAAGGGUACCUCAAGGGGAAAAGUGUGUCCUGAAUCAACAUGAUUUCAUACUCCGGUGCUUGAGAAGUGCCUCGGCCGUUCAAGAUGGGUGCAUGUGCAUCCAACGGUACCAGAGUACCAGAGUGCUCCUGGUACAGCUUCCCCAUCCCGAUCAAAGAAACGAAGGUACGAUAACUUUUUGGCGCCUGGCCGGAAACACUCACCUUGGGACCCUGAAUUGGGAGCCACCGUGAGAGGUUCCCUCCCUCUAUUUUUCUGGUUUUUCUUCCUUGUUUUGCACCUUCGGGUGUUGUAAUUAAACUCCUGCUAUAAUAUGAAAAGCCAGCAAUUGCUGGAUCUUUGAGAAAAAAAGAGAGGCUGUAUCGUUGAAGUUCCUCGACCAUUCAAGAUGGCUUCGUUUGGUUCGGAUUGAACCAAUUCAAUACGAACCAGGAGAACAUGGAAACCACACCACUUGCUCUAUAUCACUAGCAUAUUCCUUUUUCUUUUUGAAAAAAUGGUACACUUGUAAUGAGUUAUCAUCAAAUUAUAUAAUGAAUUCUUCAUCAACUAUAUUCUUUUUGUCGGUGGAAGAUACCACCAGAUACAACAUCAUUCAUGUGUCGUCCCUCCCAGGUCAUAUUUGGGAUAUCUUUACACUAAAAACAUGAACAAUUUCAUCUAUGUUACACCUAUGCCCUCUAAAGUGGUGUCGAGCUCUCUAAACCGGCAGUGGUUAAAGGCAGGUUGAUCAUUUUCGAACCGGAUGUUCAGAAUCCUGUUGGUGACAGAAGCAAGAUGCAGCCUGAUCAACAUUGGAACAUGGAAUCACAUGAAGUUUCUUGUUACUGAUUAUGUCAGCCUAGAGAAUCAGACUUCUUCCCAUCCUGUAUUAAGUGUUGUGUAUCCUCAAGCUCUACCUCACCUCCUCUCGAUUCUUUCCCAACUUCAAACAUCAUUUCAAUCUGCUCCAGAGUUUUCCCUUUAGUUUCCGGCACACAGAAGUACACAAACGCAACAGAGACAGUUGAGAUUGCUGCGAAGACGAAGAACAUUCCUGCCACAGAUAUAGCACGGGCCAUGGAGAGGAAUGACAUGGAAACCAAACCACUGCCAACUCUACCACCUACUUGACCAAGUGCUGAUGCCUGAGCUCGUAAUCUUAUAGGAAAUAUCUCUGAAGACAAGACCCAACAUAUCGGUCCCAUCCCGAUUGAGAAGAAUGCCACAUUCCCACAGACUGCAAAUAUUGCUAGGUCAAUCCCAACACUUGGAGAAAUAAGCCCCACUGCAUGCUUUGGCAACGUAAGUGCAAUCCCCAAGACAAAUAAGCAGACAGUCAUGCCAAUGGUGCUCACAUAAAGAAGAGGCUUGCGCCCAACUUUGUCAAUGAGGAAAAUUGCAACCAAUAUGAAAAUCGUCUUAGUAAACCCAACUGCAACUGUUGCAGCAAGAAGCUCCUGGUCAGACUUGAUCCCAGCAUCCCUGAAAAUUGUUGGGCUGUAGUAGACAGUAGCAUCAAUUCCAGUGAUCUGUUGGAACAACUGAAUACCACAGCCAGCAUAUAGCAUCCGACGAACAGCAGGAGAAGGGUUCAAUAGCUCCCUCCACACUGCCUUGUCCUCUGAUUUCACCGACUUCAUAAUAUUUGCCGCUUCCUCAAUCUCAGCCAGCCUUUCCUCAACCUCAGCUUCUGACGCACUUAUCUGAAGCAACACUGCCCUCGCUUCUGGAACUCUCUUCUCCAUCAUCAGCCACCUAGGGGACUCAGGGAUCACAAAAAGAGCGACGCCAAUGAAGACAGAUGGGAGGAUCCCGACACCAAGCAUAACCCUCCAACUGAUGUGCUCAGAAAGGCCCGAGAAAGCAUAAUUGGAAACAUAGCCGAGGAGGAUCCCAAAAUUGAUGCAGAUCUCAGGGAGGGACGUAAGAGUCCCACGUGCAGCCGCGGGGGAGAUCUCAGCAAUGUAGACAGCAGAUAUCAUGGCGCCAAAGCCGAUGCCCACCCCGGCAAGAAGCCUCCCUAUCAUGAGCACAGUGAAUGAAGGGGCAAAUGUCAUGAUGGCUGCACCGGCCUGGAAGAUAAUUGCACCAAGGCCCAUUGUCCAUUUCCUGCCAAUUGCAUCAGAUGUUCUUCCUCCUGACAGACUUCCCAGGAGAGAAAUCACACUCAGGCAACCUACUAGGAUUUCUUGCUGGAACUCGGUAAUGUGGAGAUCUUUCUGGAUGUAGAUGAUUGCACCACUCAUGACACCAACAUCUGCAGGUAGCCACAUGAGUCUUGGGUUAACAAAAGAGUUAGACAACGGUCAAUCUUAUUUUCAUACCUAAGAAAUUCAAUAGCAUAGCAGCCAUACAAACUAAAUUGUCAUGUUUAUGCUGAUUUCCACGUUCAUGGCAAGCAGGGAUCAGAACCUCACUUGUAAAUCAUCUACUACAUAACUGUAAGUUACAUAACAUCGAGAUAAAAUCAUAAGAACUUCAUGCUGCAAUUUCCAGAUUCCACCUUCCGUGUAACGUUCGGAAUAAAAAUCAAGAGAAGAUUGCCUCUCGAAGGCAUGAAAAAAGUACCAAUACACUAGCAGUUCCAAAUUUCUGUUACGAUUCCAGUCACGCCCGGGUGCAGAGACUUAUGGAGAACACACUAUUUCUAUCAGUAAGCUCGGAUCCCCGAGGUCGCCCGCGGCGGCACUGCGAGAACUCACCGUAGCCGAGGAGGAUGGCGUUAAGCGAGGCAAAGAUGGCGCAGGCGUACACGAACCGCUCCUUGCUCCUCCUCUCGGACGCCGAGGCCGAGGCCUUCCGCCCUCGCGCCUCCGGCCCCGCCGUGUCGACCUCCGGCCCGCCGCUCGGAUCGAGAACCGCGUACUUGCUCCUGCCAUUGGAGGCCGCGCCCGCCAUCGCCCCGCCCCCGCGCUGCCGGCGACGCGGUUUUGCUGCUCUCGCGGCGGAAUGGCGCCGGGUUUGGGGGUCAUGAAAGGCGAAUGAGGUGCGACCCCAGCGACCGCGCGAGGAAGGUAGGGGAUGCCGACGUGUUCCGCGGUUCCUUCCGCCUCGCCGCUUGCCUGUUACUUUCCUACUGGAGGAGGAGGUGCGAAAAUGUAUUUUUAAUUUCGUAUAGCUCUUUCUCGUGUUAAUCCGGAGUACUGAAUGUAUUUCCACAGCUAUCUCUAAUCCCCUGCCCUGAGUUGCUUUAGGGCUAGAAUUAAAUUUGGAGACUGUGUUAGGUUCGGUUUGAUAUUUUUGUCGGAUUUGUCUGGGUCAAAAUACUCGGUUUUGACAUGGAAAAGUCCUGGGAGAGUGGGAGCUGGACUUGGACCCCGCCCUUGCCGGCAAAAGGGACCGUGGCAAUUGGGUUAUUCAUUUGCGUGUUUAAGUUAUGCUGCAUUGUGGAGUAAUUUAGACGGAGUACAAUUGGGUUAUUCAUUUGCGUGUUUAACCGUUGUCCUGAAUCUGAUCGUGGGAAUAUGGGAUGAGCUUCCGCAGCCUAAAUUCGCCGGGUGGCAGGGCCAGAUAGCCGGGUGAAAAAAAAAUCUGGUGCGAUCAGCAGGAUUAUCUUGGGAUUUACCAUUUGGCCACACAGCGGCCCUGAAUUUGACGAGUGGCGAGGUCAGACGAGCUCUACUGGUUCUGGUUGAAACCAGAUGUCGCUUUCCUGCAAGUUUAAGCAAAGCCAGGUGGUUCGGACCAAUCGACCCUCCGGCCGGUACGAGUAGGAACCAACAAUCUCAGAAAGUUCCCCGUUACUACAUGACAGCAAUAGCUGUCCCCUCCUCCAUUCCCGUCGUCAGAUGCUUCCACGGUUCCACCUACCUGAAUCUGCCAAACUCGGCCUUCGACGAUACCCAGCAGUUCUUGCUACAGGAACACUCGACAACUCAAGAACUGGCACAAUUCCAGCUUUCAGGAGCCAACAUAAACGUAUUACUUGUCGGGGGACAAACGGCAUGUUUCGGAGUUCCUAGGACUCUGCUACAACCUCUAAACGGCCGGAGCAUAGCAGGCAUAAGCUUUGCGUGCAUGGCACCGUAUCGCGUAUUCGCGUUAUGGCCACGCUUCCGUUGCAUUCAACAUUUCAAACCCCGACAUACGCAAAGAUGAAUUCCAUUCCAUUCUCCUGGAGGAGAAGAAAGAAACGAAUUGCUUGGGAGAAAGAGAGGAGAAUUGACGCUGACCGUAGCCGAGGAGGAUGGCGUUGAGCGAGGCGAAGAGCGCGCAGGUGAAGACGUACCUCCCGGCCCUCCUGCGGCCGAGGCUCCCCGCCGCGGCCCUGCGGCUCCACUCCGCCUCGUCCAUCUCCUCCUCCAGCUCCGGCUCCAUCCUCCGGUAUUUGCUGCCGCUGCUGCUCCUCCUCGGCGACCUCACCUUCACCGACUCCAUUGUCAUCAUCAAUCCUCUCUGCUCUGCUCUGUUUGUUUUGGUUAGAACUUAGGAGGAAGAAAUGGGUAUGGUCCUCCUCUUCAGAUCUAGCGCAGGAGCUCAAAUGAACUCCUGCCUUUUUGCUUGGGUUGGCUAGUUUUGUUAUGCUAUUAGUAAGACCUUUGCGAUUAGUUUUUAGUCUCCCCCACGUUCACGGCAGGGCUUUGGGGGUUUUCUAUGCUGCAAGUGGCCAAGGUUGUAGUUCGAAUCACUAUUAGAUUCCGGUCUUCAUGUUUAGAAGGAUUUAGAAGUUCAGAUCCGUUUUGGUUGCGCGUGACCGAGGACUGGUCCUCCGGCUAGUCGUGCAAAUGUACCGGGAGGGCAACGACUCUUCUUGUUGAUGUAUCAGAUGGCUUCACGGAUUAAAAGGAAAAUAAAUACUGCAUGUUUAUCAGGUUUUAGACGGUGUUACAAGAGUAGACAACCAAGGGAGCACUGCCAGAAUCACAUGUCGAAAGUGAACUCAAGAUAGAGGAUAAUCAAGGUUAAAAUGUAGUACUCCGUACUAUCUUUGCGUUCUGUUUGAAGGGUCAACGGGGUUACUUGCUGUACACUGCAGGCGUAGAAGGGAAAGCAGCUACAUAUUCUGUUUCAAAAUCCCUUGUCCUUAUGCUUAUAUGCUCUAGGGUGCUCAUAAUCAUCGUUGAUGGACCGGAACUUGAGGAUCUUUUGAACGCUCGCGAGAUGUUUCACCUCCUUGGGUGCUGCUUCCUUCAUUCCUUCCUUGCUGCUGCUUGUUUGCCUGUCCUUGUUUUCUUUAGCACGUGCCGCCUCGCCAUGAAUGGGUUUUGGUUGAGCAUCUGACACGGUAAGGAACAGAAUAAAACACCAAAUGAAUCUAAUGUAAAAAUCACAUUAUGUGAGCGUGUGGAAUUCUGGGCUGCUAAUGAAUUGUGCAGAAUGGUGUUAACCUGCCUUUCUGAGAAGUUCAGUGCAUACAUAUUUCUUCUGGUUCGAACUAUACUCAUUAAAGGGAUUCAAGAACGUGGGUAUAUGUGCAAAUAUGGGCAUCUCAUUUAAAACAAACAUCUAAAAUCUUCAGGAAACAACAUCAGCAUAUUCACAUAGUUUCAGAUAAGUAUAAUAAACUAGAGUGCCUGCAUGACAUUUAACAGGCUAUGAAGAAAUGUUUGCUGCAAAGAAAGAGGAGCAGGAAUGUUAUCAGUGCAAGCACUUACCACUUUCUGAAAAUAAAUAACAUAUGCCAACAGUUUCUUCGUAUUCUCCAAUCUGUCAUUAAACAAGGCAUCAGCUACCAGCUAACUCAGCAAUUAGGUUCACAAUUGGAAGCCCUAUAGUACAGAUUCCAAAAACUAAAACUGCUGAGAUUAUCAGAAGGGAAGGAAAACCAAUGAAGUUUAGUGGUACAAGUAACACCAGCAAACGCUGCGAGUUGUUAGUGCUAAAGCUGGCAUAAAUAUUGUAUGGAAUUCAAAUACAACUUAGUUCCAUUUUGUUCUCUUAGAACUUCAACAGAAACAAAGUACAGUUAUUAUAUAAAAAAUCUUGAAUAAAUACUCCAGACAAUCUCCAAUAAUGAAUCUAUCGCUACAACCAACUGACAUUGCACAUCUCAGAGGUAUUGUUAAACAUAGACUGCAACAAUAUGAAAAAACAUAAACAGUGCUCCUUAAGCUGGUAAAUAAACAUCUUCAAAAGCAAAACAUAACAUGAACAAUACUCACCAUCUUCAGGCCAUCACCUACUACCAAGGAAGGAGUCAAUGUAUCCAAACCCUGAAAAACAUUACAAAAACUUAGUGAAGUGCACAUAAAGGCGGUAAACAAAAUUAUGCAGAUAUGUCAUAUAAGAAAAUAAGUCAAUCACUAAACAUCAGGCAAAGAUAGCAUUGACCUUUUCCAUCCAUGAAUCAAGGAACCACACAUAGGCAUCAAAAAGCUAAAUGAGUUGCAGACAUGCUGACAGACUAGCAUCUCCUGACAUAAUUAUACCUAGAUUUUCUCUUUGAAUCUACCAUAGAGGCAUAGACGCACACUACGCAGGAUUUUGUGUCUGAUAAUGGUAUCCAUUGACCAUAGCAACCAAAAAAAUUGGAAGAAAAAUUGUUCCAAACACAAGAAACAAUAUCUUGUCCCUUCAUGUAGCAGGUAGUAGCAUACUAAUGGCAAAAAACAUCUUAGAUAAUCAGCACACAGCCUACAGUUUCAUAUUCACUUUAAACAAAAAAAAUGCCUUAAACUUUGUUUGGAUUUGAACAUUUCUGACAUAACCAAAUCUCAAGCAAACUCUUUCUUGAUAUCAAUGGUAUAGAGAUAGCAAAUUUCAAAAUUUGGAGCCACCGCAUCUUAUUAUUAGAUAGACACCAGAGUCUGAUGUCUAUUUGUACCUGUAACCUGCAGACACAGAGAAAAACCAACUUACAGAGAGUAUAUACGGGGCAUUUGGUUGUAUGUCAGAAUAAAGGCAAUCAUCCAACUCUAGCAAGAUAUAUUCUUCUUCUUCCUCCUCCUCUUCACAGAUGUGUUCGUCUUUCUCGUGUUCCUUUGCCAUCCCCAAGAAGAUUUGGACUUAUACAGUAGUAAAUCCCGCACUUUACCAACCAGAUUAGCUGCAGAGUUCAGAAGCAGAAGAUGAGCGCACAAGAUGCAACUACCACGAAUUUUGUUUACACUAGGUGAAUACACAACACAGCACUCCCUAGAUAAAAAGUGCAUCACUUAAAUCCCCUUGUGCUUACGGCUAGUAAUAAACUAAGAUACCACAGUGAGGGAUUACUGAUGGUACAACUUCUUUAUAAGGGAGAAUGGAUACUUGCCCUAAAGUUCAUGUGUCUCAUAUCAUUUGCCUUGCAGGGGAUCAUAUACCAAUUUCUUCAUGUGCCAACUGUUAACAAAAUAUAUCCCCAUGUCAAAUGAUAUACACGCCUCUCAUCUAUUUUGUCUCUAUCAGCUCCCAACCAGAGACACUGAGCCCUUUAUCUGUUUGUUUGUCUUCUCCAAUUACAUGCAUGAAUAUCUCUAUGCUAAGGUGUGUACUCAAUAAGAAUAUCUCUAUACUUAAUACAAAAAAGGAUAUAUAUCUCUGCUUAACACAAAUGGAUCGAUCCAUACGAGAACAAAAUUAUACAUUGUGUAGCUCAUCGGCUGAUCCAAUUAUAAACCUCGUGCAAUUACAAUAUGCCAAAUAUCCAAACAAUAUUCAACUUGCAGAGGCAAAACGGAUCCGUGAAAAGCAAUUGCUUGCACCAUAAGAGACACAGACGGACAUGGGGAUACAGCAUUUUCUAAAAACAGCGAUAGUGGGAUUCCGCGACUAUAUAAGUGUUUUCAAAAACACAUGAUAAAGAUAAUCGUAAAUUUAGAUGAGAGGGUGACAGAGAGUUUGUACUGAAUCCGCGCCAAUUAACAUAGAAUGGAGAUAGUAGAGUAUUUGCCAUGCCUCACUCCUCAAUUCUUCAUAACGUGGUCUUUGCUGCCUCCCAUAAGGAAGGAACAGCAGCAGCAGAAAGCUUGUGGUAAAAAAAAAAAACAGCAGAAAGCCAGCAACUCAGCAGCAGCAAAAGCGAGAGGGGAGGGAGUAGGGACGGGACUAGGGGGCUCAGAGGAGACGAUUAGGUUACCUCUUGCCGUCACCUGAUAACGGGGAAGGUAGGUGGUGAUGGUCGGCGGCUACCGUAUCGGGGAGGGAGAUGGGGACUGGUCGCGGCAGCCUGAUAUGGUAUAGGUUUUUUUUUUUUUGAGCGAAUGAUAUGGUAUAGGUUGAUAGCGACAGGGAUUUAUGGGCUUUUUUACCGUUUUUUGGGCCCAGACGAUGGAAGUCCAUGCUGCGCUGGGGCCGAGCCUUCCAAUGCAGGUCGCGAUUCCAUUCGCUCGCGCACGUGCCGCAAGCGCUCGCUCGCCAAGCCGCCCUGCGCGCCGCAUCCGCUCGCACUGCGCCCGCGCGCCUUAACGGGUGGGUCGCCCCUUAACGGGCGCCGUACGCAAGUUUUGUGGGGCGUCCCAUAGUUCAGUCCUUGAUGGAUUGAGCCUCAGCCCCCAUGCAUCUGCAUGCACCUGCUGCCAUGUAAGGGCUUGUUCGGUUGCAGAUUUUCCGGUGGUUAUCGGAAGGGAUUCAUGGAAAUUUGGUCUACAAUUUAAAAAAUACCAGUUGAUCCCGGCCGGGCUGGGAGCAAACGAACGGCCCCUAAAUGUUUAAUGGCGGAUGACGUCCUCAGAUCUGAUGUCGCAACUUGCAUCUGCAUUGAUUCUCCUGUGUUGCCAUGCGGUUUAGUACUAGUAGUACAGUACGUUUCUACUGCAAAGCUACACACGGUUUUAACAUCCAUGCGUACAGUAUGUUUUACGGUGCUUGCGUAAGCUGUUUAAGGAUGCAAUAAAGGUAAUCAGAGUGGACGAACUGUGUGUUGUGGUGUGUCGCAGUGAGGUCAUAAGCAAAUGGAACGACUCGCCGGCGACGAUUCUCCCCAUCCUGAAGAAGCUCAUGAGCGCCGGGCUGCACGUUUGGGUUUACAGGUACACUGGAUCGCCUAUCAAAAGCUAUGCCCUAUGCCCCUAUGGCAAACCUCAAAUCAUUCUUACGUGCAAAUCUGUGCACAGCGGCGACACGGACGGGACGGUGCCGGUGACGUCGACGCGGUACAGCAUCAACGCGAUGAAGCUGCGGCCGCGGGAGACAAGGAAGAAGAAGGCGGGGGCAGCAGCAGAGUGGGGCGGGUGGAGGGCGUGGUACCACAGGCGGCAGGUGCCGGGUGGGCGGUGGAGUACGAGGAAGGGAUGAUGCUGGCACUACUACAAAACGGUCUAUAUGUCACGGCACAUCAGUAACGGGUCCGACGCGAUCGUUACUGAUGAACAACAUCAAUGUCGGUCGCGGCCGUGACCGUUACUGAUGAACAGAGCGGGAUCUGUCCGUCCCCGCCCAGCCAUACAUCAGUGGCGAUCGGUUAAGAGACGACCGUUACUGAUGAACCACACAUCAGUAACGGUCGCUCUCGGCCCACACAUCAGUAACGGGCCGUGUUAAAACGACCGUUACUGAUGUACCCCCUAUUAUCAGUAACGGUCACCCAAGUCCCGACCGCCACUGAUGAGGGUCGCGGUUUAAAUACGCAGAACACAACCGCAGCUGGUCGCGCUGCGCGUCGUAACGGACCAGCUGCGGCUCUUCUUCCCCGGCGACGGCGAAGCCAUGCCCAAAUUGGACGCCAUGGCCGACGGCGAGCCCCGUAGGUAGCCCCUCCUCCCUCUCCUCCUCUCUGCCCCCCGCGCGCGCCGGCGGCCCCAUCUCCAUGGACGGCGGGCGGCCGGCCAUGGCCGGCGAGCUCCAUAUUUGGAGCUCCGGUGUUGCACCAGUGGCACAUGGGGUGUCACCGCUGCACGACGCGUGGGUCGCAUCGCUGGGUUCCCGGGAGGAUCUCACCCCGGGCGGCAACGUGCAGGCUGCCCGGCAAGCUACCAGCCCGGCAGGGCUAGCGGGGCUUCGGGGAAUAAUCCUGCCCGGGCACCUCCCGGGAAGGCGCUUGCCGGGAGGAGGCGUUCCCAGGCACAGGUUUCCGCCGCGAGCGCGGGGCCGAGCGAAUAGAGCAGCAGCGCCACGUGGGCGCGCGGCAGGCGCCCGGUGUGCAGGGUCGUCAGGACAAGGAGUGAGGCGCACGGCGCAUUUAAUGAGCCGACAGGAGGGGCGUUAUCCGUCUAGUCGGGCAAACAAUGGCUGCCCAGGGCUAGUUUUAGGUCUUAGACCCCUAGCCGCGGGGUUGACGCUCAUGCAUGCACCGUGGCACCUGUGGUAUCCCCUUGGCUAUGAAAGGAGGACCCCCGCCAAGAGUCAAAGGGUUCAGUUUUUGUUUCGUUCGUUCGUUCGCUCAUUCAACCAACAAGCAGUUCACCACUAGUAGUAGCUAAAAGUAGCAAGGAGCACUUAGCCAAAAAAAGAGAGCACCCGGGGACCCUUCCCCGGCAACUUGUAAACACUCGAUCUUACGAUAAUACGAGCUCAGACAAACAGGACGUAGGGUUUUACACCGCAAGGUGGCCCGAACCUGGGUAAAUAGCGUUUUCGUGCUCGUUGCAUUCUUACGCUUUGCAUUAGCCUCGCCGGAGCGAUCCCCGUAGCCCACUGCCGAACCUAAAAGCGAGUCGAAUCGCGGGUCGAAGGCGCGCAGCGUCAGCUGCGCCACGAGCACACCGCUUCGCGAGCGACGCUGACGGGGUCGCACCCCGCGCACCUAGGUGCGUCCGAGGAUAGAGUGGAGGGCAGCCGCUCGGGAAACAGGCUACCUCCCGCACGGACCCCGGCGGAGGCCAUCAUCGCCGCGCGGGUCAUGGUGCAGUAUGAGCCGCAGCAGGGCACGUCGGUGCACGAGUCAUGGAGCGAGGAGCUGGACGCGCUCCUCGCGCUCGCCGCCCAAUAGCCACAGGGCGAGGGUGCCCCGGCAGGCUCCGGCCGCGGGCAGAACCCGGCGCACGGAGACGCCCCACGCGCCUCGCGACAAGGGGAAAAUGCUCCCCCGCAGGGAGGCCCAGGAGGCGGGGACCCGGAGGGGUCCUCGGACUCGUCACCCACCGUCACGCGAGGUGACGUGCGCGGCAUUUUGAAUGCCCGCCAGCAGGAGGAUCUGCGCCGGCGCCUGGAGCGCCGUCGCCGGCGUGAGGUAGAGCGGCAACGCCCGCAGGAGCAGGAGGAUGCUCCUAUGGGCCCCGAGGAUGGGUGCACGGCGUUCACGCACGAGCUGCGGCGGGUGACAUGGCCCCGCAAGUUCCGAGCGCCCGCGCUCGGUACGUACGAUGGGACCGUGAAUCCCAAUGAUUUCCUCCUGACCUACACGUUGGGGAUGCAUGCCAUCGGCGCCGACGACAAGGUCAGAGCCAACUGGUUCCCGAUGGUCCUGAAAGGAUCAGCAAGAACCUAGCUGCUUAACCUGCUCGCUGGGUCCAUCGCCAUUUGGGCGGACCUGCGUGAGCAGUUUGUGAGCGUGUUCUAGGGCGGCUACAAGCGCCCGGGAACCAUGGUGGAGCUGCACACCUUGGUGCAGAAGCCGGGGGAGACGCUGCGGAGCUUCGUCAACCGCUUCUCUAGUCUCUCCUACUCCAUCCCAGAGGCGGAGGCUGCCGCCAUCGUCAACACCUUCGCCAUCAACGUCCGCGACCCCAAGAUGCGCGAGAAGCUAAGCACGCAUCGGAUCCGGACGACGCAGGAUCUGUACGCCCUGGCGCACAAGUGUGCCAUGGUCGAGGAAGGGCGCUUAGCGCCCGAACUUGCAGCUAAAGCUGCCGCGAGCCCAGGAGAGGGUUUGCUGAAGAAGAUUUCCCGCAACUGCAUGUCCUGUGAGGCAUGUUGCGGCAAGCCUGGCAACUGCAUGUCCCGGGAUGCACGUUGCGGGAAGCCCCGCAACUGCAUGCCCUGUGCCGGAGUGAUCCGGCAGCGGGUUUAUAUUUUCGAGGCUCCGGCAGCCCCCUGCUCACAACCAAGUAUGGAAAGAAACUUCUGUGCACCUAGAGUAGGAGACAGAAGGAGGAGAAACAUGCAAAUAAACAAGGCAAACUUAAAAUUUAGGAAACAUCAGUUAUCUUUAUUCACAAUAACUAGUGGUUUACAUACGGGGGUUGCCUGGCUACACUAGUUCAAGAGGUAUGCAUCGGCGGCAUCACCUGAGGGUCGGGCUCCGUCGCUUCACGGGUAGAACUUGCGCAAGUGCUCAGUAUUCCAGCUAUUUUGCACCGGCAAGCCUUCUUCGAUUUCCAGCCGGACAGCCCCUGGCCUGGUCUCCUGCACUACCCGGAAGGGGCCCUCCCAUUUCGGAGUCAACUUAUUCCCGGCCUUCGUUCCUUGUAUCCGGCGCAGUACAAGGUCUCCGUUCUCGAGCCCCCGGGAACGGACUCGCUUGUCGUGAUAACGACGGAGUCCCUGCUGGUAGCGCGCGGCUCGCAGAGCAACCCGACGUCGAAGCUCUUCGAUGAAGUUCAGAUCGUCAACCCUUUGCUCGUGUUGGCUGGAGUUGCCGUACGCGCGUACUCGGGGAGAUCCGUGCUUGAGCUCGAGGGGCAGCACCGCUUGUCGUAGACAAGGGAGAAAAGGGUUUCGCCCGUUGCCCGACUAGGUGUGGUCCUGAUUAACCACAGCGCUCGUGAAUUGCGUGUCAUUGUCAGUGAUGAUGCCGUUAGGCACACCAAACCGACACACAAUGUUCUUGAAGAACUUGAUGGCUGCCAGGGCGGUCACCUUCCGCACUGGUUCCACUUCCACCCACUUGGAGAACUUGUCGAUGGCCACGAGCAAGUACUCGUAGCCGCCAACCGCUCUCGGCAGCUUGCCGACGAUGUCGAGCCCCCAGACCGCGAAUGGCCACGAGGACGGGAUGACCUGCAGGGCCUGCGCCGGCUGGUUGCUCUUCUUCGCGUGGAACUGGCAUGCCUCACACGUCUUCACCAGCUGCUCCGCGUCGGCCAGGGCCGUGGGCCAGUAGAAACCGUGUCGAAACGCCUUGCCUGCUAGCGCCCGGGAGGCCACAUGGUGGGAGCAUGUGCCUCGAUGUAUCUCCUCCAACAGUGCGCGCCCUUCGUCUUGGGGCACGCAGAUGAGCUUGACUCCAUUUGCAUGCCUCCAGUAGAGGUUCCCGUCCACCGGCGUACAUUUUGGCUUGUCGGGCCACUCGCUCCGCGGCGACGUUGUCUUCCGGGAGGGCCUCUCCCUUCAGGUAGCGGGCGAUUUCCACCGCCCAGGGAGGGGUCUCCCUGCCAACGCAUGCCGCUACGUCAGCAGCAUGGACCCCUGCUGUUGCGGGCUUUCCUUCGGUUGUCGGUGGGGCUUCCCCGGCAACCAGCUUAGGGGCGACUGAAGGAGCCGCCUGCUUGUGGCAGAACACCCCUGCCGGGAGCUUCCGGUGCUCUGUUGCCAUCUUGGACAACUCGUCAGCCGCGAAGUUGUCCUUCCGCUUGAUGUGCUCGAAUCGCAAACCCUUGAACUUGCGUUCUAGCUUGCGGACUUCCUCCACGUACGGUGCCAUCUGCGGGCAGUCGUAGUCCUUGUUAACCUGGUUGACCACGUGCUGGGAGUCCCCGCGAACGACCAGGCGCUUCAUAUCCAGGGCGAUUGCUGCCCGGUGAGCAAACCCUCGUACUCUGUCGUGUUGUUAGUGGAGUUCGGGAAAUCGACUUGGACAGCAAACCUCAACUGAUCCCCCGUCGGUGACUCGAUGACGACCCUAGCGCCAGCUCCCUGGAGGCUGAACGCGCCGUCGAAGUAGAGGACCCAGUGGCCUUCGUCCAGCUUGCCUGGCAGGCUGGUCUCCAGCGCCUCCUCUUCCACACCCGUCGAUGUCCACUCCGCGACGAAGUCCGCCAGGGCCGCACUCUUGAUGCUCUUGGAGUUGGUGAAGUGCAGAUCAAACUCCGACAGCUCCAUCCUCCACUCGGCCACCCUCCCGGUGGCUUCACGGUUGGUGAGGGCUCACUCAAGGCAGAACCUUGACACCACCGUGACGUGGUGCGCCUGGAAGUAGUGGCGCAGCUUGCGGGACGUGAGCAGAAUCCCCAGGAGGAGCUUCUGCACCUGCGGGUACCUCAUACGGGUGUCGCGCAGCACUGUGCUGACGAAGUACACUGGAUGCUGCACGAGCCGCUUGCGCGGUGCCGACGUUGCCGGCUCGGGGGUGGUCCCCUGGUCCGAGGCGGUUGCCGGGGGCCGUUCAGCCCCCUGCCCUGCAGCCUCAGCCCCCGGAACGUCUUCCUCCCUCUCGGCAACCAGCACUGAGCUGACCACCUGGUCAGUCGCUGCUAGGUAGAGUAGCAGCGGCUCGCCCGGCUUGGGGGCAACGAGGACGGGCGGCGACUUCAGGUAUUGUUUAAGAUCCUGGAACAUCGCCUCGGCCUCGGGGGUCCACUCGAUUGGGCCCUUCUUCUUCAUCACUUUGAAGAAAGGCAGGGCGCGUGUGGCGACCCAGACCAUUAAGGUCCUGGAAUCACUGUGUUUAUAGUACUAGUCCCUGGAUCAAUGCUAGUACACACAGUUCACGAUGAAAUAUCAUAAUUCAUGUGUUUAUUACAACGUAUAAAAGAUAACAAUCCAGAGUAUUAUUACACAACGAAAGUCUAAAAUAUCAAAUGAAGAUAAAUGAGCUUCCAUCCACGCCACAGGCAAGUUGAAUGUAGACUCGCGACCGUGCGUACCUCCUUCCUUUAAUUAUCACUCUCUGCACAUGAUAGGUGCAGAUAAGUACAUUGAAUGUACUCGCAAGUAAAUACCUGUGAGGUUAGGAGAAAUGCAAGUAUAUGCUUAUUGGAUAGUUCCUAAAUGGCUUCUAUGGUUCUUUUGCCAAAACAGCAAGUUUCAUUUUGAAAUACUCAUAAUAGCUUUUCUUUGCAAAACUCUAAAUUUAGAAUUUCAUAGAAAAUAGUUUUGAAAAGUAGAUAUGGUCUUUCUAUGGAAUCUCCACGACCUAACUAUGUAUUCUGGGUCAAACUGACGCUCACAUAGCAACCCUUGAUUUCCCUGACCCAUUCUGUGGGAUCCAUCGAGUAGAUACUCAUUCUGUGAAUGCUUCCAUCGAGUCAAAACAGUUUUUGGUUUUUGAAAACAAAACUAGAAGAUCUCCUCUUAACCAGACUUAGUAGCUCAAAGGUCGCCCGUAACCAAGGGCAUGGCUAAUCGAUUAGAUUGACACUCUCGAGAGGUUUGUACACUUUACCCACCAGACACAAUCGGUCCAAAGUGUUGCCUAACGACAAGCGUGCGCAACAGGUAAAGAUUGUGACGAAGUCUUUCACUAGAAGCCCCCUAUACUUAAUCCUGGCACCGCCCGCCCCAUAUGAGCACAUUGGCCCCUCUCCGGAUGACGAUACCCAAGUAAGGGUUUCCCGCUAGUUACUCGACUAAGCCAGAGCCAUAAUAGCAGGUGGUUGUACAUGUAAGCUUUUGGGUUCCAUUGGAAAAGAAUUGAACUUUUAGAUUCUGGACGGCGGUCCCCACCGAAAAUCCUGAGCAUCUGCAGAGCCGAAUUGGGUGCUGCCCUUGUCGACAACCAAUAACGGUCUCAAACUUACCACUCCGCCCAGUUGAAAACAUUUUGAGGAUUUUGUUUCGAAACAUUUUUCCAAACACAUACGACUCAAUUCUGAGCACUUAAUACUUUGAAAAUAGUUUUGGGUCCCUCCCGGUACAAUAAUGUAGCAAGCACUUUGUAAAAUCAUACAAGUAAUAACUUAGGGUAAUUGGUGGCAUGACAAUAACCUAUAGGCAUACUACUUAGGACAUAGCUAAUAAAUUGCAAACGCAUUUUAUAAAUACUUCAUAACAAUAUAAACCUACACAUGCAUGCCUACAACUUAUAAACAAAGUAGCAUAUGCAAAAAUUAUAGGAUUCUAGAUGAUCAAAGGUAUCCACUUGCCUGAGCCUGAGUUGCUGUAACGAUCAAAAUUUCCCUGGCACUCUUCGCACUCACACUCGGGAUAAUCUAUCGCGAAGAACGAAAGCAACAAUGAAUAACUUGUUCAACAACUCCAAAUUAUAACUCCAAUAAGAGCCGGAUAAGAAUUACAAAAACUUAAAUUUAGAAAAGCAGCUAACAAGGCACAAGUAAUGCUAAUCCAACUGCAAGCACAGAUCUAAGGCUAGGGACAAGAUUUGGAACCAAGUGGAGACAAAUGAUAACCUACGAGCUGAUAGCAGAUAGCGAAUCUAACGGGAAGGGGACUGUCGAAACACGUCUGAACUAAUGGUACGGAAGGUACUGAAACUAAUAACAUAACUUAAGGCUUAUAACACAGAAAGUUUCAUCUAAAACGGAGCUACGAAACAAAAGAUACAAGCCUACGAAAGUAGCUAAUCAAAAACAGCAUUCUGUGAAUACAGUUUUCAAUUAUUAUUCUAGUAGUGUAAUCUAAUUACAUGUUACAUGAAAAGUGUUCUGAGGUGUAUAGUUUUAACCAAUGUUUACAUUACGGAAAGAAUAAACGAAAAGGGGUUUAUAGGUUUUAAAAAUUAAGCUCUACAAAGUGUCUAAUCAAUAACAGUGCUGGCUAGACUAAACCGGUGUCUUAAGUUCUUUUUAACAGGUAGCUAGUUUUGACAAACUUUUAGGUCAUACUCUAAACCUACAAAAGGUGAAAAAAAUAACAGGGUGUAACACAAUACCUACUCGUCAUCCUACAGGAGCUCACAACCUAAACGGGUCUACAAUCUACUCAACAAGAACGUCGAAAGGUAUCUAAUCUAAAACAGACUAACUGGGAAUACCGAUUUGGAACGAUGAUGCACCGCUGAAGAUGAUAGAGACGGGGCUUCUAAAGAGGUCUAAUUUAUAGAGCAAGAUGUAAGCUACCAGAUACAAAAAGAAUUUCUUAAAUAGGAUCUACGGAACAAAAGAUACGGAGUAUAGAAGUAGGCUAAUCAAAAUAGACUGCAGCCCGAAAACAGAGCAAGAAAGCUCACCGGAGAAGAUGGAGUUCGCCGGAGUUGACGGGAGUCGGCGAAACAGAGGUUUCCGGAGGCAAGGCUGUGGUGUAUGGUGUUCUAGGCGUCGAUAGGGAUCUAAAGGUGGUGGUGGUUCGGGCUAAUUUGGGGCGAGGUGGUAGGAAUUGCUCGCCGGAGUUUGCGUGGAAACGGCGACAAAACAUGAAAUUGGUGGCAAGGUUGACUGCGGCUUCGAGCUAGAUUUCGAGAGAUUGGUCUGGGCUCUCGAGGACGUCAGCUUGGGAUAUUUAUAGGGCUCGGGGCGCUCGGGAUAAGGCCGGCGGCGGGUGAGAUUUGAACGGGAUUCGGUUUCGCUUAAAAUUCGGACGAGAUAGAGUCCGGGAGGGUUUCAAUCUUGUUGGGAUAGAUUCCUUGCUGUGUGGGUCACGAAUUAGCGAAGAAAUCGCGGAGAAAAACGGUUUGGAGGGUGGUGUUCGAGGUGGACGGCCAUGGACGCCGGUGACUCGAGCUCGAGCUCGGGCUCGGCCAUGGCAGGGGCUGCGGGCGGGCGGCGGGGCUGCGGCGGCGAGGGGCGGAGCCAGGGCGGCGGGGCAGGGGCCGGCGAGCAGCAGCGGCGGCCGAGCUGGGCCUGGCCAUGGACGCAGCCAGCACAGGCUAUGCCUGUGUGCGUGAGGAAGAAGAAGGAGGAAAGGAGAAAAGAAAAAAAAAGAAAAGGAAAAAAGGAAAAAGGAAAAAAAAAAGGAUGGCCGUUGGAUGGGAAAUGGAUGGAUGAGAUUAAAAGAUACCCCUUCGGUACACUUAAGUGAAAACGGAUUUCACGGAAAUACGCCUCCGUGUAGAGAAAACGUACUCCGUGGAAUAGAAGAAAAACAAAUAAAGAAAUAGUUUUUCUGGGUCUCUAAAUUGUCAGAAAAUCAAAUAAGGCAAAUAAAAUACCAAACGGCAUCGGAAAAAUUCCAAAAAAUUCCUGAAAUUCCAAAUACCUGUUUGGAAGCUAGGAAAAAUAGUUUCCUCAUGAAAUAUAAUUUAUAAAACUAUUUUUAAUGCAUAUGGAGCUCAAAUAAAUUGUAACAAAUGCAUAUAAUCACUCUUAUGGUCCAAAUAAACUCCCAAUUAAAUUGUAAGAUCAUCUCCAAAAUCAAAUAUGGUCAAAAUGAUAUGCACGUGACAUGAAAAAAAGGUGAUAACAUCCAAAUUAGAAAAAUUGGGAUGUUACAGCGCGUUCGCCCAGCCUUGAGAUGAAGCGGCCCAGCGCGGCAACGCAACCGUUGAGGCGCUGGACAUCCUUCACCUUGCGGGGAGCCUCCAUCUUCUCGAUAGCUUCUAUCUUUUGUGGGUUGGCUUGUAUCCCCCUGUGCAAAACCAAGAAACCCAGAAGCUGGCCCGAGUCUACACCGAAGGUGCACUUCUCAGGGUUUAGCUUGAGUUUGAUCCUGCGAAGGUUAUCAAACGUCUCUCGCAGGUCAUCAAUCAGCGAGUCCCCGCGCUUUGAGUUGAUGACAAUAUCGUCCAUGUAGGCCUCCAUGUUCCGGCCUAGCUGGGGUCCCAAACACUCGCGCAACGCGCGCUGGAAUGUUGAGCCCGCGUUCUUCAACCCGAAAGGCAUGCACGUGUAACAGUAGCAGCCAACCGGGGUGAUAAACGUUGUUUUCUCCUCCUCUUCGACCGCCAUCUUAAUUUGAUGGUAGCCAGAAAAAGCAUCUAGAAAAGCUCAGCAAGUCACAACCAGCGGUGGAAUCAACUAUUUGAUCGACACGGGGUACAGGGAAAAGAUCCUUGGGACAUGCACGGUUAAGAUCAGUAAAAUCUACACACAUGCGAAGCUUAUUCCCCGCCUUGGGCACUACUACAGGGUUAGGUAACCAAGUGGGGUACAGAACUUCCCUAAUAGCCCCCGCAGCCUUGAGCUUGUCCACCUCUUGCUUGAUGAAAUCUUUGCGCUCCUGUGCUUGCCGGCGAAUCUUCUGCUUGACGGGGCGAGCGUCCGGGCGCACCGCGAGUCGAUGCUCAAUCACCUCCCUAGGGACUCCGGGAAGGUCCGACAGCUUCCAAGCGAACACAUCGGAAUUCUCCCGGAGGAAAGUGAUGUGGGCGCUUUCCUAUUCGGCAGUAAGGUUCGUACCGAGGGUGACGGUGCGCUCCUUGUUGCCAGCUUGGAGGGGCAGCUUCUUCACCUUGGCGGCCUCCUCCCUGAGCUUGUGGCCCUUGCCGAGGCACGAGCUGGAGCCAGCGCUUCCCCCGGCAAGCUCUUGCGGGGCAGCGCGGGCCUUCUUCGUUGCCGGGCCGUCACCCGGCGAGCCUUCGUCUCCGGCAACGUCCUCAGCACCGGCGUCGGCUGGGGCGGUGGCCCUAACGACCUCGCCAAUGCACCUGAUGGAGAGGAUAGCGUACACGGACGGCAUCUUCAUCACGCCGUAGGCGCAAUGCGUCGCCGCCAUGAACUUGAUCAGCGCCGGCCGACCAAGGAUCCCAUUGUAGGGCAACGGGGUGUGCGUCACGUUGAACACUAUGUGCUCGGUCCUAAACGCUUCCGGGGACCCGAAGGUCACCGGCAGCGUGAUGCGCCCCAGGGGGCGCACGAUCCCGGGGUUUCCCCCCCGGAACGGGUCAAUGGGCUUCAGUUGCUCCACCGCCACCGCGCGAGGCCUUCUUUGCAGUCGCCGCGCCUGGGAAAUAAAAGUGCUCACAUCCAAGUUUGGCAUCAACCCUUCUGUGCACGGGGGCUGGGAGGCAGGAGAGUUAUCCAUUCUGCUCUGUGUUUUCGUGAAUUUCGAAAAAAAUUUGCAGCAUCUCGGGCUUGGUAAGAAUCUAAUGUGCAGGGUAAAGGCGGAAUCUUGCGUACUGUAAUGCUCGUGGACCGCCCACGGGCCGGGGCGCAUAGCGGCGCCUUGUGGUGAGGAGCGACCGCAUCACGAGGGACUCGCCGCACUCCGAGGCCCUUGACUCAGGAGGGAGCCGGCACGUGUGCCGCAGCAACUUGGCGUGCGGAGUGGCGAAAACUGUACCGCACUUCAUGGGGCGGGGUGCCACGGGUGCUGCGCUGGCCCGGCGCGCGUGGUGGCAAGCCCCUCCCCCGCGCCUAUAAAAGGGGCGUCCUGGCCAUAAAAGCGGCGGAGCCAGGGAAAAGGCUGCGAAGGUGAGUGGAGCCGCAGAGGCGCGAUGGGAGUGCAUUGCAUCAGUGCCCAACGCCGACGGGUGCACUGCCAUCGUGCCCUUGUCGCAUCCCUCCACCGAGCCCACUCCGAGGGGUGCCGCGGAGACAUGGUGGUGGUGCAUCCCACCAGCGCUCGGCGUCGGCGGGUGCACUGCCGCCGUGUCCUUUCCACACCUCCUCUAGCGAGCGACUCCAGGGCGAGGGCUGCCGCGGAAGCACUGUGGUGGUGCAUUCCAUCAGCGCUCAGCGCUAACGGGUGCACUGCCGCAGUGCUCCUGCCGCAUCCCUCCAGAGGGUAUCUCCGCAAGUAGCAAGGGUUGCCGCGGAGACACUAUGAUGGUGCAUGCCAUCAGCGCUCAGCACCGACGGGUGCACUGCCGUAGUGUCCCUGCCGCACCCCUCCAGAGGGCGCCUCCAGAGGCGAGGGUCGUCGCGAGGACGCUGUGAUGGUGCCGGUGCCGACGCUCGCCGCUCGCUCCGGCCCACCACAGCGUCCCUGCUGCGUCCCUCAGAUGGACUUUCCCCAAGCAGCGAGGGCUGCUGCGGGGACGCCGUGAUGUUUUCGCCACCCGCGUCUGCCGGUGGUGGCGAGGAUGUCACGGCGUCCCUACUGCACCCCUCGGAAUAGGUUCCUCCGAAAGCAAGGGCUCUUCCAAAGGCGAGGGUUGCUGCGGGGAUGCGGCGGUAGCAUCGUCAUCGGCGCUUGUCGCCGGCGGCGAUCCUACCGCGGCGUUCCUGCCGCAUCCUUCAAACAGGCUCUCUCAGGGAUGACGUUCCAGGCGCACACCUUCUGCAAGCGUAUCGAGCACGAGACCAAACGAAAAGCUAAGUGCUUGAACCUAAACGAUAGACUCUCUGAGAACUAAACGUAACUGAACACUGUCUCGCUAAGUGUGGCCCCGAGACCUGCGUGUGGCCGGGGCGUUGGAAGGACACAUGCGGGGGGAGUGCCCUCCCCGUGCGGCUUCCGGGUCCGUCCCGGGAGGGCAUGGCUUGGAGUAGUUACCACGCAAGCGGAGUGGCUCGCCGCUGCUGCUUGACCCCAGGUCGGCACUGCGGGUCCGUCCCGGGUCCCUGGUCCGGUCAAGGGUGAGGCGCGCGAGUCCCCGACAACACAAAGCACAACACAUAAAGGCAAAGGGAUCCACCCCGCGUGGCAGCCCCGGGAACAAGGAACAAGGAUUAAACAGAACUAAAGAGCUGGAUUAACAAAGUAGCAAAUGAUUACAUGAACUAAUGAAACGGUAAUUGUUCAAACGGCGCCAAGCGCCAUGCUUGCAGGAACGAAAACAAAAGAAGGUAAACAAGGAAGCAGCAAGCGCCGGUAGGGGGCUGCGGCAGCUAGUUGCCGGCGUCCUUCGCCGGGGGCUCCGGGGAUGGCUCGGGUUCUGGCUUCUGCUGCAUCCGCUCGACCACCUCGUUGACAAACCCACGCACCGCCUGAGUGUGGGUGGGUUCGUGCUCGCUGUCCGACCAGGCGUCCAGCAGCGUCUCGAAGGGGAACUCCUGGUCCCGGAGGUGCACCCUCGGAAGGAUCAUCUCGGCAACCUCCCGGGCGCAGUUGGCAACCUUGUCAGUCCCAAACUUGGCGAUCCAGACGUGUAGCGAUCAGAUCACUCUUCUCGUCGAUCCGAGCCUGGGCUACAGCGAGCACGUCAGCGUGCUCCUUCUUGGUUUCCGCCUGGGCCACCACCAGCGAGUCCAGAGCUCCUUGGAGCUCGGGGCGCUGAGCCUCCAGUCGCCGGUAGAGCUCCUCUUCGAGGACGACCGGUGUGUCGGCAUCCUCCAAGGCUUCCCGGGCGAGGCGCGUCUCCUCCCGCAGCCGGGAGAGCUCCUGACGCUCCUUCUCCAAGGCCAGCCGCAGCUCGCCAAGAUGGCUCUUGGCGAUCGCGUUGUGCUCCCUCACCUCGUUGGAGGUGACGAAGGCCAGUUGCGGGUCUUUGACAGCGUCAAGUAACCGGUGCCCCCGGUCGAAGACGCUCGGAUCCCAAGUGAUGGGAUUCCAAGCCACCCCGGCAAGGCUGCCAAGGUCGGUGUUGAAGGUGGCAGCCGACGACGACGAAGCCCCCGCUGCCACCGUAUAGCUGGGCGGGGGGUCGUCCGCUUGCGUCGGAGCAUCCUGUUGCUCCUCCUCAGCGACCUCCCCCUCCCUCGCGCUCGGGGACUGCAGUGCUGGUGAGGUUGCUGCAUCCCCGGCAGGGACCGCCCCCUGCUGGGCGGUAGAAGAAUCCGUGCCAGCGACGUCUGCAGUCGCUGACGCGUCGUCGAGUGCCGUCCCGGUGACGGCAGUGGUCGUCGCUGCCGCCACGGCCGGCGCAGCAGGGCUUGGCGUGGGGACUGCCUCCGGCUCCUCCGCCCUCCCCUUAUCCUCAACGUCGGAGUCGAGGUCAACUACCGUAGCGCCCGCUUCCGGUGCGGGCGCGCUUGGGCCUGCAACAGCGAGAAGUAUGAGAAGUGGGAAGCUAGACGUGUUGCCCGAAGGCAGACGCGGGGGCUUAGGAUGGUUACCUUGCGAGGCCACUGGGCUUGCGGGGGGAGCCUCCCCCUCCUCCUCCGUCCCGGCAAGGGUCUCCGGGAGGCUUGCUGCGGGCGGAGCAUUGCCUGCGAAAAUAAGAAGGAACAGUUGCAGGAUUAACUGGCAAAUGGAAGUGCAGGUAAGUAAGCGUGGGGUGCCAUACCUGUUGCCGGCGCCACCUCCAUCGGGGCUGGGUCGCCGGCGGAUGCGGUGGCGGCGCCACUAGCCCCUGUGUCGGCCGGGUUAGCGUCGCUGCCAGCGCCCGUGCGCGCCUUCUUGCUCGGCGCGGCCGACGGGGAAUCAUCCCUCCCCCUCUUGCCGGCGGUUGCCGACGAAUCGGCCUUCGGGGGGUUGCGCCGGAGCGUGAAGCCCUGGAAGAACCCCUGAGCGGGUGGGUUCGUGAGUGCCCGAGGGGUUGCCGCGGCCCGGGGCGCCGCGGGAACCGUCGAAGGGGUCGCCGCGGUGUCGGGGGCUAUUGCUGGUGUGGCUGCCGCCGUGGUUCCAGCAGUUUCUGCUGAGGUAGCCGCUGCCGGGUUGCUGGCAGUCGCUGCCGGGGUGGUCACCGCGGUGGCUCCGGCAACCGCUGCUGGGGAGGUCGCCAUUGAGGUGCCGGCGGAGGCCCCCAAGGCGGCUGCCGUCGCGGAGCUGGGAGCCGCCGCCGGGUCGCUAGCGGGCGCUGCCGAGGUGGUCACCGCCGUGGCUCCGGUAACCGCUGCGGGGGUGGUCGUCACUGAGGUGCCGGGGGACGCCCCCAGGGCGGCCACCGUCGCGGAGCUGGUAGCCUCCGCAGGGGCGGAUGCCAUCGUCGCCGCCGUGGUGGUGGCCGCGGCCACUGCGUGCGCCCUUGAUCCGCGCACAAUCAGGGGCGCGUCGUCGCUGUCCUCCUCCGCGUUGUCCACAAGGAUGACCUCCCGGGCGGCGGCAACCCGACCCGGCUCGUCGUCGGAGGACGAGUCGUGGGGCUGGCUGGCCCCUGACUCGCUCCCGCUCUCCUCCUGCACCUGCUUCCCACGGGGUGCGGGCGGAGGAGAGCGUAGGGACUGAGUAGGGGUAUCGUCCAUCAGCCCCCACUCGUUGCAGGGUGGGAAGGAGCCGAUGAUGCUGCUCAAGCCGGGGACGCCGACGUGGAGGGCAAAAAACCCCGGCGGCAACUUCGUGAUGGGAACAUCCUCGCGGGAGAUCCCCCUCACCCACACCUGGAGCGACUCCUUAUCCAUGCCCUCCUCGCGGAGGCGCGUCCUGUGUCUGGCCCCCGUGUACGCCCACGCGGGGAGGGAACGCCGCUGAAGCAGCGCGGUGCGCCGGGUGAUGUAGACCCGCGCCACGUCAAGAUCAAAGAGCCCGGCUACCCGGAGGGCCUUGAUCUUCUCCACGAUGGGGAAGAGGUCGGCGUCACGGUGGUACCGGUCCCGCCACCCGGGGGCCUCCACCGGCAACUCGGUGGGCGGGAAGAUGAACUCCUCGGGCUUAUCCACUUGGACCCAACACCAGUCCGAGCGCCACUCCUUCUCGAUCUUCUUCUCCAACCGGACGAUGAACUCUGACUUCAUCCGGUCGCGGGCACGGAAAACCACCCCCGACGACAUCGCUUUCUUGUUAUCGAUGCGGGGGUAGAAGUAGUGCCGGAACAAUGCCACCGAUGGCAUCACUCCGACGAAUCCCGCGCAGAGGAAGGAGAAGAUGGCGAGGAGGUAGAGGCACAUGUGGUGAAGUUGCGCCACCCGCAGCUGGUAUGACUCCAUGAGCGCAGGAACAGGGAAAACGGCGUCACCAACCCGGUGAGUAUGAAGCGCGCGAACACCCGGAAGUCGGUGGACCCGACGUUGGCGCCGGCGGGGAAGAUCAGGGUCCUCCCGUGCUCAUUGAAGUCCGAGGCGACGGCGUGCUGGUGUUUGCCCACCGCCUCGCCGUUGAAGCCGGGUCGGAAGAAGGCAAGCGUGGCCCGCAUUUCUUGCUUCUUCAGCUCUUUCUCUUCGGCGGCCUUGGCGGCCGCCGCGCUCUUGCCCUUCGGGGGCUUCGCCUCCUUUCCCUUCCUGGUGGUGGGGGGCGCCAUGGGGACCGAGGGCGGAAGCUAGCAAGGCUCUUGGACGCAAGAUGCGAAAAGCUGGAGGAAGAAGGCUGGGGGGCUAAGUGUUUCCCCCUCAGCGCAGCAGUAAAAGCUUUAUAACACUCCGUCGUUUGGUAACGGCCGGUUCCGCACCCUACGGGUACGCUGGGAUAGUUACCAAUCAGAAGGAUAAUGCGAAGAGUGGCCUUAACUUCCCUGUUUAAGGGGGAGGUCACAGCGGAAAUCUCGCACCCACUACUCCGCCCGUAACGGCGGGGUCACUGGAAGACGAAGAGACGCGGGCCCGAGGCGAAUCGGGACCCACGCGUCGGUUGAGGCGUAGCCUGACAACCGGCCGGGGAAGGGUUUACCCGGGAACAGGUGUUGCCGGCCCACGCCCGGGGGCUACUGUCGCACCAAUGGCACCCGGGGUGCCACCGCAGCACGACGCGUGGGUCGCAUCGCUGGGAUCCCAGAAGGAUCUCACCCCAGGCGGCAACGUGCAGGCUGCCCGGCAAGCUACCAGCCCGGCAGGGCUAGCGGGGUUUCGGGGAAUAAUCCUGCCUGGGCACCUCCCAGGAAGGCGCUUGCCGGGAGGAGGUGUUCCCAGGCACAGGUUUCUGCCGCGAGGGCGGGGCUGAGCGAACAGAGCAGCAGCGCCACGUGGGCGCGCGGCAGGCGCCCGGUGUGCAGGGUCGUCAGGACAAGCGGUGAGGCGCAUGACGCUUUUAAUGAGCCGACAGAAGGGGCGUUGUCCGUCUAGUCGGGCAAAGAGUGGCUGCCCAGGGCUAGUUUUUGGCCUUAGACCCCUAGCCGCGGGGUUGGCGCUCAUGCAUGCGUGCCAGCGCACCGAGGAGGAGCUGCCCAAGCUCCUUGCUCGCCACUUGUAAUCCAUGCACCGUGGCACCUGUGGUAUCCCCUUGGCUAUGAAAGGAGGACCCCCGCCAACGGUCAAAGGGUUCAGUCUUUGGUUCGUUCGUUCGUUCGCUCAUUCAACCAACAAGCAGUUCACCACUAGUAGUAGCCAAAAGUAGCAAGGAGCACUUAGCCAAAAAAAGAGAGCACCCAGGGACCCUUCCCCUGCAACUUGUAAACACUCGAUCUUACGAUAAUACGAGCUCAAACAAACAGGAUGUAGGGUUUUACACCGCAAGGUGGCCCAAACCUGGGUAAGUAGCGUUUUCGUGUUCGUUGCAUUCUUACGCUUUGCAUUGGCCUCGCCGGAGCGAUCCCCGUAGCACACUGCCGAACCUAAAAGGGGGUGCCCGCGCAUCCCCGGUGUCGGAGCCCCGUGCGACGACAUCCGGCGGCCGGCGAGCUCCGAUCUUCGAGCCAGAAGCUUCCCUCAGCUUCUCGAUGGCUUCUAUCUUGCUUGGGUUUGCUUGUAUCCCCCUGUGUGAGACCAAGAAACCCAGAAGCUGACCUGAGUCCACACCGAAGGUGCACUUCUUGGGGUUCAGCUUGAGCUUGAUCCUGCGGAGGUUAUCAAACGUUUCCCGCAGGUCAUCAAUCAGCGAGUCCCCGCGCUUUGAUUUGAUGACGAUGUCGUCCAUGUAGGCCUCCACGUUGUGGCCUAGCUGGGGUCCCAAACAUUCGCGCAGCACGCGCUGAAAUGUUGAGCCCGCGUUCUUCAACCCGAAAGGCAUGCAUGUAUAACAAUAGCAGCCAACUGGGGUGAUGAACGCUGUUUUUUCCUCGUCUUCGACCGCCAUCUUAAUUUGAUAGUAGCCGGAAAAAGCAUCUAGAAAACUCAACAAGUCACAGCCAGCGGUAGAGUCAACUAUUUGAUUGAUACGGGGUACAGGGAAGGGAUCCUUGGGACAUGCACGAUUAAGAUCAGUAAAAUCUACGCACAUGCGAAACUUGUUCCCUGCUUUAGGUACUACUACAGGGUUAGCUAACCAAGUGGGGUACAGAACUUUCCUGAUAGCCCCGGCAGCCUUGAGCUUGUCCACCUCCUGCUUGAUGAAAUCUUUACACUCUUGUGCUUGCCGACGAAUCUUCUGCUUGACGGGGCGGGCGUCCGGGCGCACUGCGAGCCGAUGCUCAAUGACCUCCCUAGGGACUUCGGGAAGGUCCGACGGCUCCCAAGCGAGCACGUCGGCGUUCUCCCGGAGGAAAGUGAUGAGGGUGCCUUCCUAUUCGGCAGUAAGGUUCGCACCGAUGGUGACGGUGCGUUCCUUAUUGCCGGCUUGAAGGGGCAGCUUCUUCACCUUGGCGGCCUCCUCCCGGAGCUUCUGGCCCUUGCCGGGGCAUGAGCUCGAGCCUGCACUUCCCCCGGCAAGCUCUUGCGCGGCAGCGCGGGCUUUCUUCAUCGCCCGGCGAGCUGUCGUCUCCGGCAACAUCUUCGUCGCCGGCGUCAGCUGCGGCGGCGGUCCUGACGACCUCACCCACGCACCAGGCCACGUCCUUGAGGUCGCACCUGAUGGAGAGAACUCCAUAUACGGACGGCAUCUUCAUCACGCUAUAGACGCAAUGCGUAACCGCCAUGAAUUCGAUCAGCGCUGGCCGACCAAGGAUCCCGUUGUAGGGCAACGGGGUGUGUGCCACGUCGAACACUAUGUGUUCGGUGCUGAACGCUUCCCGGGACCCGAAGGUUACCGGCAGCGUGAUGCGCCCCAGAGGGCGCACGAUCCCGGGGUUCACCCCCCGGAAUGGGUCGGUGGGCUUCAGCUGCUCCACCGGCAACUGGAGUUUCUCCACCAGCCUGGCGGACAGGAGGUUAAGCCCCGCUCCGUUGUCCACCAGUACCAUUGUCACCGUCAUAUUGCUGAUGAUCGGUGAGACGACGAAGGGUAUUACCCCUGAACCCAGCUGCCGUGCUGGGUGAUCGUCAGCGCUGAAGGUGAUCGACACAUGCGACCACCUCAGCGGCUGUUGCGGCUCCACAUCCGGCAACAGCGCGCACAUGUCGCGGGUGAGGCGCUUCACCGCGACAUCGGAUGGGAGAGCAUAGGCUCCCCCAUGGAUGCAGGCAACACCGCGAGGCUCCUGGAAGCCCGGCUCGUCGCCGCCAGUGCAAUCGGACUCGCGCUGCUCCUCAGCGCGAGCCCUGUCGCAUCCCCGGGGAGGGCGCUCCCUGCCCGCGCGGGCCUGGCCGCGUCCCCCCUGGGGUUCGUCCCUACCGGCACCGCCGCCGGCAGGCCUCGGCCCCGCUCUGGAGUCAUUCGGGCAAUCUCGGAAGAGAUGCCCGAUGUCGCCACAGUUGAAGCAGGCUCCAGCAGCGUGGUGCUCCUCAUGGCGUUGCUCGCACCGCUGCUUCACUCGCUGCAGGAUGCGGCAGUCCUGCGCGUCAUGGGUGGAGUUGCUGUGGAUGGGGCAGCGGGGCGCGUCACCCUACUUGCCACCAGACCCGCCACCCGGCGAGGCCUUCUUUGCAGGCCUCGCGACAGGAACCCCCGAGUCUGCAACGAGAACCUGCUUCCCGCUGCGCUUGCAGGAACCCUUGUUCGGCGAACCCACGCCAGGGCUCGCGGCAGCUUUGGCUGCUAGCUCGGGCGCCCAUGGCGCACUUGUGCGCCAAGGCAUAUAGAUCCUGCGUCGUCCGGAUCCGAUGCGUGCUCAGCUUCUCGCGCAUCUUGGGGUCGCGGACGUUGAUGCCGAAGGUGUUGACGAUGGCACCUGCCUCCACCUCCGGGAUAGAGUAGGAGAGGUUGGAGAAGCGGUUGACGAAGCUCCGUAACAUCUCCCCCGGCUUCUGCACGAUGGUGUGCAGUUCCUCCAUGGUUCCCGGGCGCUUGUAGUCGCCCUGGAACGCGCUCACAAACUGGUCGCGCAGGUCCGCCCAAGUUGCGAUGGACCCGGCAGGCAGGUUGAGCAGCCAGGUUCUCGCUGAUCCUUUCAGGACCAUUGGGAAUCAGUUGGCCCUGACCUUGUCGUCGGCGCCGAUGGCAUGCAUUCCCAACGUGUAGGUCAGGAGGAAAUCCUUGGGAUUCAUGAUCCCGUCGUACGUGCCGAGCGCUGGCGCUCGAAACUUGCGGGGCCAUGUCACCCGGCGCAGCUCGCGCGUGAACGCGGUGCAGCCGUCCUCGAGGCCCAUGGGAGCGUCUUCCUGCUCCUCUAGGCACUGGCGCUCUACCUCGCGCCGACGCCGGCGCUCCAGGGUGCCAUGCGCGUCACCCCGCGCGACGGUGGGUGACGAGUCCGAGGAUCUUUCUGGGUCCCCGUUUCCCUGGCCUCCCUACGGGGGAGGGUUUUCCCUCUGCAGCGAGGCGCGGGGCGCGUCUCCGCGCGCCGGGUCUGGCCCGCGGCCGGAGCCUGCCGGGACACCCUCGCCUUGCGGCUGCUGGGCGGCCAGAACGAGGAGCGCGUCCAACUCCUCGCCCCACGUCUCGUGCGCCGGCGUGCCUUGCUGCGGUUCAUACCGCACCAUGACCCGCGCGGCGAUGAUGGCUUCCGCCGGGGUUCGUGCGGGGGGCAGCCGAUUUCCCGAGCGGCUGCUAUCCGCUCUAGACCCGGACGCCUCCAGGUGCGCGGGGUGUGAGCCCCCGGGCGUCGCAUGCGACGCGGUAUGCUCGUUGCUCAGCUGACGCUGCGCGCCUUCAGCCCGCGACUCGACUCGCUGGCCGGCGGGGGCGGCGCUGCGCCCGCUCGCCUGGCUGGCCCCGGCACUGGGGGCCGCCGGCCCCCUCGGCCGAUUAUCUGCUGUCGGCCGAGGAGGUGGGGGUGGUAGUUGUGAUGGCUCGGGAUCACCCUGUUCCUGCGACGCGCGUGGCACGUCGUGCGACCGCGUGUGCGCCGCUGGGGCCUCACGCAGAUCAAUCCUCGAGUCACCAGCCCGCUUGGGGGGCAUGGUGGUUUGCUCUGUCGCCGGAAAGAGGGUAGCUAAUGCUGGCGUAGACGUCGCCGCCGACAGUCACCGGCGAGCUCUCCUCUAGCGCCCCCUACCUGGCGCGCCAGAUGUCAUCGCGCGGGGCUCCAACACCGGGGGCGUGCGGGCACACCCCUUUUAGGUUCAGCAGGGGCGUCGGGGAUCGCUCCGGCGAUCGCCGGCGUGGCCGAUGGCGUACAGGAACUGCAAACUAAUGUACCCAAAACACAUGCAAGCUAAGGACAAUUGCAUGCACGCUUUUUACCCAGGUUCGGGCCACCCUGAGGUGUAAAACCCUACGUCCUGCUUCUGAGUUCGUAUUACCACAAAACCAGGUGUUUACAGGUUGCCGGGGGGGGGAGUCCCUGGGUGCUCUCUCUUUUCGGCUAAGUACCGCUUGCUACUUUGGGCUAUUGCUAGUACUGAACUGUGAACUGGUCCAACCAACCCUCCUGACCGUCGGCGGGGGUUCUCCUUUUAUAACCAAGGGGAUGCCACAGGUGCCACGGUGCAUGCAUUACAAGUGUCGAGCAGGGAGACAUGGCAACUCCCCCUCGGUGCGCUGGUGGACGUGCAUGAGCGCCAACUCCGCUGCUAGGGGUCUAAAACCCUAAAAGUAGGAUCGGACAGCCACUGUUCCCCUGACUUAGACGGGUAACGCCCCUCCUGUCGGCUCAUUUAUUGCGCCGUGCGCCUCACUCCUCGCCCUGGCGAGACUGCACACUCGAAGCAUGCCACGCGCCCGCGUGGCGCUGCUGCUCUGCCUGCUGGGCCCCACCCCAGUGGCGGGAGCCCGCGCCCGGGAACCCCUCCUCCCGGCAAGUGGCUUCCGGGGGGCGCCCAGGCCUGACCACAUCCGGGAAACCCCUCCCGGCAAGUGGCUUCCCGGGGGGCGUCCCGGCGGGAAUAUUCCCCGAAGCCCCGCUAGCCCUUCCAGGCUGGUAGCUUGCCGGGCUGCUCGUGGCUGCAGCCCAGGAUGAGACCCUCCCGGGAAAUCGGAGACGAGGCCCACGCGUCGCGCAACGGUGGUACCCCGGGUGCCACUGGUGCGACAAUUGUUGUAUGUGAUUAAUCAUUCUUCGUAGCCAUACACUUUCACGAGAUGCUUCGUAUAGGGCUAUUAUUUCCGAAUGAUUUGUGGAUGUAGCCACUAAAAUCUGUUUAGAAGACUUUCAUGAUAUGGCUGUCCCACCGUGCAGGAACACGAAACCAGUCUGGAAUCUGGCAUUGUGGGUAUCAGAUAAAUAGCCAGCAUCAGUGUAUCCGAUUGAUUCAGAGGCUUGGUUUUCCUUUUGGAAAUAUAGACCUAAAUCUUUAGUGUCUUGUAGGUAGCGAAACAUUUGCUUGACUCCUACCCAAUGGCGUUUUGUUGGAGCUGCGUUGUGUCUAGCUAGUAAAUUUACUACAAAUGCAAUAUCCGGCCGGGUGCAAUUUGCUAAGUACAUUAAUGCUCCAAUGGCACUAAGAUAUGGGAAUUCAGAUCCCAAAAUUUCCUCUCCAUCACCUUUUGGUCUGAAUGGAUCUUUCUCUACGUCUAGCGAUCAAACUACCAUAGGUGUUUUACAUGGAUAGGAUUUGUCCAUGUUAAAUUUCUCCAAGAUUUUUUGGAUAUAUGUAGCUUGGUGAACCCAUAUUCCCGAAGGAAGGUGCUCAAGUUGUAACCCUAAGCAGAAUUUGGUUUUACCCAAAUCUUUCAUUUCAAAUUCCAUCAUUACAUGAUUCCGAGCUUCAUCAAUAUCCUGUUUGUUGCCAAUGAUGUUUAAAUCAUCAACAUAUACAGAGAUAAUGCAAAAUCCUGUUUUGGAUUUCUUGAUGAAUACACAUGGGCAGUCAUUAUUGUUAGAGUAACCUUUUUUAAUGAGAAACUCACUUAGUCGGUUGUACCACAUUCUACCCGACUGUUUUAGACCGUAUAAAGAUUUAUUCAACUUUACACAGUACAUGUUGCGUCUUGCGUUAGCAUUCGGAAUUUGGAUUCCAUCGGGAACCUUCAUGUAAAUAUCCGAAUCUAAUGACCCAUAAAGAUAUGCAGUCAUGACGUCCAUCAACUGCAUAGAUUAAAUAUCGAAAAGUAAUUCCACUCAUAACCGGAGAGUGUGUUUCAUUGAAAUCAAUGACGGGUCUCUGCGUAAACCCUUGUGCUACUAGCCUUGCUAUGUAUCUCACCACCUCAUUGUUUUCGUUCCUUUUCUAGACAAAAACCCAUUUGAAUCCCACUGGAAAAACAUUUGGAGGUGUAGGUAUUACUUCUGUAAAUACCUUUCUUUUAUUGAGCGAGGCUAUUACUGUUUGAAUUGCAUCCUUCCAUUUGGGCCGGUCGGAGCGUUUUUCACACUCAGCUAUGGUCUUUGGAUCAUGAUCAUUUAGAAGGUUGUCUGCGAUCUUAGUUGAGAAAUAUGUGUCGACGAAUGUAGUCUUUCUAUUAUAUGUUUCUCCAGUGUCUAAAUAAUUUGUGGAAAUUUCAUUUACCUUUGGUGACUAUUCGCGAUUUCCCGUUGCGGUAAUGUCUAGGUUUUCCGAUAUCCCAGCAUCAGUAAUUGAGUGCACUAUUGAGCUGGGUUGUGGAUGUUGGUUAUCCACAGGGUGUAUAUUACCCAAUUGAUCUCGGUCAAUCAAAUGUUGACUCAAAUUUGUUGUUGUUGUUGAAGGAGGUCCAGAAGGUUUAUUCUUCCGUUUUCUUUUGCUGCGGUUCCUUCGUUUGUUCCUUUUGUUGCUUGCUGGAAGCUAGAUCCUUUUAAGUUGUCGUACUUCUCCCCCUCUUCCUUUGAACGGUAGGUGCAGGAGGUUGAGUGGUUUUUAUAGGUACCUCCACUCUUUCUGGUACGUUCUGUGCAGGAUUAUAGGAUUUAGUUAUAUCUUUGUAAUCAACAAAUGCGUCUGGUAAAUUGUUUGCAAUAUGUUGCAAAUUUAUAAUUUUUUAAACUUGUUGUUCAGUUUCUUGAGUACGUGGAUCAGAGGCGGAAAUGCCUUGGACAUUCCAAUUGAUUUCCUGGCAUUCUUGUUUUUGGUUGGGUAUAUAUAACAGAAUCAUUGUGCAGAAUCAUUACUAUUUUCUGAGAAAUCAGCCUUGGCUGGGUAUAUAUAACAGAAACGAAACAAUGUUAAUAUAAACAUAAGACAUCAUUUAUCUCUUUGUCAAAAAAAUAAACAUGCUCAUCAGUGAUAACCAAGCUCAUUAGUAUAUAUUUUUUAUAAUUUUUGUCAGCUCAUUGACACUUUAUGCGCUGGAAAUCAAGUAGUUGCCCAUUUAGAAAUUAUCUGCAGCUUUGGUCGACUGCCCAGUGCCCUUUGAGGCUAUGACACAUAUCCCUACUUAACUGGCCAAUGCAUUUCUGGGCUCACCCUGCGCAAUGCCCACUACACCCAAACCACCCACCUGAAACGAGUGAUAUUAGCCUGAUAAAAGAGUGACUAUAAUCUGGUAAUCAAGUGACAUUAAUAUGGUAAACAAGAGAUUAUAACUUGGUAAAUUUUGACAAAAAAAAUUGUCGUCAAAACAUAUCAACGUAACAGGUGAAAAUGGAUCGUUAAUUAGGGUGCCCGUGGAGUCGUUGCUCUUUGUUUUGAGGGGUGUGGAGUUGUUGCUCUGCAGGUUUGUUUCGCGGGGAAGCAGAAGAUUGCACCGAUCUGCAUGUUUCUUUUUCCGUUCUUUCUUUACUGUGGCUGUACUAACACAUGAUGAGAAUUCUAAAAAAAAACACAUGAUGAGAUUUUUAACAUCCCGAAAUUUCAAACUUUUACAUAUGCAUUGCAUCCAUGAGCAUCAUGCCACAAUUGCAUAUCUAAAUUCAAAUUUGAAUCUCAAAAGGUUUUGAAAAGACUCUAUUUCAAUUUAAACCCUAGGGUUUGCACCCUUUUGAACUUUGGAUCUUCAAACCAAUAGGGUUUAAUUAUAAAAGGGGUUUAUUGCAUAUAAAAGCUAUCCCAUAAUUUUUUGGAUAAUUAUUUGGAGUUGAAAACGUAUUUUAUUCAAAUAGUUAUAUAGCCCUAAAGACAUUUAUAGGGCAAAUGUAUUUUUUAUAUAUUUUAUUUUGAGGGGAAAUCACUCCCAAAAGUUGAAUCAUGAUAAGACAUGAUUUUACAAAUUUUCUGGAAUUUGUUUGGACCAAUUUGGAGUUCAAAAUCAAAGGAUAUCAAGGAAAUAAGAAAAAGGGAAAAAGAAAAGGCCAAAAGAAAAAAAAAUAGAGAACCGGACCGACCCAACUGGACCGGCCCAGUCUUGCGCGUGCCCCCUCGCCCGCGGCCGCGGCCCAGCCCCGCGCGCCCCCGGCCCAGCCGCCCGCGAGAGUCGCUGACGAGCGGGGCCCGCUCGUCAGUCGUCUUCCCCAAGCAGGCGCCCGCCUUUCUCGCCGGACACCGCGCCGACUGCCGCCGCCCUCACCGCCGCCAAUUCCGGCCUCGAUCCGACAUUCCCCGCGCGUCAUAUUAAAGCCCUCGUGCCCCUCUCUCAUUUUCCUAUUUCCCCGCUUGCGAUUGCGCCCCGGUUUCACUGCAAUUUCUCGCUGAAGUUCAUCCCGUCCGCCGCCGUUUUUGCUCCGUCGCCGCCGCUCCGGUGAGUCCCGCGCACCGCCGACCCUCUCCCCUUCCUCCUCUCUCCAGCGCGAACCCCCGCGACGCGCUCGCUUUUGUGUUUGGACAACCGCGCCGCCUCCGCCCGCACCGCGCGCCGCCUCUGACUCUGGCCGCGCGCCGCCCGCAAACUGCCUCCGUCCCGCGCGCCCCUCGCCGCGCCGCUGCCCGCCGUCCCCGCGUGCCGCCCCGCACCGCGCCGGCCGCCUGCGCGCUGCCCUGCGCCGCGCCCCCCCGCCACCUCCACCCCGCGCCGGCUGCGCCGCCCGGGUAAAACCCUAGGCGCUCGCCGGUGCCACGCCGCCACGUGGCAGGUUUAUCUUUUUAGUUUUUGUUUUAUUUUCGGCCGAAAUAAAAGUGCACAUUUGCAGAAAAUCCCCCAGUUUAUCAAACCGUCAUAACUUUUAAACCGCUUGUCCAAAAUUCAUGAUCCACACCUUUCUGGAAUCGUCACAACUUGUAGAAUAUUUUGACACUGAUUAAAUUUAAAUUUGAAUUUUUGAAUCACAGUCAAAUUACAGAAUAGGUUUUUAUGCCAUUUAAUUCAUAACUAAUUAUCUAGGAGUCCUUUUUAAUCGAAACCAAUGCCCAAAAUUUUUUUUAAUGUUCUCUGUCCAAUGGGACAGAGAAAUAAAUAUUUUGAAUUAAUUUAUUUGACUGAUGCCAAUAAAACCUCAUUUUAGGGUUUAAACCCCAACCUUUGCUAAUUGUUUAAAACCCUAAUUACAUGUAUUUAAUGAUCAAUGCUUUGGACCAGUAGAUCACCCGAAUAAAAUAAACCAAGUCAUGUGACAUGUUGCAUUGCAUCAUAGCAUAUCUUAUUUUGUCGUGAUGUGAAUUGUGUGUUUAUGUAUGUGUAUGUUUGUUUGUCUCGUAUAGUUUUCUCAGAGAGCGAGUCUUGCGAGUGUGACGAGUGUUUGAACUCGAACUACUGUGACAAAGGCAAGUUUACUUUGACCAUCAUCCCAUUAUUUUAUUACGCACUAGAUUUUAUUAGUUGCAUUGUUAGGAUUAUUAUUGUAUCUAUGUUAUGCUAUGAUUCUCCUAGUAGUAUAGGAUACCUUUGCCGUGACUUCACCACCAAUUGCCAUCGUAGUACCAAAAUGCUAUGCUAUGAUAAUAUAUGAGGGUGGUAUUAUUACAAUGUGAUACUAUUGAAUUACAUUAUGAUUUUUCCUAGUGUAUGGCAAAACAAGUAAUUCAAUGAAUCGUCCUGGGUGGGCUGCUUUGAGUUUUCGGAUGUCGUGACGUUAGGUCCAUUUCUUUGGGGCCCGCUGAGUCGUCUCUCCGUGUGAUUCGGGAGCGUCCAUGGUCGUCUCCCCAUGCGAUUCGGGGAGCGUCUGCGUCACAAUGUGGGAUGUCACCCGGGAUAAUCAGAGACUGGACUAGUUUCUUGUUUAAUAGCUUCCAGUACAACCACAUGGUAAUAUGGGCUCUGCCAGGAUGGAUGUAAGCCAUAUGAUCCUGGAUCCGAGGGAUUGUGCAGAUGUAGCUGUGUAGGUGGGAACGUAGGUCCCUCAGGUGGUCCGGGUGAUUAUGGUCUGAAAAUUCUUGUAAUCGAUGUCGUUGCUACUCUACCCUGAGGACAGCAAGGGAUUAACAUGUCGAUUUCUGUGGGGAAUGUGUACAACCUCUCGAGAGUGUCAAACUAAGUACUUAGCCGUGUCCCCGGUUACGGACAAUCAUGAGCAACUAGAUAUGGAGGCUGUAAGGAAGGUCUCACUCAUUCCAAUUUCUUAAAUAAAAUGAAUGGUUUGAACAGGGUAGGGGCACUUGAUGUAUCUACUCAAUGUGCUUUAGGUUAAUAGGAGCAUGGGUGUUUCUACCCCGUGUCCAAUAGUGAUAAAACUAUUUAAUAAAAUGAUAGGAUGUUACAUUGAUGCUUGUAUGCAAUUUGCCAAACCCCACCUAGCCAAAUACUGCAUAUAAUUGACAGGAUCUGUUAUAACCAUUUUGUGAAUUUGCCAAUACAUUCAAUGUAUUGACCCCCUAUUGACCCCUAGUGGUUACAACGUUUAAAUGUUGCAGGUGAAUCGAGUGAGGAGUGAGGUACGAAUUGUUAGGGUUACAAGUUUACAUUCCGACACGUUUCAACUGUGGAGUUGUUAUGGGACUCCUACAUCUUCUGCAUUCCGCUGCAAGAUUUUAUCUUCUUUGAGCUAACCCACGAGGUUAUGCAAUAUGUAAGGUUCUGGAUCAAUGCGAUGUAAUAUACUUUUGACCUUUCUAUCUUGAUAUUACAUCUUGAAAUUGUGUGUGCUAGCGAGUCGAUUCAGGGACUAGCACAGUAAGCACAGAGAUCAAACCCUAGUAAGGGGAGAUCGCUUCAAGAUUUAAGUAGGAAAAAAAACACAUGAUAAGAUUUAUAAACUUUUUUUCUAAAUUAUAAUUACAAAAUGCGACUUGAUUCUUCCUAAAAACAACUUAGAGUUGAUAGACAAGAGAAAUCACCUCAAAAAACAAAAAAAUAGACAAGAGAAAUGUUCACGUGAACUAUUGUUUUUGAGACAUUCCAACGUUUAUAAUCAUGGGUCAAACAAAAAUGUCCAACUAGGUUGUAUAAAAUGUUCAACAUAGUUCUAAAAAACUAGAGCUGAUAUUUUUCAAAAAAUUGUUCACAUGAAUAUUUGUAUUGCACAAAAAUGUUCAAGUAGCUUGUCAAAAGUGUUAUAGUGUCGUGUGAAAAAUGUUUAACAACUAAACUCUGUUACUAAAUGAGAAUGUCUGAUGUGCGUACACAUAUCGGACACACACUGUCGUACACAAAGCAAGGAAGCCUAGUCUGCCGUGGUCCGUUGCACAUCACUGGAGUUUUUAGGUACAUAGCCACCCGUAGAAAUUUCGCACUUUAGCAACUAUCAGUAUUUUAUACAGAUUCACUGGAGUUUUUAGAUACAUAGCCACCCGUAGAAAUUUCGCACUUUAGCAACUAUCAGUAUUUUAUACAAAUUCAUGUCAACGGAGGGAGUAAUAUAAAAUAAUUUUUCUGCUGGGUAGCUGGUCCUAGUGUGCUCUCCCUGCUAGUGCAAAACGGCAACGGUCAAGCCUCAAGCGAAUCCCCCAACGGCCUCCGUGAUUUCACCUCACCACCCCCACCACCAAAACUGGAGCCGCACAUGGCGCGAUGGCAUCAUGGCAAGGCCACCAUCGGCAAAACUGUCUGCUUAACGAGAGAAAACAAAGACGAUUCUUCUUACCAGCACAAACACACAAGUUAAAGUGUACUACUGCACGGUGAUAAUGGCUCUCGCAGUCUCGCUGCAGUAAUGCGAGUUUACGGGCCUCUCUCAUUGCAGAAGUCAUGGCCACCCAUGACAAGCAAUGAAGGCUCCUCCUCCACUUCCCAUCAACGCACUGGUCACCGGGCGCCCGCACUGGUCUCAGCAGUGGCGGAACUCACGGCUCCGGUUGUGUGCUCGGCAGUUCCCACACACUCCUCUUUGUUCCGCUUGCUGCUUUCCACUAUAAAUCAGGCCACCACCUUUCCGGUACGCUACUCCAUCGCUCAUCAGUCCCCAUUCCCCUGCUUUCCCCCCCUUUGUACUGUGUUGCCAUUUGUACAGAGUUAGCCAACCCGGCAACGAAGCCCUGAGCAUUGGGGCUUGGGAUUUCUCGAAGCCAUAAAAGAGACGGAGAGCCCCCAAAAAGAAGUCUACCAGCACGCCUGUCCAAGCAGCCGCAGCAUAGCUGCUAGCUAGUACUACAAGGAAAAGGAGGGGAAGGGCGAAGAAGGGGAAAGGAACCAGUAGUGUGAGCCCGUCCCCAAUGGCUUCCUCUGCCCCCUUCCUGCUCUGCAUUCUGCUGCUCGCGUCCACGGCCUCUGCCGCAUUGCUGUUCGACGGCGGGAAAUCGGCGGCGAAGGGCAAGGCGGCGGUCGACACGGAGUGGCGGCCAGCCACCGCGACGUGGUACGGCGACGCCGAAGGCGACGGCAGCACCGGUAAAAAAGCUCUGAACUCGCCUCCAUUCUCUGGAUAAAUUAGCUCUGCUGCCUCUGUGUCCAUGAGUCCAUAGGAGGAGUAGUUAACCUCUUAUUACUCGAAGCUACUAAACCGUUUGAGCAAAUGUGCAUGAAUCAGUAUUUAGCCAUAUAUACUGCCCUGUUGCAGGAUUUCCACUAACCCAGAGACAGCAGCCAAUGUGCAUUUCUUUUUACUGUUUUUGAGAUUGACAAAUAGGAUUGUUAACUGAAAAUGAUACUAUUAACUAGGACUGCUAGAUGCUAUCAGAGCCGUCCCAUUGGCACGAGACGGUCUUUCAUCUUCUCUAAAAAUAGAAGUAUUCCUCUGGUAAAAAGAGCGAUAAAAAUAUGAACGAUUAGUUCUGCCCGUUGCGGCAUUUCUGGCGCGACGUCUGCGGAUCCCAUGAGAUCCGAAGAGAAUUUCCGGUGGGCCCCUGCUGUAUGCGAGCCCAUUAGGCAUCAGCGAGGCGCUCGGUCGCUUUACGAUUCGUGCCCCCAGUUUCUCAGUGCAACGACCGGCGAAGACGACCGUGUCAGGCCUUCCAAUAACUCCAUUGCUCUGCUCGGUACCAACAAAUGCGGAAAUCGCUAAAAUCUUCGUGGUAAAUGCCAUCUCUGGCUCCCUUCACACGCUCCACCGACACUCCUGGUAACUUUGAUUUUUGCAUCCGUAAAUUCCAACAAUCUACUCCAGUACGCUAGCUGUUCGCUGCAUUUACACUCAUCAGAAGCCAGAGCACCGCAGCUAGUCGUACCACCUGCAGUAGAUCGGAGUACUACCUCGGUUCUGCCAACGAGCUGCAUGCCAACUUACUUGACUGUGCGUUAAUUUCUGCGAUUUUUCUCAGGGGGCGCGUGCGGGUACGGGACGCUGGUGGACGUGGUGCCGAUGAAGGCGCGGGUGGGGUCGGUGAGCCCGGUGCUGUUCAAGGGCGGCGAGGGCUGCGGAGCCUGCUACAAGGUGAAGUGCCUCGACCACGGCAUCUGCUCGCGCCGCGCCGUCACGGUCAUCGUCACCGACGAGUGCCCCGGCGGGCUCUGCGGCGGCGGCCACACCCACUUCGACCUCAGCGGCGCCGCCUUCAGCAGGAUGGCCGUCGCCGGCGCCGGCGCCCACCUCCGCGACCGCGGCCAGCUCUCCGUGGUCUACAGACGGUGAGCCCUCGUUACGCGUUCUUUCAGGUCUUUCCUGCGAACUUGAUCUGAUCAGUUAGUUAGCUGGUUAGUAAACUACUUUUAAUCAGCUUUGAGGCAUGCCAGAGUGGACACGGAGACGCGGACAAAAGCUCCUUCACUCCCGGACUCGUGAAGUACUAAAAUAGUAUGAUCGAUCCGUGGACCGUUGUGGAAACAUCGCUAGCUAGCUGAGGCUGUAGUAGUUUGUUGCCCUGUCGUGUCUUCAAGCACACGGGAGGAAUUAAAUUGUCCAGGGGUUAAAUGGGCUUGCAGCACCAGCUCAUAGCUGUCUUGGGUCUGUGUGCUGUAUCACAGUUACUCAUGCCCUCUGCGUGAUGUAACUCAGUCAGAGACUCAGAGGUGCGAUAUCCAUUGUCAAGAUUCCUGGUCAAUUCCUCUAGAUCCGUUCACCAGUCUCUCUGACAGUAGAAAACCUGUCGUCUAUUCCUCAAGAAAAGAUAAAGAACUGUACCAGUCUCAUCAGUAGAUUUCUGCAACUAGGAAUAACGAUUGGUUUAGUGAAGCCUAAGAUUUCGUGUUUCUUUUGUCUGAUAGAUUGAUCAGUGCAGUGUACUUGUGUUUUGUAUCAGGACUGCCUGCAAGUACGGAGGGAAGAACAUAGCCUUCCAUGUGAACGAGGGCUCGACGAACUUCUGGCUCUCACUGCUCGUCGAGUUCGAGGACGGUGAGGGCGACAUUGGAUCCAUGCAGCUAAAGCAGGUACGUAACGAGAGGUCGUCUUCUUUUUCCAGAACUUGACAUGACAUGCUUCUUUACUUUCGUUCACUGCCUUUAAUUUCCCCGUUGUCUAGCUAGUAGUAUCACAUCAACAAAGGAAAUGGGGAAAUCUAGUUAUCUUUAUUUUGCCUUUCACUGCCUUCGAGUGGUGGGAACAAGCCGAGUGGGUACAUGGGACGGAUGUUCCGUGGGCCGUGGGGUGCAAUAGGACCGCAGAUCGUUUCCUUUGCGAAAGCAUGUGAGCUCUCUUUCAUCGUCCCUCCCUGCUCCAUGUGGUUGAGGACAUGUUCCACUGUUGGUUGCUUUUACUUACCGUCAUGCGCCAUGCCUAUGCUGGUGGCUAGCAUAGCAAAGCAAUGCCAUCGUUGUUAGGUAUCCGUGCUGUGAUGUCCUCUGUAGAACAAGCUGAACUUAGUAGAAUCAUCCAUAUGAAACUGACUGGUACAGUCGAAUUUACAACAAGACAGAGGUGACGGAGCGAAACAAAAAAAAGAUAUACUCCCGUAAGUAAGAUCUACUGUUUGCUCAAUCUAAGCUCAUACUCCAUUCUAAAAGGAACAGCCAUCAGACACAGAAAUCCGCCACACGUGACCAAGAAAGCAUGCUAGUAAUACUUUCUUGCCCUGUCCUGUCUACCACACAGGUCACAGAGUCUAGUCAAGAUAUCAUUCGCUUUGCCUUAUGAUGCCCAUCCGGAACAUAGUAGUAUAAAGAAUCCGAUGUAAGUGCACAUUGAGCAGCAGCACCCAGUUGACAGCCCCCAAAGGCAAGCACAUCAAAGCCUCCCCUUUCUCCCGAAAAUCCACUGCCCAAUGAUGCUUCCGCUUUAGCCCGGUCAAUCGGUCCUUCAGGACUAGACACUACACUCAUGCUUUCAGGUUUGAUUUAAUCUGACACCCAUCCCGCACGCUCUUGACUGGGUUGCGCGGCCUCGUAGUAGUAUCCAGGGAAUCGGGAGCACGAUGCUGCUCUGUACAUGUUGCCCUUGCGCUGUCUGCUGUCUGCUGUCUGCUUAUUACUGUAGAGCCUAUAGUUCGAGCUGCUGUAAAUAUCAGUAUAACACGGGCGCUUACAUGUACUUUCUUGAUUCUUGACAUCACAAAUGGUGCGUGCAGGCGAGCUCGGCGCAGUGGCUGGACAUGAAGCACGUGUGGGGCGCCACGUGGUGCAUGUACGGUGGCCCGCUCGCGGGGCCCUUCUCCGUGAGGCUGACCACGCUGUCCGCCCCGAAGACGCUCACGGCCCGGGACGUCAUCCCCAGGAACUGGGCCCCCAGAGGAACCUACACGUCCCGCCUCAACUUCGAAGCCUCUCUGUGAUGGACCGGACCGGACUGGGCCACGUUUUAUCGGCCCGGAUGGAGCCCGCCAAGUGGAGCAACAAAUGCAGGCCCACAUGGCAGGCAAGCAGGAGUUCUGUUGGAUGGACGAAGUAGAUUUUGUUUACCGCGGAUGUGGUCUGUGAUCAUUAGAUGAUGCGUAGCGUAAUGUGUGUUUAGCAGGAGUAGUUUGGAUCAGGAGCUGGGUGAUCUGGCCCGAGCAAGCAGCCGUCCUCUCCAAAAGGAGAGAGAGCGUUUGCUGCUUUUGCUUUGGAGGUUUUUCCUGCUGGGAAUCAGAUGCGGAAGCCGAUUGGACCGGAGGGUUUUGGACCCCUCUUGGUCGCCGCUCGCUCUUUUCAUCUACCACUGCCUUUUUCUAUUUGCGUGUUUGUUUUGUCUGUUAAUUUGUUUACCAUGGUUGAAGUGAAGGGAUCGUGAGAAAAUGUGUUCCAUGCUUGUUCGCGUCAGUUUGCUAGUCUGAUUCGUAAGUGGAAAACGCUAACAUGAGACAAAUUGUCUAGCACCAAUGUUGGAAUAUACUUAAGGGUAGAUGUUGAGAUAAACAAAAAGAGUGAGUGCCAAAUUAACUUAGCACCCAAUGCUAAGCCAAAUAAGUUACUCUAACUUAGUUUAUGUGUACACCAAUUUAAAGUUCUUAGCAUCUACAAGUGGGGUUAAGGAAUGCGGCAAAACAACUUAGAGUGCUAAAUAGAGAGAACAUUGUUAUGAACACCCUUGGAGCCUAAAUACUACUACUAGGUGAUAGGAUGCAGACGCUCUAAUUUUUCCUUUUCUGCCAUCAACAUUGGCAUCCCCACCUAGAGUUAAGGACGUCCUAUCCACAAGUUGUCUCUGAAUGGGCUGGAUGGUCUCCUGCCCAAUCGUGCACUUCAUCAUCUCUAUGUGGAGGUCCAAAACUAUAUCUUUUGCGCAUGAAUUUACCCGAGCCCAUCAAGGCUAUUUCGAAGGUAUGAAAUUGUAUAGUUUUGUGUGUCGCUUUGUUUUGAAGUUUAAACAUCCCACAUACUAUAGAUCACAGGCUUACACCAAUUGAGGUUCUCUUUCACUCAAGGUAGUCGAAUAUUUUUCAUAUUGAAUGGGAAAUGGGACAUUUAUGCGGAUAGAUUGUUUUGUUCGAUUUGGUCAUGAUUCAUUUACACUACAUUUUUAGAGAACUUUCACUCAAUUUUCUAAAAAGAUGUGUUCUUACUUUCCUAUCGUGCAAUCGGACGAAUUGAGGUGCUUCUCAGGAAAAAAAAUAACAAGAAACAAAGGUUGCAAACAUAUUGUAAUCCGCACGAGGCAAAAGUUUAUUAAAUAUAAUAGUAAUACUUAUGAAUUCUUGUAUUGGAUCCACUUCUCAACAUUCAUUUUCCUUCUCAGAAAACAUAUCAAUCGUUAAGUCUAGUUAAAUUGAAUAUUUUUAUUUUCAUGAAAAAUAGGUAGUUUAUUGAACCCCUUAAAUUCAGAAUUUGUGAAAGUAGCUCUAGGUUCCUAUUGUUGGGGUCACGAUGGCUUCGUUCGCGUUUUAUGGAGCUUCUCAUAGUUUGACUUAUUUCUUCCGUUUUCACAUGAGGAGGUAGAAGGCACCAAUAUUGAAGACAAAAACAGAUUUAAUCCACCCUUUAGAUUUUUCUAAAAAUAUUAACUGAUCUAAAGAAAAACAAAAAGGAAACCCAUUGACUUUAUUUCUUCUUUUCUACACGUGGAGGGAAGAUGGCAUGGGUUUCGAAGAAAAUAAAAACAAGUAUAUUCCACCCAUCCCUUUUUUACUUUUCAAAUAAUAUGAACUAAUAUAAAGAGAAAGAAAAAGGGAAUUUCAAUGAUACGUAUUGUUAUUGAUCAAUUAGAUUUUGUUUAUGCAAAUUCAAUCACAUUGGAUAUAAAUGGAAUAACAUUUUGUUUUUCCAAUCCAACAAAUCAAAGAACUUAUUAUGGAUCGGAGGGAGUACAUAACUGCAUAAGUCUGCACGCGUAUUGUGUGUGAUGUGAAUUGUGUUGCGUACACAAAAGAAGAAAUGAAAUACAUCCAUAAUUUGUAUACACAUCUCUUUGAUUAUACCAUAAAUGUAUUGACUUUGUGCACACAACCUCUUGCAAUAUCAUGUCUGAAUAUCUUCCCUUUGAUCACUACCCAUUACAAUUUCAUUUUCUCAGCACCAGCAAUAUAAGAUGGCACCAAAAAAUGUGUGUAUACAACGCAACUUCGGGGGGAGGGAAUUCAUAGAAACGCAAGCCCAUCAUUUUGAAACACGGUAAACUUUGUACCAUUGAAUAUUAGUGUAAUUGACAAUCAAAGUUAAAUUUUAAAAACACGGUGCACGCCCAUCGUUAAGGAGGAGGCAAGUAGAAAUUUCCAAUAGGAAAUCAAAGUGCGAACUUCGUUAUCCCGGUUCACUUCGGAGUUAUCGAACUGUCAUACUGCCAUCAGUCCAAAUCACCCGUCACAUUCUAUGACAGGCCGGGCCCAACCAAGAUACCGUACUGUUCCAUCCCCAUCACGUCAGGCCCCUGCAGAUAUUUCUGGUUUCCAGGACGCGUCUAUCUCCCAUGCCCGCUUGGACUCGGGACUCUCCCUGAAAUUGCAAGCGCACCAAGCAACUCCAUAGCCGGGUUCCAUCAACCCAGCCAGCCACCACGAAGCCCACGAGCAGGGGUGCCCCAGUUCCCGUUUCUCUCGCGUAGAAGCAAUCGCCAUUGCCGGAAUCUUCAGACGAGGAAGUAAUGGGGGCGACAGGCCCGGACGCCGAUGAGAAGGAGGAAGGGGUGAUGGCGACGGACUUCUUCUGGUCGUACACGGACGAGCCGCACGCGUCGCGCCGCCGGGAGAUCCUCGCCAAGUACCCCCAGAUCAAGGAGCUCUUCGGCCCGGAUCCUUUGGCCUUCCUCAAGGUGCCGUGAUCUAUUUCUCUUCUUAUGUCCUUUUGGAUCCCUCAAACUUGAGAUCCCGCGUAAAUUGAGUUCUCGAUCGUUUCAGCGUGGAUUGAUUUGGUACUGUGGCGGUCGUCUUGUUUUAAUUCUACUCUAGCCGAACAGCUAUAGAUUCAUAACGUUAAGCUUUAAUUGCAGCGGCAUGAAUUUGAAGUGCGAUUUUCUUUUACUAAUCACCACUGUUAUUAGUUCUGUGCUUAGCAAAAAGAGUAUGUACCAUGCAAAGCUGAUGCAUCUCAUCAAUUUUUACGGUUUAGUCACGCAGUGUAACUUAAAGUUCCUGUAUCUGGUUGACUGGUGUACUCUGGUGUUCAGUUCAGUAAUCAGUACUUUAGUUUCACAGUCCCUCCUUUAAUUCAGUGCCUUUUCUACAUGGGGAAGCAUUUUGGUUGGAUACAAUUUAAUGCAAAUGUUCCUUGAGCUGACAAAAGCUUGUCCGUUACAUGUCCACAUCUAGAUCAUAUGGUCCACAUGUGAUUCUCUAGCGAUGUCGCUCUUGAUAAUAGUUUUGGAGUUGGUGUAGACUGAAGGUCAUGUUCCAGUCCACUCAUGUUCGGUGUGAUAAUUUGAAUUUCAUGUAGAUUGAAACCACCAGCAAUUUUCUAUACUGGCUUUAAAUUAAGAUGUCCACAAACUCGGAUAUUAUGGUUGAAAAAGAUAUAAUCGGCAGUAGAAAAAAUUGCGCUCAAGUACGCUAACAAUCAGUAAUACCGCCAAUCUAAUUGUUUUGACCAUCCAUAAUAAGCACAAUAGUCUGUAAAUAAUCCUAUCUUUUGAAGUUUACAAUGGUCGGGUAGUUGCUAGUAUGAUCUAGAAAUCUGCGGGCCUCAGAGUUCUGCAGAAACUGUCUUGUUGGUUCUGAAUCUGUUCUGCCCAUGCUUUCCAUGCCUGAAGUGGUUACUGUGUUCUCCAUUUUUGCUGUGCAUCUGUGAGAACCAACCAGAUUAUUCUCCACCUGUCGUUGCCAAUAUGAGACAUGGGGUUCAUUGGCAAAAUUGGUAUCUUUCAGUUCCUCUGAACCACACUUGCUGCAGUGGUCUUUGAACUUCUCAGUUGCAGUGCUCUACCUUAGCAUGGCAGGCUGGCAACUUUAAAUAUCCAUGUAAAUCUCAUGGCCUAUGUAGGAAAUAUAAAUACUAUCCCAUCUGACCUUACUUGUGCUGGUUUUUUUGUUUUGUUGGAAGUCGUUCGUAACUGCAUGACUAGUGAAUUGACUACACUGGAAUUCAUAGGAGAAUAUGAAUGUGGAAACUUCUCAAACCAUCUUUUUGUGUGAAAAAUGGAAAUAACAUCCUAAAAAAGCAUAUUUUCUAUUUAACUGUUGCUAUAUUUUCACAUCCAUCUCAACUUUGAUUGCAGAUUGCUGCAGUUGUCACACUUCAGCUAUGGACUGCUAUGCUCCUGCAAGACGCUGGCUGGUUGAAGAUAUUGAUGGUUGCCUACUUCUUUGGUUCCUUUCUGAAUCACAAUCUCUUCCUUGCGAUCCAUGAACUCAGUCACAAUCUUGCCUUCACCACGCCAUCUUUAAAUCGCUGGCUAGGUAUCUUUGCAAACCUCCCCAUUGGUGUCCCAAUGUCCAUAACAUUCCAGAAAUACCACCUGGAGCACCACCGCUUCCAAGGUGUGGAUGGAAUCGACAUGGAUAUCCCCAGCCAAGCAGAGGCGCACGUGGUCAAGAAUGCCAUCAGCAAAUCUGUGUGGGUUGUGCUCCAGCUCUUCUUCUAUGCACUUAGGCCACUCUUUCUGAAGCCAAAGCCUCCAGGCAUGUGGGAAUUCACCAACCUUACAAUCCAGAUCGCGCUCGACGCCAUGGUGGUGUACCUCUACGGUUGGAAAUCGCUCGCCUAUCUGAUACUCUCGACGUUCGUCGGUGGUGGCAUGCACCCUAUGGCCGGCCACUUCAUCUCGGAGCACUACGUCUUCAACCCAGACCAGGAGACCUACUCGUACUACGGGCCGCUGAACCUGAUGACAUGGCAUGUAGGGUAUCACAACGAGCACCAUGAUUUCCCCAGAAUCCCAGGCACCAAGCUGCACAAGGUGAAGGAGAUCGCACCGGAGUACUACAAUAGCCUGAAGUCAUACAGGUCCUGGAGCCAGGUGAUAUAUAUGUACGUCAUGGACCAGACGGUUGGCCCUUUCAGCCGGAUGAAGAGAAAGGCGCCCAAAAAAGACUCUUAGAAAAACUCUGCAUGUAGUGUUAUUUUUGCCAGAGAUUAGUUAUUUCAGAUGAUGCUUCCCCGGACAUUCGGCUUGUAAUUGUAACUUUUGGGAACCGGCACUUGUACCAACUCACUGGUUAUUUUCUACUGGAGCGCCCUUUUUGAAUUUCGCAUAUGGAGUUCUUAGAAACAGUCCAGACGACUAAUCGAGUGAUUUUCUGACUUUCAGUUUUGUUUCAAAUGACGUGAACUCGUCCCCAAGUUCGGUACGCGUGCUCGUGACUCAUGAGUUGCUAAUCCAGGUUCAUUAGUUGCAGGAUAACUUUGUGUGCGUCACAACCGGAGACUGGAGAAGCUAGAGAAAUCGCAAAAGAUGCCGCUGACCACACAAGAAAUGUGUGGGCGCUGAGCGUAGCGUGCACGGGGAGCACUCAUCCUGACGGCCGCGUUAGCAAGUAUCGGCAUCCUGGGGCCUGGGCUCUCCCCAACAUUGCCGCAGCUGCGGUCGCCACUCGCCACCCGUUUGUUGUGUUGACCGCACGCUUGUACCCAAGGCCAAGGGCCUCGGCUGCUCUGCGCUUCGUACCAAGUCCAAAUUGGAAGGAACAAGGAAGCGUAAGAAUUCUGCAUGAUCUAAAAAAAAGAUUGUACGAAUUCUGAACUUGUAGCUUCUAUGGAGUUCUUAUAAAUCUGGUGGCGCCCGCCCCUGCUAGUCUGCUAUUAAGUGUACCUUUUGUCCUCUAGCCGUGGGCACGUUCACCACGCCGAGGAAUCCAUCCAUGAUCCACCGUCUCUGGUCAGGCUUCGUCCAGCUAGUUGCCGCCGCGCCGUAGCCCUGCUAUUACGGCGCCGUUAUUGGACUCCGGCAUGCGGCAGAGGCUGCUCCUCGAUUGAGACCCUGAUAGUGCUAUAGAACUAGUAAUACAUUAGUACUACAUAGAACUGUAUUAUACUACUUGCAGGUAACUGUGGAUUCUCAUGGCUACCAUCGUGGUGGUGCGUAUAUUUGAUGGAUAAUUUGCUACGGAGUACUCCGUAGUAGUACGUACUAAGACAAGGGGGGGAAUUUAUGGGAAGAGUUGUGCGCGCGACUACUCUCGUGGAGGAAACAGAAUACCUGCAGCGAUCCAAGUCAAAUGUCAAAAUCCACGCUCCUCUAGAAACCGAUGAUUCUUCCCUAAACAUUAGAUCACGACUAAGCCGGAAACACAUGGACCAGAUCUACCCAUUUAUUUGUUUCCCAGUACCAUUUACGCGUUUCCUUCUUUUAAGGCCUUCUAUUCUAUACCACUCCCUGAGGAAACUUGCCAGCGAGGCAACACAAACAAGGAAACACAGAGCAGUUGGACCCAACACUCCGUGACAACUGGACCCGACGAACUCUGCCCGUGCAUCAGGCCCACAUGUCACACUCCUCUCCGAGACGUUAUUGUCCUCUUCUUAAUCCUGUGGGCUGUGGGUGGCGUGAGUGCGUGAUUCAAGCUUCAAUCGCCUACGCUGGUACACGCUCAUCGUCAAACUUUACAGAUCGGCUUCCCCGUCCAGGUCCACACGCGGCACUGGCUAUAUAUCCCAGCGGCGUCAUCCCCUCCAGACGCACGACAAGUCGCCAACCCGGCCCAACCGCCAAUCAGCAUCAUCUUUCUCCUCUCCUCAACCCGCGACCGGAAAGGAAAGCAGAUUCCUCCGACGAAGAAGAGCCUAGCGGGAUCGGAGAUGGGAGGCUUCGACGUGAAGCAGCGGACCAUGGAGCUCAAGAUCGCGGUGAUGAAGGGCGUCAGGGUGGUCGGCGACUUCAGCAAGAAGACGUGGAAGAAGGUGAAGAGUGUCAAGCGCUGAGUGAUUGAUCGGUUGGUCCAGCGCUGGCUUGUGUUGAUUCGUAUGAUUGAUAGCAGGUGUGAUUUUGGUUGUGGUUGUAAUUGGCUUUGUUGGAUCUGUUUGAGGCACCUUUUAAUGUGAGAUUUUGCCUGUUUGUAUGGAUUAUAUUAUAUUUUUGUCUUCUGGUUUUACUUGAUUGAUCGUGUCUGCUGUUUUUUUGCUUGGUUCGUCUUCCAUGGGUGAAGUUUAUGGUGAAUUGCUGAUAGUUCUGUUGUUGUUGAGAUGUUUGGUCUGUUCUUGCCCACCUAACAGGCGAUCCAUCCAUAUCCUGAAAACUAUACACGCUAUUUUCAUCAGGAGGUGAAAAUCUGGCAGACUUCUCACCGUUACACAUUCGAUGAAACAAGGCUCAAACUUAUGAUCACAUAUUCUUACCGAUGAUUUUAUCUCAGCUAUAAAAGAAAACUUGGUUGCUAUUGAUCUACGCAUCACAAAAUUUUCAGUAUGAAAGGUUGCUGCGCAUCACAAAAUUCUCAGUUAGACAGUAAUACGAGCUAAGACUGGAGUAGUUUGCCUCUGCACUACAAAGGGCUGGACAUACACGGCAGAUGCGUCCUUGGUGUUUAAAGUUCGACAGCUAGCCUCUUCAGACUAAAAAUUUAAGAGCUGAGCUGGCUGUGGUAGCGGAGCUGUACGAAAAAAAAGAAAGUCCUCAGGCAACAACUCACGGCACGAUGGCACACCGCCGUAUGCGGAAACAUAUGCUGAACAGCAGCAGAAAAUGUUUCUUACGCCUCGCUGUACUAGCUGAUGCAUAUAGCAGCACGUGAAACCGCUUUCAAAAAUAAAUAAAUUAUACAGCUACAAUACCAGCAUUUUCCAAGCCAAAACGGCAAAAUUCUUGUGCUAUUAAACAGCGGUACAUGCAUCACGGUAAGUUGCUCACUCUACAGUGCUCAUGAAGAUCUAACGGGAAUAACCGCAGGGAAUUGGAAUGUCCACAAGCCGCCUACUGCGGAGGAGCGUCAGGAUCCAACCUUUUCUGGAUUGCAGCUGCGGCCUGAUAAAGAAUAUGUUUGGCAUUAAUUAAAUAUACAUUUCGCCUCUAAUUACACUGGCAAGGUUAGAAUAAAGGGCAUACCUCAAAAUUCCCCAACUUGUACUGGUACAUCAUUUCCUCACGCAGGAGGGCCUGCUCCUUCAUUGCUUGAGCCUAAAAUGGGGAUCAAAGCAAGCAUCUAUGUCAGAUGACAGAACAAAAAGGUGAAAUUUUUGUAAACCCAUUCUAAGCAAGUGAAAUUUUAUGCCAACCCAUUUUAAUGUAUACAACCAUACAGGUAUUCAAUAUCAUGUACUCCAUCCCAAAAUAUAAGGCACAUUUCAAUUGCUUUGACCAAACCUUUGAGCAAACCUUGCCCCAUUAACAUGUGACUUACGUGACCAAAUCAUAAUCAUAAGCAAGUACUUUUGAUUAAGAAUUAAAUGAUGUAAUUUUUUGUCACAUAAAUUGUAUAUUGAUGAAGUAAUUCUUAGUCAAAAGCUUGUUCAAGGAAACAAAAAAUGCCUUAUAUUUUGGGAUGGGUAGGAUCAAAAUCAAAAAAUUGGAUUAAAUAAACCUUGAAGCUCAACACCCCUGGAAAUCCGAGACUCAAAAUUAAAGUAUAACAGAAGUUCGAAAAGAACGAGAAGGGGCAUCUGUAACCAAUUGAUAGAGCACAUGGCUGUGGUGGUUGAGGUCUCCUUGUAGAUUCAAGCCACAUACUCCCUAUUUUAAAAGAUCAUAGAUGCAUUCUCAAAUGAAUGGAAAAAUGAAUAUAUGCAUUCUUAAAUGAAUUGGUGGUACUUGGCAAGUUGGCAUCAAGUGACCAAGGAGAGCUUUCAGCUACGUUGUGAAAGAUUGAUCACACCUACGAUACAUGAAAGGCAAAAAUAAAGAGAACAAGCACUAUUUAGUGACCAAGACACUUCCAACAAGCAUUCUCGUAUUCGAUGCAAGUUCAGAGGACAGAUCAACAAAGAAAAGAACAAGAAUACAAGAAAAAAAACUGCAAUAUUCUAACCAUUCCAGUUUGCAUGGAGCGUUUUAGAGCUGUCACUUCUUCCUCCUUUCGGCGUUCACGUUCCCUCAACAGUUCUAUCCUGCAUGACACAUUUUUUGAGAGAAGUAAAAAAAUUAAUAGCCCAGACACAAUUAACUGUUAAUCUAUCUGUAAAACAUGAAGAUUGCAUGGCAUAAUGGGCUCAUAAUUUGAAAUUGCCGUAAAAUAGUAAUCAAAUGAAUGGAACCUAGGCCAUCUACUUUUUUACCAAAUGCUAUAAGUAGACUUCAGUAAUCUAUAAGUAGACUUAUGUAAUUACACUAAGACAUUCCAUGAUGUCCAAUGCUUUGCUAUUGCAGGUAUACACAAACUAAAGAAAUGUAUAUGUCCACAUACCGUCGCUGUUCCUCGUCAUUAAAUAUUGUGCGCACUGCUACCACACCAGCAUUCUUUAAACCAUCCUUUCUCUCUUUCUCCAUCAUUCGGUGAUGGUAAGCAUCUAAGUCAUAAUAUCUAAUAAGACAACAAAAGAAGGGGAAAGAUAAAUUCCCAUACUGAAUUACUAGCAUAUAUAUAUACACACAACAAGAAUCUAUGAAAAGAAGCAUGCAUUACUUUUUUGAUGGAAAAGUGGCUGUAUUGUGGUCUUCCAUAAAUCUGAGAUGCACAGAAAGAUGUAUGUUAAACAUCCUAUGAAGAUAAGGAAUUCCAGGGAAGGGCAAUACUUUAUUUCUAAGUUCACCAGAAGCUCAUUGAAUUAUUAAUUUCAUGGCAGUAUAGUAACAUACUCCUUAAACAUUUGUUUCUCUUCCCAAUUAGACAAUGCCUCCAAAUUGACCUGUGGCCACAUUCCAAAAUAAAUAAAUUAAGAUUAACACACGAUAUCGUAAAUAAGUAAAUACUCAACAAGAUUGAGUAGUAACAAGAUUGACAAUUUGGUACCAAUGUAAAAUGCACAGCAAUUUUCUUUUUUAUAACAAACGUUAGUCUACUCUAUGUGACCUGAUAAGUGAUAACAAAACUAGAAUAAGAGAGAUUGGCUUAACAAGAAUGCAAGCAAACAUGGUUCAAUAAGUUGGGAGAAAAAUGCUAAACUAAAAAUAUCAAAAGACCAAGAGAGAGAACAAUACUGCUCUGUUCCUCUAACAUUUAGGUCAGCCUAACUUUAUAAAAUUAAAACUUUUUGCUAAAAGAGAAAUAAACAAGCUCUAAUGCAUUGUGCUCAAAUAGCAGCAAUUUUCCUUUAACAAAAUUUUUUACUGAAAGAAUAGUAGUCUACCUAGAAUAACGAUUUCUUUGGAGCUAACUGGUUUGCCUAAUACUAACUGAAAAAUAUAUAUAUAUUAGAAUGGCGUUUCAUUAGUGGGGGACGGUUAGAUACACAUUGUUGAUCUGACAUUUUUCUUGUGUGCGUACUGCGUUCAAGUUCUCAAUAUUUCAUAAAAAUGGCAAUAUCGGUAGAAUGAUAGAAACAAACAUACCUGCUUGACUUCUAACAACCAUGCAGUGAACUCUGGUCGCUUGUUCCUGCAGAAAACAUCACAUGGUUGACCUCAUGAGAGAGUGGUAGAAGUAUAAAAUAAUUGCACUUUAUAAGAUUAUCUAGAGUCUAAACUCAUAAUAACCUACAGGAUCCAUCACUUAAAUCAUUUAAUCCUAUCAAAUAGUAAAAUAUUUCAGAAUGAUCUAAUCUCCAUUUCUGAUUCAUAUUGGCCAUAAGAGGAAUUUUACGCAUUGAAAUUUACAUAUUACACAUUUACCACUAGUAACACAACUGACAAGAUAAAUGAUCUUAGGCUCUUAGCUAUUACCAGUUUACCACAUUCUAACAAUCACUUGCACCAGGGUAACCAACAAGGAAUUGUGAGGCCUCAACACAAUGAAGGGCCAGUCCGGAAACGCCAGCGGUAGCCCACAUUUCCAUCACUCCUCGUUGUCUCCUUGCAUCCCACCUCAUCUAUGGAGCUGCUGUGGAAGCUUCUCUUCCACUGCCACGAUAUCCUCAAGUGAACUCACAGCUAGUCACCAAGGCAUGCAGGAGCAUGGCAAGUGGUACAGGCUCAUUACUACGUACGUGGCAAUCACAUUAGAAUUUGGUAGGGCUCUUCGCUGUCAAAGAGGCAGAAAAGCAACUUUCCAAUGAGAGCAUGUCACCUCCCCUCCUCUGUCCUCAUCUUUGUUAGAUGAUUUUUUUUUCUAAUUUGUGGCUGCUACAUGCUUCCUGAUUGCAGAUCGAGGAAUGAAGAGAGAAGGUGGAGGAGGAGCAGCCAACUAAGGCUUAGAUAGCAAAUUAAGAAGAAGCAGGUGAUGUCUCUUUUUGUUUUUGCUAGAAUUUAAAUCACAGCAAGAAUCGUUACUAUAAUGCAAGCUUGUGAUUCAUGCACAAGAUGCUUCUUUCUGAUCUGAUGCAGUCUGUUGAUUCAUGCAGCGCAGUAGUAGCAAACUAUGUGGAUGUGUUCAUCUGUUACACUUGGUGAUUGAUAACACAACAGUCACCAGUCACUGGUAAUCACCAUGUCAGCUAGCUCUGGAGGCAAUCAAUCCACAGCCAGCAGUUUGCUUCUGGGUGUUUCUAGUUCGCCGGCUCAACAACCAAGCGCAACAGUCAAAGGUGCCAAAGAAGGUGUGUGCUGCAGGCAGUGUCAUAGCCUGCAGAAAUGUUUUGUGGCAGCACGGCUAAGCAUGGUUGGCCGUAGCCUGACCCAUCUUCAUCACUAACUACAGUACUCAUCUUGUUAGCUAAUCAUGAAGAGUAUUCCUCCCAUAUGCAUCCAUAGGCUAUUCCAGCACACAAACAUGAAUUCAUAAUUUUCUACAUGCUGGUUUACCAUAAAACUAAGACAUUGCGAUCUAAAAACAAAGUAAUAGACAGGAUUCUCACCACAUAUCAACCUCACGGAUGAUGCCAUACUUGCCCCACGAGUUGGUAACUGCAGCCUUCUUCCCCAAAUCCUUCUUCUCAUCCUUCCUCCGCUUCUUCUUAUCCUUUUCCUUCUUAUGCCUCUCCUUCUCCUUCCUCUUCCUCUUCUCCUUCUCCUUCCUCCUCCGCCUCCUCUCCUCCUCUUCCUUCUCCUUCCUCCUCCGCCGCCGCCUCCUUCGCCUGUCCUCCUCCGACUCCGACUCGCUCUCCGACUCGGCGCUGGAACCAGAGUACGAAGAUUCGGACUCCGACUCAGACGACGAUCCCGAGCUCUCACUGCGGCUCCUCCUCCUGUGCCGCCGCCGCCGCUCCUUCUCCUUCCUCCGCCUCUUCCGCCGCUCGCCCGAGUCCUCGCCGGAGCUCUCGCUAUCCUCCUGACGCCUCUUUGAUUUGCCACGGUGGCCCCGGUCUCGGCUCCCCUUCGAACUUUCCUCCUCCUCGGCUUCUAGGGAUUUGCUGUCGCUGCGCGCCGCCUCCUUGCCCGCACCAUCAUCUGGGGCAGGUGCCGAGCCGUUCUGAUCCUUGGCCAUGCCUACCCGCCUAGGGUUUCGCCGUUUUGGCGUCGCGGAGGAGACGAGAAGAUCGAGAACAGGGGUGGCAACUGGGAACGCGAGGCGGAUCGGCUGGCGAAUGGCGAAUUGGUGAUGGCCUGCUGGGCUUCGGACUGCGGGGUGUGCGAAGAGGAGAGAUAGCAGCAAAACGUUUCCACGGCCCCUAUGAGGCUAUGACAUGUGGGCCGUUGCUCGUCUGUACUGCUGCCUCUGUACGCGUCUCCCUUCUCCCUCACGCGGCUGCCUCCCUUCUCUGAGGCAAACAAAACUCCAACCUCGCCGCCCGAUCCGACGCUCCGCCGGCCGGCCGCUGCUCGCAAGUUCUGUCGGUCCAACGCGCCUUGACCGCAGAUUCCUGCGUUUGGCCGGCUCUUGCAGCUGACGAACCCGAGAUCGGCACAUCUCGCCGGCUGCCGGAUCUAGUAGGAGGAGCCCGCGGGUGCUAUUAUUGCCUUCUGCGAUGACGAGGGCUCGGGACAGGACGGAGGAUUUCAAGGAGUCCGUUCGCGUCGCCGCGCUCGCCCAUGGCUACACUGAGGUGAGCUCAUGGGGCCCCUGAGCUCAUAUGCCCAACGUGACACCUCGGGAACCCGCGCCUUCUCUUCUCUGCAUCAGAAACAGUCUUCUCUCUAUUUACGGUCCGCUGUGUUGAUUUCUUCUCUUUGCAGGCGCAAUUGGCCGCGCUCAUGUCGGCUUUCAUCAUCCGGAAGCCGAACCCCAAAUCUCCGUUUACAAAAGCAGCAAUCAAGACGGUAGAAAUUUAUUCUUUGGCUGAUCUGUUUUUGAAUGUCAUAAUAACCGGAAACAAUCGCUAAAGCUUAUGGUACUGUUAGAAUGUGGGAGGUUUGCUAGUCUAAUUGCUGGGUUCUGUUGGUGUAGCUUGAGAGUAUCAGGGAACUGGAGAAGUUUAUAGUCAAGCAUAGGAAGGACUAUGUGGACACGCAUCGCACCACAGAGCAAGAGAGGGACACCAUUGAGCAUGAAGUAAGUUCCAACACAUCUAUGUGUUGUUUGUUCUUUACAUUUUCUUCUUGUAUUCUUGCAUGAGGAUUGAGGUAUUUACUCUAACCUUGGCUAGUUGCUAGGAAAUCUUUGUUAAGACAAUCUGAUUCCACAUGCCACAUAUUUUUUAUUGUUAAUGCAAAGCUGAGUUUCAGGUUUAUUUCAUUGCAAUAGCUAUGGUAGCAUUUAGAAUAAUUCUUGGUGAUCUCUCAUCGUGUCCUCCUUUUGCAUUGUGAGAGUUCUUUCUCAGUUCUUCCUUCAUAUCACAACUGUGUUAGUUAGGAUUAAAAUUUGUUAAGGAAGCAUAAUCAUUAUCCCCUUUGUUGCACAGCAGUAAAUAAAUGUGGUUCGUAUAUGUAGCACAUCUUUUUCUUGCUAUUAAUAUAUAUACAGGUAAGGAAUGUGUAUUCUUGUAAAUUUGGGCUUCCGCUCACGUUAUUUUCUCCAUUUCGUAUCUAUGUGAUUACUGAAAGUAUAUUAGGUUGGUGUUUUUGUAAAAGCAUGCAAGGAACAGAUCGAUAUUCUAAAGAACAGGAUCCAUGAAGAUGAGAAGAACAGAAGCGCGAAGACAUGGCUUAGCACAAGAGACGAGGGCUCUCGGUUGGACUUGAUAGCUCAUCAGCACGGUGUGGUAUGUCUAUUAUGCUUCCCACUGAUCAGCUACUGUCAGUUAUUGACAUCGAAACACAUCAUUGCUCUGAUAUUACUGUUCCUUAGUGUGUGUGCACACGUAGGUUGAAUAUGGUAGUGAAGUCUCAUUGCCAUGGUUAUGUCUGUGCAGAUCGUUCUCAAAAUGAUCUUUCAAGGUCUGUUGGGUUAAUUUAAUGUUUAAGAGAGAUCAUGAUAUUGCAAAAUUUAGAAGAAUCAAGUAGGAUUGCAAUUUUUGCCCGCUGCCAAAAACAUUCAGAUUUCAGAAUAGUGCUAGUGUUCCCCUUUUCUCUCUGUGUUGGUAAAGUUGUGCAUAAUUUGCUUAAUUUUCUCUGAAAUUUUAGAAGUUACAGGCAUUCAUCGUACAUGUGUUACUGUGCUGAUAAUAUGUACUGUGGGCAAAUCCUAAAGGGUACUUACUGCUUAGUAUAUUUACGGUGGGCAAUGUUUCGUACACGAGCCGGGUGUUCAAUAGACAUGUCAAAGUGAAUAAUUAUGGUCCUUUCAAGAAUUGAUAAACAUCUAUUUUCCAGAUAUUUGGUUUCAAUGUAUACUAUGCCCGCGGUAGCAGGAUAUGCAUAACUUCAUUGGUUGAUAUCAUUGGGUGGGCUAAAAACAAACACCACAUAACUGAUCAGUCAAAACAAAUGACUUCAAACAAUGUCAAAUUUCACUUUGUAGUUCAGAUAUGCGUCCAGGAAGCAUCAUGUAGGCAAGUACACGGCUGUGCUCUUUCUUACUGGCAUGUUCUCUAAUCUCUAUAUCCAAUUUGUAGCACAAUUAAGUAAUAUUUUCUGGACUAUCCUCCUUGCAAAUAAUUUUAUAGAUUUCAUAUGGUCAGUUCCAAACUUAUAAGCUCUGUGUUCUUUGUACAAUUUUACCAGGUUUUGAUUUUGAGCGAGCGUCUCCACUCAGUAACUGCACAAUUUGAUCGCCUUCGAUCCAUGCGUUUUCAAGAGGCUAUUAAUAGGGCAAUGCCAAGAAAGAAGAUUAAGAAGAAGCCAGAAAUAAAACCAGCUGAAUCAUCCAAGUCAAACCUUGUAUUACAAUCUGAUGUAUCGAGGGUUGGAGAUCAGGAGGUAUCUACUGCACCCUUAAGAGUUCAAGAACAACUCUUGGAUGAUGAAACUAGAGCUCUCCAGGUAAUAUUUUUAUGUGAUCUUACUACGGGUUAGUGUAAGUCGGGUUAUUUACUUGCCUAACUCUUGACUCAGGUGGAGUUAGGCAACCUUCUUGAUACUGUCCAAGAAACGGAGACAAAGAUGAUAGAGAUGUCGGCACUUAAUCAUCUUAUGUCGACACAUGUCCUACAGCAAGCGCAACAGAUUCAAUAUUUGUACGACCAGGUAGGGGAUCUCUUGUUAGCUUAAGCCAACAUUUGGUUGUUUCAUAGGAGUAUGUAGUAGAGGCUGGGAGCAUAUGCAGUGAAAUGGCGAUUUAUAAAUUUUCAAAAAUUCCAUGAAAAGUGUUGGUUAUGAAAACAUUCUCGAAAGAUUCUCAGGUAUACGUAAGACUGGUAUAUAUCCAUGCAAAAUUAAAGAACUAACUAGGGCUGAUUUGCGGUACGCAAAAUUUUCAAGACUCCACAUAUUUUGGCAGGAUGCCUCUAUUAGGGGCUAUAGAUUUUUGUUUAAUUUUGUGAACAGAAACAUACAUAUCCUGCAAAGAGGUACUCCCUCCGUCCCAUAAUAUGAGGCACGCACGCAUCCCUAGAUACUCAAUUUGAUUAAUUAAAUAUGUAUCUUUUUUAACAAAAAGUACAUCAUUAGAUUCGUUAUCAAAAGAACUUUCUAAUGAUAUAAUUUUUUAAUUAUUUAAUUUAUAUUUGAUUAGCUAAAUUGACAAUCUUGGGAUGCGUGCGUGCUUCAUAUUAUGGGACGGAGGGAGUAACAGUUAAUAGCAUAUAUAUAAACAUACAAGGUUCUACAAAGAGAUAACAGAUAAUGACAUUGGACACGCAUCUUCAUUAUCAUGCGCAUAUCAUUUGUUAUCAACUGAACCUUCAUCAGGAUACAUUCAGCAUCUAGGAAUUUAUAAUGACGAUCUUUACUUGCUAACCUGGUCCAGCAUAGCACAAGAUCAUGGUUGGUUUAUUUGCAAGAUCAUCAGUUUUGCCUGCAGAAACCGUAUCCGAAUUAGUGAGAAGCUUACAGUCAGUUGCUUUUUGUCACUGCAUUUCCAUUCUGACAGCGUAUCUUAUCCAUUUGAUUCAGGCAGUGGAAGCUACAAACAAUGUUGAGCGUGGUAACAAGGAGUUAUCCCAGGCGAUCCAGCGCAACAGCAGCAGUAGAACCUUUAUCCUGCUUUUCUUCUUUGUUCUUACUUUCUCUGUUCUGUUUCUUGACUGGUACAAGAACUGAAAUAGCACAUGUAAACGUGGUUCUUUAAAAUUGCGCAAAUGGAUUGAAUUACCACCGGCGUCUCCUAGUCUCUUUAGGGCUUUAGGCGGACCAUAUUUAUGGGCUAUUAUCUUGUUUCAUGCAUAUCGUUCACUGUAAACCUGAGAUUUUGCCAUUAUUGCAAACAUAGUCAUUAGCUCAAAGUGGAUUUGCUCCGUGCCCUGCCAAUAGGGAUGCAAGCAGGAUUCCGCGUUCCCACUUCUAGGCCAAUCUACAAAUUUUAAUCAAUUUUUUUGAACUAAAAUAGAAGUGGAAGAUAAGCGGGAUGCACAUGAAACUGUUUCACUGGACAAGCAACACUGCCGUUUAGGCUGCACGGUGUUCAUCGCUUCGAAGGCCCCUCCAUUCCCUUUACACGGACAAAAAUGCAGCUGGGCAACACUUUUGGUGCAAUAAAUAAUAUACAGGUACUCCGUACUGACUACUAAAUAUCUCAACAGAACUGUUUUGAUCGCGUGAACAUGUCGGCAAACUUCAUCACGCUUGAUGUAGUUCAACUUGACAUGUAACCAAGUAGACAGAUUACGGUGAUGUGCAAUUUUAUAUUGUUCUACAACUACAUGCAAAGUUCACAAUAAAGACAAGAUUUGAAAAGUUGCUCCAGUAACGCUCCAAGCCACCAACCAGUGCAGAUUGAGAUUGAAACAAAAUUGCAGUACAUGGUAGUGACAGAUGCAGGCAAACCAAACAGGAAUUCCUGAUACUGGCAAGACAAGAAUGGUAUCUGCAUUUCAGCUCCAAAUCUCGUCACAUUACAUCUCUAUAUCAGCAUGAUUUAGGCACAUGCUUAUCCAUAAAGGCCGUUGAAAGCGUUAACCAUUACCCUCUUCGCUAUAAGCAGCAGUCAUUAGUAUCUUGCCUUCUUUUUUCCACCGAGAAGCAGUAUAUUGCCUUUGAAUAUAUACAUAAGGUGUAUACUGCCCCUCUUGCUUCAGAACAAGAGCAGGCAUAGCACCACAAACACGAAGAGGAAGAACCAGAUGUGGUGCAGGGACCUCUCCACCUCCAUCUGCUGCCUUCUCAGUCGGGGGCCCAUGUUAUGAGCCGCGAUAUAGUAAGGGCUUGUGUAGUACAUGCUCGGAGGGAGCUGGCCACGGAAUGCCGAUGGAAGCACUGCUUCGGCCAUGCCUCCAAGCACCCCUCCAGCUGUCGAGUGGAUCAAACCACGUCCCAAUGGUGAAGGAGGAUGGAUGAAGUCGAAUUCAGUGGCACCGGAAUGGUGGUGGGCAUGCCGCAAUGGCCGCAGCAGAGGUCUGGGCUCCAUGUUCUGAUGGUGGCGGUCAUCAAUGUUGCUUUGUGUGUGGUGGUGCUCAGCAUUUUCCCGGUGCACCAUUGGCCGGCGUGGAAUGGCCAUACCAUCCAGUGAUUUCUUAGAGCUACCACCGCGGCCAUAUAGUGGCACAAGGCUGUCAGCAGAUAGUGUGGCCUUGCACACAGGGCACUGCUGCCUUGCGGAACUUCGGUUGUUACUGGAAGCUGAUUCCGCAGCUGGUUGCAGCCACUCGUAGAUGCAAGGCCAGCAGUAGAGAUGGCCACAGAGGGUAACAACUGGAUCUGCGGCGAAGUCAAGGCAGAUGUUGCAGUCAAAGGAGCCACUUCCAGCGGCUGCAGGCAUCUCCCCACUAAUGUUCUUCAUUGGCUUAUCGUCAGACACUGAAGGUUGGCUAUUGAUGGCAGCCAUGCAAACCUGAUCCAUUCUCCCAGCUUCCAUGGCAAUCAGGAUGCUAUCUGUUCCGGUUGAACAACUCACAGUACUGCAAUCCAAGAAGGAGAAGUCAGUAGCCAGUAGGAAUACGCAUAACUGGAAACGAUAAAGUUGAAAAGUUAAGCUAAUCAUGAAGCGGCCAAGGCUUUUAAAAUGUUCGUAAGGUGUGAACACCUAUCUGUGUGCAUUUAAGGACUAAAAAGCGAUACGAAACAAGAACUGGAAGGAACAUGGCAAGCAACACGGCUCCAUACAUCUUCAUCUAAACAAGAGCGGGUCCAGGUAACUGGCAGCAUUGAGGCCCACACCACAUCAUCCUGUCCUGAGAAGUCUAUUCACUUGCAUUAACAGGUGUGAUAAGUAGAGCAAAUGUUAUGUAAAGCAUCAAUUCCAUGUCAAUGUGCCAGACAAAAUCUUAGCACUGCACAUGGUUCUUUUUGCCAGCAAGAGACACAUUGUGGAAGAAUCCUAUCUUUUCUUAACUCACUGAGUCAGCAGCCAUGGGUUCUCUAAUUUUUAACUACAAUGGACUGCAGCUGCUGCACUCUUGUAUUAACCCUUAUUCUUAGCACCAAGCUACUAUGGUAAUUGGGUGUACUGACAGGUUAUCCAAUCAUACAUAUCUAUCGGGAUACUCGUAAAAGUUGAAUCACCAAACAAAUCAAACCACUAGAAUAUGUCCACAGCAUAACACCGCAAUACUUGACUGACCCAUGUUGAAGGCAAGCGCCAUGAUUGGGCCACUUGCCUUGGGAAGAAAAGGCAUGUGAGACAGUUUGCAUUCUAUAAUAGGCAGCUGUGAUUUGCGUAGUGGACUUACAACUUUGGCACGCCCUUACUAGAUUAACACUGAUCCUUGCUAAUUCAAUAUUCAGGUAAGUAGCCAUGGAAGGCCAACAAGGCAGAUUUGACUAAACCAAGAAGUAGUUGCAGAGGCUAAGACGCCCUGACCUAAUCUCCAACAUAAGCUUCCAUGACAAGUCUUAUCUUUUUCUGUGGUUGUGGAGUUCCUUUCACCAUCAAAUUAUUGAAAAACAACAAUGGGUGGGGAUAGUGAUGUGGAACGCAACAAUGAUGGAUUAGCUGAAGGACUUGGCAUAUUCGAUGGGGCCAAAUACACGAAAAGGAUCAUCAUUUAACAUAUCUAGGUGAUCGCAAAAAGAAUAAUAACCUAAAGAUAAUAGCACCUACUGUAUUAAGAUCGGGGAACAAUGAAUUAAUUGCCCAACUGCUUCGUGGAAAUAUCUUGAGUAGUAACUAAUACGUCCCCAUGUGUACAAGAAUUAAUAAAUUUUACAAGUGGACUUCAGUAAAUAAUUUCUAAAUUGAGAAAAUCAUCCUUAAUUACACCACGUCCCGCACGUGAAACCAAAAGGAGAUCAAUUUUCAGGCUAAUAGGAGCUGUCCCAGGGAUGCGACUAACCAACAACUGAUUUGAUCCUUCAGAAAGAAGACAAGUAAUCCAGGCACACAGAUCUGCUAUUUAUGAUUGCACUAUCUAGUAUCUAUCACUGCAAUUAUGCACGGCGUGAAUUUUCACGGCUGUAUAACGUAAACAUACUCCGAUAAAGAACGAUUCCCCUUGGGAGUAAGAACAUAUAAUACAAUUUGACAGCUCAAUGAGCAAUGGGCAUUUUACUGGACAUACCCACAGGUCACAAGAAUCACCCCCCACCCCAACCCCCUCCCUUCUAGCAAUUUAAAAGAUUCUACUCCGUACAACCGACUAUAACCCCAAUUGGAGAAUAAAAUAAAGUUUAUAACCACAAAUAUCUUCCGUAGACCAAGGAGCACAACAUGGAGCCGCAAAUAUAAUGUCCCUCAGAAUCGAAGAUGGGAAUAACGAGUUUAGCACUGCAGAUUUCCUAAGCAGGGGAAUGGGGUCGGACUGCGCCCCUAAACUCAUAAAGGAAUUGAACAAAAUGCCUCCUUUCCUACAGAAAACGGCAUUAGCGCGCGAUAGAAAAGCGAGGAGCACCAACAGAGCUACCGGCGAUCAUCUCCUGUUCACGGAAAAGCCCCUUUAGCAGCUGGUGCCAAGGGCAGCAGCAGUAGCAGCAGCAAGGCAAAACACAAAAGCUGCGGAGCUAAACCAACCUAAUGGCGACACCCAAGAGCCCUUCAAGGGGGAAAAAAAAAGAGGUGCUAGAAUCGAACAGAGAAACGCAAUCUACACACGAACAAAAACAGGACGGAAAAAAAGAGGAGGUUUAUUCGGCCGACCUUGGAAGAAAUCCAAUCCGUGCGCGCGGCGACUGUUGCCGGCUCCUGGUGUCCAAGAAUCGGGAGAGGGGAUCAAGAAAGGAGGCGAGAAUCGGGAGAUUGCGGGUGCUGUGUCGCUGCGAGGAGGAAGGAGAAGGAGGGGGAUGAGAUUAGGCGUCGACGUCACCUGCGGAAGAGGGCGAGAGAGAGAUAUAUAGAAACAGACCCCGAGGUUGGCCGUCCGAUCCAGGUCGGACGGCUGUGAUCGGGAACGGUAGGCGCCGUCGGUUGCCUCCAUCGGACGGUGGCGACGAUUUCCCACGUUACUCUCGGUGCGGAAGCUUCCUGUUGAUUUUUUUAACGCGGGAUAAGAGGCGAGGACGGCGGUUUCGGUGCGAGCAACUGGAAAAAGGAUACUGUUUCGGGAUUCCCUGUGCAAUUUCAUUAAGCUGGAGACCCUCGUGGUCUUCUGGAUAAACUGAAGCGAGCCAUAAACUGGUUGAAUCGGUCUCUGACUUCUCUGAUGCCCCAGAUUCAACGAGGUUAACGUUACUGCCUGUGAUUGAGCCAGGUUGGACUCAAUGCUAGCGAGGUCCGUCUAGAAAGAUGCUAUCUGCAUCUGACGAUUUAUUUGAUGGCGAAUUUAGAAUUUUGCUGGUGGGUCGCUGCUCACCUUGGCGCUCCCUAUCCUGCGCCCCUGAAUUCCACCACGGAUCUGGCUGUCUUUACUUUAGCACACAGGAAUUAAUCAUGUAGGGGAUGCGACGAAGAACCAAACGCAUGCGCGAACCGAUUAGCUCGGCAUUGUCUGGUAAAUUCCAGGUGGAAGAUACUCCAACGCUUGUGCAUGGUUAACUGCCAACUGUAAUAAACGCAUUGCGACCUAUUAAUAAAAGUGAAAGCUCCACCAUAAGAAUUCACUAGGUAACAAAAACAGCAUGUCCCAACAACAGAAAGCAUCGGACAGAUCGAGACGAGAGGAAAUCCCGAGGUCUGGCCUGAUGAACAGAGAAAGAGUAACGAGGUGGAGUUAACUCAAAGAUAAAGCGUUCUGAUUGGUGUUGCUCCUACGACUAGGACACUGCAUUGACACCAUUUGGCAAAAACAAUUUUAUUUUCUUUGCUUAUGUGGCUCAUUUUUUUUUCCCAGAAAAAGGUUCUAUGAGCUCAUUUUCACUAGAAUUUGGCCAAACCUCAGACAACCAAUUCAGCUGCCGGAUUCCGGUAACAUCAAAGUUUUGCCCUGGAUUUUAUGUGCUUCAUCUAGACACUGGGUAAACAGGACCGAGCUCUUGGUCCGUUCUGUUCGGAUCAAGAUAAGGCCUAGCCGUAAACCCGUACGUCCGCCUUUGUUUAGAGAUCUGACGAGUGACAUAGCCAGGACCCACCCAUCGCGUGGCUGGCCGUUCGCAAUCACCACUGCUCUGCACACGCAAGCAUCCAUUAUCUUGAGCCGAGAUUUUAUAUGCGGACAAGAAUAUAUUUUCGAAAGGUUAUGUUCGGGCGCUGUCAACGCAUAGACACCACCGUGAUGAUUACCCACCCGGCAAUCACGAAUCAUGUUCGUUUAUUUGUUAAACUCUCGCGCAAGAGCGUAAUUUUCUAGCCUUAUCGUGUACGCCCUUUGUGGGGAUGGAUGGCUACCAUGGGCCAUGGCAUUGUUGGUUUUGGCAUAGGCAGGCAGACUAGUCAUAUCUGUUUGCCCCACUGAGAAGAUAAGCUCGGAGUCGCAAGUGAUGUCACGGGAGUUCAAGCGCGCGAUGGAACAAGCCAUGUGCCGUUUUCUAACUUUAUCGUGUCAGUACAGUCACAGAAAUAUCCACAAGGUUUAAGCCCUGUAGUCUGUAGAGAGUUGAAAGAUGCGAUCGCACGUACACGGGCAGGUGAGUAUGAUUGAUAGGGUCAGCCAGUCCAGUAGUGAAUUUUCCUGUGUGCAUGACCGGCCAACGACCUCCGGCUUUGCGAAAGAUGCCGGCCGCUGAACGGACGGAAAGGGAAAGCCCAGCCGCCGAGAUGCCGUCCGGGAUCCCGGGUCGGGGUGGCCGGCCACCUCCUCCCCACCGUUCAGCUCUCUGCACGAGCACGACGGCUGCAACACUCACUUACUCAAGUCAUUGGCGCGACAAAGGUUAGUAGUACUGCUCCAGGUCCAAUGACGUUGAAGGGGAGAGGGAGUACAACGUUGCCAAUUGCCAGGUCCAAUGACGUGCCGCGUGCCGCGAUUACGGCAUCCGGCAACAGCAACGGUGCGGAGAUGCGCACGUUUCCCGAGAGGCCGCACGUUCGCCGGCUCCAGCCUUGCGGCAUUCUCUUCGGCCGGCCGGGGCCGGGGAACCAAGUGGUCGUUGGGUUGGCUUCCCCGGGUCACUUGUUUAAUCCCGGAGUGGACGUGGCCGCUGGCCAGUUUAUUCGGCGCAAUCCCGUCCCGCGUCGAGACAGGUGAGAGACGAUAAGGCACGGGCCGGAGCGGUUGUUGGUGCGUGUAUAUGUUUGGCUCCCCGUCCGUCCACGGCGUAGGUCGUAGGAUAUUGCAGGGCGCGUCCCGUGUGCUCAUUCGCACGCGUAAUCAUUGGGCCUAAUCUGUUGUUAGCCGGUGGGUGGGUGCGGGGAGCGCCGAGGGCGAUCAAGGGACACCGGACCGGGUGGUGGAGUCAAGGCAUGUGAUUUGGUCUACUACUCGAAAGACUGAAUCAAGAGAUCGUUUAAGAAUAAGAAAAUCGAUAUCGGCCAAUGGCGCGGCGUGACGCGUCGAGCCGGUGCACGUUUAACACCCGCGGUAGCAGCAGCCGGAGCCUGGAGCCCGAAGCGGGGUUUGUUUUAGCGGAUCGGAUCCAUGUACUGUAAUCACUGUAUUAAUGCUGUGUGUGCCAGUACAACAACCAGGAGGAUUACGGGACCGACCGGCCGGAGCGGGGUUAUUGUCCGCUGCAUGGAAUCCGACGGAUGCGUGCGCCCACCAACAAAAGGGGUGGUCGAUCGAAUCGGGCAAGGUACAGGCCGCCCGCUGUUUAACAUCAAGAGACCGUGGAUUGCCCGUUUUGUUUUCGCCGCUGUUUACUGCAGCCUGACGGGCGCCCACGAUUGAUCUGAUCUACCGGUUCUCGUGGUCCUCUCGCUCAUUCGGAUCUCAGCAAGACGUUUAGCGAACCAGAGGCAAAGUUUUGUUCACUCGUGAAUGGGACGUAAUUACGAGGUAGGGGGUCAUAUACCUUGGUUUGGAAAACCACGGAGGCGGCGAAGUCAUCGAGUCUAGGUCAAGCACUCCAAUCCGAGAAAAUAGCCGGUAGAAGUGACGGUGAAAACUUCUUAAAAAUUACGUAUAACAGCCCUUUGGGUCAUAAUACAAAUGAAAUUGCUAUGGAAUACGUUACUUUGGCUCCUAUUCUACAGAAUCUCUAAUGUGCGUUCAAUCUUAUUAUUUUUCUCGUAAUCCCGGCACAGACACUGCAACAAUUCACAUGACAUGACCGGUACUCGAACCUUUUAAAGUUUGACCAGGUUUAUACAAAAAUCACCCACCAUCUAUGACUCUAAAUUAGCAAUGCCAAAUGUAUACUAUGAAGACAUAUAACAUGAUGGAUUUUAAUAAAACUAAUUUAGAGGCUUAGAUUUCGGUUCAUUUUCUUAUAAACUCAGACAAAUCUAGAACAUUUUAUAAAAACGAACAGGAGGAAUGGUAUAUUUCAUCUGAAUCCGAUUAGUGCAUCUGCAUCUCACCCACAGCCAUCUAAAAGAUGAGAGGAUCAAAUGAGUGGGGAAUUAUGCUCACAAAACAGUUCAAGAUACUCAAGCACGAACUGAGGUUAUGUGGUAAAGGAUCACAUAUGAGUGUAUAGAAUAUGACUAUUAACAGUCCUGUCAUAUAUAUCUACAGCCCAAAAGAAUGAAAAGAUGGAAUCAGGCUUCCUUGGUAAUUUCAUCACAAGACUUCCUCAUUCAUUUAUUGAUGAUACACAGAAGGUUAAUUUCCAAUAUUAUCUACACGUGGGUAUAGAAAGAUUGUGCAGAUGACGUCAAGUUUUCGAUGAUCUGACCAUAGGACGUGGAAUGCUAAGUAAACCGUGUCCAGGAGGUCUCUUCUGCAUUUUACCUCUCAGCAAAUUUCUCGAUGCAUGAGAUCAGCGUACUUUCAGGCACUGCUCCGAUCACCGAAUCUUUUUUCUCACCAUUCUUGAAUAUCAUCAUGGUUGGUAUGCUCCGGACGCCAUACUGACUUGCUAUGUCUGGAUUCUCAUCGGUGUUGAGCUUGUAGCAUUUCAACUUCCCUUCAUAUUCCUUUGAGAGCUUGCCAACAACUGGAUCAAUAAUUUUGCAUGGUCCACACCAUGAAGCCCAGAACUCAACAAGGACAGGAAGCUCACUCUCCAUAACAAGCGAUUGCCAUGUCCCUUUCGUGACAUCAGGAACUACAAAACAAGUGGACAGUAUCAUAAUGAACAAUUGUGAACACACCAGUUGAUAAAAAUACAGAAAUAAAGCCGAAAAAAUAACUAGCAUAGACUAGCAAAAGUAAAUCAUUAUUUUGCCAUGCCUAUGACACAUAUAAUGAUGAUGGAGAAAUAAACAUGAGGCAAACUCUAGUUAUCGAAAAGAAACAUUACUGGUACUGUUUGUAUGCCAUUGCGCCCUGUACAAACAUCCUACAAUCCUAUAGAAGCCUAAGUUAGUUGAUCUGAAAGAGAUAUGGAGGUGUGGAGCAGGAGGAUGGUCAAGUCUGAUAAGUUGGCAGAUUCAAACACUAACCCAAGUCCAAAAUCGGCAUGAGGUCUCCACAUUAUUUUCAAAAAUGGUUUCUGCAAA